rnacentral:lncRNA from 1 species
AGGGUGUCACCUGUUGUCCCCUCGAUCUCCUCUUGAUGAUUCUGAUGUUGGCUUUGUCAAAUAAUGUCUUGAAUUUGUUGUUCCUGCAUAAACAAGCUAAGAGUACAAGUGGAACUAGUUAUGGAUAAAAUAUGUUCAUGUCAUGUCGUUUCCCCUUGCAACCGAGGCAUGUUGACGGUGUUUUGUAUGUGGAUUUCUAUGGUAUAUCCACCGUCAACAAUGCAUAAUCAUAUAAACCCAAAUAAAGAUUUUGUGCUUAUAUAUAUAUAUCUUUGCUUAGUUUGCUGAAUAAAUAAAUAAAUAAAGUUUGCUAUGAAUCCUCAUGAUAUGCUCUCACAUGGAAAAUGAUGAAUAGUUGCUCUGCCAUGACUUGUUCUCAAAAUUGAAAUCUCUUUCAAGUUUAGGCAUGACUGUUAUUAAUUAAGAUUUGCUCUAAACCUGAACUUGUGGGAAGAGUACUUGAUCUAAAGUCUAAGUUGCUAACGGAUAUGAUAUGGGAAGGUUGAGUUGCUGUUUAUCUGUUCCUAGAUAUGCUAGAAUUCUGGAGAAUUUUAUCUUUGAAAAUCUUUAAAAUAUUGCAUGAUGAGUUCCUGUAUGAUGAGAGUUUAAAUUCCUACCACAGCCAUAUAUACAUGCUUGCUAGACUUUGAGCCACACAUUUACUUUUUUACUGCUUAUGAGCAUUGAGUGUGGUCAAGCUGUGUAGACCCUUAGGAGUUUGUCAUGUGGUUAAAUCAAGAUUCACUUGCACGUUCACUCAUACAUGCUACUUCUACUUCGGAAGUACGCAUCCACAUAUAUUCACCCAUUUCCAUCUCCAGAACCACCCAACAAUAUUCUACUCCUAAUCCGGGAGAGAAUAGCCAAAAACAUUUAUGUUUUUCCCCUGUGAAAUAAAUGCUCAAGUUAUCUUGUUGCUACCACUUGCUAUAUUAUCUCAUGAGAUGAGUGCUCUAAAAAAAGAAAAAAAAGAGAAGAAAAAUAAAUACGAGGAAAUAAAAAAGGGGCAAGUGCCCGGAACCUCGAAAGAAAAGAAAAAAAGUGAGACGAGAGGUAAAAAUGGACAAGUGUCCGACAGUAGAAUUAGGGGUACAAGAUACCCACCUGAGAGGAAAGAAAAAGAAAAUACAGAGCAUCUCAUUCUCCCCAAAAGUUUCAAAAGAGCAAGGAAGGUAUGUAUCCCCUUAAAAGAGCAUAAGUAGAAUUAGACUUCCACCAUUGUUAUCACCAUCAUUACCAUGCACCAUUCAUUCGCCACACAUGCACAUCUUGAUUUGACUUAUUGACUUGUUCUUCUGGAUCCAUGGUUUGACUAUGCAAUAAAUGUCUUGUAAGUAUAUAUUAGCUGUCUCCCACCUAUGAGCUCCAGAUAUCAAAAGCCUUAUUAGAGUAGGGUGAGAGAGAAGGCAAUGUCACUAUGCCUCAUACCAAAAAUACCACAUACUUUGAGAGAAGGCAUAUACCAUUACUGCCUUGGUAAGGAUCCAGAAAUACCACAAAAGAGAGACUAGAGAGAGUCAUACAAGGAAUCUCUGAGUUUUAUUUGAAAAUCUGCAAAAACUCUAGAGCUAUAGUUAAUCGAAGAACAAGAGACAUGGUGCUUGACUAGACUGUUCUAUCUUUUAACUACUCAAGACAGAAGUGACGGUUACAAGUCCCAUGGUGAAAGGUAAAUGAGUAAGUUUUAAGUCUUAACAGUUUACUCUAACCAGAGAUGAGAUCUUGUUUAAACGCAUGUGUAUCUUUAAGUUAUGAAACCACUGUAGAAACUCUUGAGUUCAUCUUUGCUCAGGGACGAGCAAAGGUUAAGCUUGGGGGAGCUUGUUGACGGUCCUUAAUGCUCACAUUUAACCAUCAACUAAUCAUAGAAAAGGAUCCAAAUGCAACCAACACCUAGACUUAGAGUUUUAUCUGACAGAAUUCCAUGAGUUUUGGUGUUUGUCUAUUUCUGCAGGGGGUUAUCAGGAAAUACGGAAGAAAGGCCCACACGUCGGGUUUACAUAUAGAUAUUAACGUGCCACGCAAUUUUCUAUCAUCUAGAAGACUCCAGAAGCCACGGGACCGAAGCGGAGGCCGAGAGGACACAGGGACAGGGCGCCCGCCCUCCUUUCCUGGGCGCCCGCCCUCAGCCAGAGUCCAAUCAGGACUCUCUUUCGGGAUAUUGCUCCACCGACCUAAAGGAUCAACAAUAACGGUUCAAUCAAUAUCGGUUUGAUCCGACGGCCCAGAUUCACUUGAAGGGACUAUAAAACCAGACCCCCUGGCCCAUGGAGAUCAUACCUCUUCUACAUAAUCAAAGUUAGGGAUUCAAUUCUUCAUCCAAGUAGAGAGGAUCCCUCUAGUUCUUCUAGUUCUACCUCUAGUUCAUCUAGAUCUAGUUCUAGUUCAUCUAGUUCUAGUUCUAGUUCUUCUAGUUUUAGUUCUAGUUAGUUCUAGUUGUAAUCUAGAAAAUAGGGAGAGAGGAGAGGAGAGCGGAGGAGGAGCCGGAUCUGUCGGAUCUUCCUCAACAUUGUACUUUUGCAGCAUCUGGUUCGUUCUUCAUCGUUCUCCAGGUUCUUCAACUCAUAAUUCCUGAGUUCUCUAAUUACUUUUAUUUACAUUCAAGUUAUUUAUUGGAUUCCCGCUUGCAUCAAGUGCUCUAAUCUUUGAAACAUUAGAGUAGUAAUUAAUAGAUUAGACGUGGUGUUUAGUCUUGCAAUUACCUAGAAUUGCACCCAAUCCUGCGGAUUGUUGUGGUAGCCUUAGGGUAGUGACAGCCCUAACGGUCGACGUAUUCCACCACGUUCGGAUCGGUGUUUGUAGGACCGUAGUCAGACCUUCCUAGCCCCCUUCUCAUCUCUUUCUGUGGUUAGUGCUCUGAUGUCCCGAUAUAGAUAAUCUUGAAGUAAUUCUUGAUUCUUAGAUCAACUAGAGAACUCUCAGGAAACUUCCUCUCUUCCCACCAAAAAUAAUUAUAUAGUUAUCCUUGGGCGAUCUUGGAUCUUAAUUAGUAUACUCACGUUCUCUGUGGAAAAUCGAUACUCUGGAAUACUCCCGGGCGAAAGCUACAUCGGUAUCCGUGCGCUUGCGGAUUUUUCUGUUUGCGUUUAAAAUACCCAACACAAGCAUUUUUGGCGCCAUUGCCGGGGAAGGAUGAUUACUAAUCAGGAAUGGAAUAAAAGAUUUUGAGUUAUCAUUCGCAUCACUAAUAUGAUUGAGCUUAUCUAUUCUCUCAUACAGUUUUACCCCGAUAUUUUCCUAUUUCAUCUUAUGCAGGGGAAUGUAUGAAUAGAAGACAUCUUCUAGGAAAUUUUGUUGACAAUCCCGAAGCAUUAUUCAAGAAGACGAGAGCCAAGCUCAAGAAGAAAUCAUCAACACUUCAGCAAGAAACUUCAUCCAAUCAAGAAGAUCACCGGAACUUGUCUUCAGAGUUCGAAGCCAUGGCGAACAAAUCAAUCCGCGAGUUCUCAGCUCCCACUACGGACAACAUCCGUACCGGACCUGCUGCAGAGAUCGAUGGCAACUUUGAGCUCAAGCCUGGACUUAUCAACAUGGUGCAAUCCAACCAGUUCUGUGGGAAGGCACACGAAGAUGCUAGUGCUCAUUUACAACACUUCCUGGAGAUUUGCAACACAUUCACCAUAUCAGGAGUUUCCAAAGAUGCUAUACUACUUCGCCUCUUCCCAUUCUCACUGUUAGGAAGAGCGAAGCAGUGGUUCUACGCUACAAAGGAGAAUAAUACUACGUGGGCACUCUGCUCAACAAACUUUCUGGCAAAGUUCUUUCCCAUGUGCAAGACCAAUGCUCUCCGUGGGAAGAUUACAAGUUUUCAGCAACAAAAUGAUGAAUCUGUUCCAGAAGCAUGGGAGCGCUUUCAAGACUACACCCUAGAAUGUCCCCAUCAUGGAAUGGAGAGUUGGCUAUUGAUGCAGACAUUUUAUCAUGGGCUCGGCAACAGUGCCCGAGAGACCAUGGAAGCUGCAGCUGGAGGAGCAUUCUUAUCACUUACUAUACCACAAGCCACAGCUCUUGUGGAGAAGAUGGCGUCCAAUCAAAGCUGGAAUGAAGAGAGGACCCAGACACGCAAGAGAGGUGGAGGUAUGCAUCAGCUGAAGGAGGUAGACAUGCUGUCUGCAAAGCUAGACCUGCUCAUGAAGAAGCUCGACGAUAAAGCUGGAGACAAGAAAGAAGUUAUGCACAUCUACGACUCUCACAUGACUUGUGAGGAGUGUGGAGACACUGGACACUCAGGCAACCACUGCCCUGAGAUACUUGAGGAUGUGAACUAUAUCAACAACAACAAUAACAACUACUACAACCGUCCUCAACAAAAUCAAGGUUGGAAUCAACAGAGGCCUAACUACUUAGGUAAUUAUCAAGGUAACAAUUCUUACAACAAUAAUAAUAAUUUUCCACCUUUGAGAGAGUUAGUGUCUAAUCAAGGAAAGCUAAUAGAUAACCUAUCUAAAAAAUUGGCAUCAAAUGAUAAAAUGCUAGAAAAUAUAAAUAAUAGAAUGGAUAAUUUCUCUACCGCCAUCAAGAAUCAAAUUAGCUUUAAUAAAAUGAUUGAAUCUCAGUUAAAUCAAAUAGCUGCUGCUGUUCCUACUACUAACCCCGAUAUACCAUCACAACCGGAAGGAUUAGAAUCUGCAAAUCUUGUAGACAAAUUUGAUGCAGGUAAUUGGAGUAACCCCGUCAAUGAAUUCUCUACUGACCUUCUGCCGGUCAAGAGAGGCGAUCCAGGACGCCCCGUCAUCCCGAUCUCCAUCGGCAUGGUGGACGUUCCAGAAGCACUCUGCGACUUUGGCUCCAGUGUCAACAUUAUACCCAGGGUACUCUAUGAAAAAUUCUUUACAUAUCCUUUAUUAGAGACAACCAUGUGUUUGCAGUUUGCAGAUCAGACGAUAACUUGUCCAAAAGGAAUAGUGAAGAACCUUUGUGUCCGAGUUGGUACCUUGUAUGCCCCAGCAGACUUCGUAGUGGUAGAGACCGAAAAUGAUGAGAGAGCACCUAUCAUCUUAGGGAGGCCAUUCUUGAACACCACGGAAGCUAUCAUCUACGCCAGUGCUACUAAGAUCAGUUUUUACGUCAAAGGGAGGAAGGAGACAUUUUUCUUCAAGAACGAGACUACACAAAUUCCAGAUCAAUCCAGACGUGAAUCAAGGAAGAGGACCAACAGGAGGAACAGGAACAAGCAAGUGUGGACCGAGUCAGCUAAGAUGGUCACUGUAGUUCAUGGAGGCCAAGAUCAUCAACUUAAGUCACCGUUUUUGACCAAGAAGGACGACCCAGGAAUGCCAAGCAUUUACUGCUCCAUAAAUGGAUACAACUUCUACAAGACAUUUUGUGACACCGGAUCGGGCGUUAACAUAAUGGCCGCAGUCACCUAUCGGCUCUUGUUCGGAACCAUGCCCCUAAGACCAACAUACAUUCAACUCCAGAUGGCAGAUCAGACAUUUCGAGAAGUUAAAGGAAUAGUAACUGAUGUCCCAGUCAAAAUAGACGAUCACUUUGUCUACACAUACUUUCAAGUUAUUGACAUGGGAGAAGACGAGUACGAUCUAUCCAUCAUCCUUGGAAGACCGUUCCUCAGCACCGUUAAAGCAAUUAUCUACAUUGGAACCGGAGAAGUCCAUAUGCACUUCCCCUCAGAGAAGGUACGCCGUUAUUUUACUGACCCUAACUAUAUCGUUGAAGAAUCUAAGCAGGUCAGAAAAAGACGCAACCGCAACCAGAGGAGGCAAAUCAUCAAGGACGGAUGGGCAGACUACGAAGGAGAAGUUGUAAGGUCAGAAGACGUAAAGUUUAAACAGAAUUAUCUAGAGGAGACCGAAGCACCAAGUCAGGUAUGGAAAAUGAAGAUAACUAUACAUGAAGAGGAGGCGCCGCCGGAAGUACCGACUACGCCACCCAACGAACCUCAGGACGAUUGAAAAAAUGGAGAGUCCCGUUCGGAGGACUUAAAAACACCGAACGCCUUGCCGAGAGGUAAACUUGAUAGUUAUCCUUUCUCUUUUAAUUAUUUCAAAUAGUUUACUUAGUUAAUCAAGUUCAUACUAUCUUAAAAAGAAAAUAAAAAUAUGAAAAACAGUAAGCCCCAUGUGAGUAUACGAGUGGCAUAAAAUCCAUAAGUACAUUCACUAUGGUGGCAUAAAAAUAAAAUAAAUAUUUUUCUGCUUUAUAAAAUGAAAAUAUAAAAAAAACAGGGAGUAAUAAUUAUUAAGGAGUCUCAAGAUGAUAAAGGCUAGAUAUUUAUGCUAACACUUAAUCAGUUCCACAAGCUUUGUUGUCUAUUUGAGCUCCACAGAAUUUAAGAGUCAAGAAGACUAGUAGACGGAGGACAUUCUAAUCGCUGUCAGAAUGCUGCUGACUUUCAAAUACACCUGUGCCACCUGCUAGCUACAUCAAGAGAAAUUACGUCAAAAUUCAGCUUGGGGGAGAGCACCCCCAUUUAUCUCGAUAAGUAUUUCUAUCUAUCUAUCUUUACACUCAUAUUAUUUUAGAAUAUAAAUAUACAUAACUAUGAAAAAACCAAAUAAAGAUUUUAUGCUUAUUUAUAUAUCUUUUGCUUAGUGUGUUUAAUAAAAUAAAGUGGCUAUGCUAAUCUGUAUCUUAAUAAUAAAACUUAAGCAUGGAUAUGAUGAAUAGUUGCUCUACCUAAUUUGCAUAUUUUAAGUUCUCUCUGAAGUUUAGAUAUAACUGUUAUAAUUUAAAGCUUGCUCUAGACCUAAACUUGUAGGAUGAAAACUUGAUCUGAAGUCUAAGUUGUUAACGGAUACGAUAUGGGAAGGUUGAGCUGCUGUUUAUCUGUUCCUAGAGAUGCUAGAAUUCAGGAGAAUUUUAUCUUUGAAAACUUUAAAAUGUUGCAUGAUGAGUUCCUGUAUGAUGAGAGUUUAAAUUCCUACCACAGCCAUAUAUACAUGCUUGCUAGACUUUGAGCCACACAUUUACUUUUUACUGCUUAUAAGCAUUGAGUGUGGUCAAGCUGUGUAGACCCUUAGGAACUUGUCAUGUGGUUAAAUCAAGAUUUCACUUGCACGUUCACUCAUAUAUGCUACUUCUACUCCGGAAGUACCAUCCACAUAUAUCCACCUAUUCCAUCUCCAGAAUCACCCAAAAAUAUUCUACUCCUAACCCGGGAGAGAAUAACCAAAAAUAUUUCUGUUUUCUCUUGUGGAAUAAAUGCUCAAGUUAUCUUGUUACUACCACUUGCUAUAUUAUCCCAUGAGAUGAGUGCUCUAAAAAAAGAGAAAAUAAAAAAAUACGAGGAAAUAAAAAAGAGCAAGUGCUCGGAACCUCGAAAUAAAAGAAAAAGUGAGACGAGAGGUAAAAAUGGACAAGUGUCCGACAGUAGAAUUAGGGGUGCAAGAUACCCACCUGAGAGAAAAGAAAAAGAAGAGCAUCUCAUUCUCCUCAUAAAGUUUCAAAAAGCAAGGAAGGUAUGUAUCCCCUCAAAGAGCAAAGUAGAAUUAGACUUCCACCACCAUUGUUUUCACCAUUGUUAUCACCAUCAUCACCAUACACCAUUCAUUCACCACACAUGCACAUCUUGAUUAAACUUAUUGAUUUGUUUCUUUAGAUCCAUGGUUUGACUACGCAAUACAUGUCUUGUAAGUAUGUAUACUUUAUUUCCCACCUAUGAGCUCCAGAUAUUAAAGCCUUAUUAGAGUAGGGUCAGAGAGAAGGCAAUGUCACUAUGCUUUAUACCACAAAUACUCCAUAUCUUGAGAGAACGCAUAUACCAUCACUGCCUUGGUAAGGAUCCAGAAAUACCACAAAAGAGAGAUCUGAGAGAAUCAUACAAGGAAUCUCUGAGUUUUAUUUGAAAAUCUGCAAAAACCCCAGAGCUAUAGCUGAUCAAGAAUAAGAGACAUGGCACUUGACUAGACUAUUCUAUCUUUUAACCUCUCAAGACAGAAGUGACGGUUACAAGUCCCAUGGUGAAGGUAAAGUAAGUAAGUUUUAAGUCUUGACAGUUUACUCUAACUCAGAGAUAAGAUCUUAUUUAAAAAGCAUGUGUACCGUCAAUUUUUAAAUAUAUUGCAACAACUUAUGAUCCAUAGCUGAGUCUAUCCUUGCUCAGGGACGAGCAAGAGGUAAGCUUGGGGGAGUUUGUUGACGGUCCUUAAGUAUCAAAUUUAAUUAUCAAAUAAAUAAAUAAAAGGAUCUAAAUGAAAUCAACAUCUAGACUUAGGGUUUUAUCUGACAGAAUUCCACGAGUUUUGGUGUUUGUCUAUUUCUGCAGGGGGUUAUCAGGAAAUACGGAAGAAUGGCCCACACGUCGGGAUUACGUAAAGAUAUUAACGUGCUGCGCAAUUAUCUUACAUCUAGAAGACUCCAGAAGCCACGAGACCGAAGCGGAGGCGAAAUGGGGCCAGAGGCAGGGCGCCCGCCCUCCUGCCCUGGGCGCCCGCCCCCUCCCUGAGUCCAAUCAAGACUCUGCUUUGCGGGAGAUUUCCACCGACCAUACAAUCUAUGUCGGUUUGAUCCAACGGCCCAUAUUCACUUGAAAGGACUAUAAAACCAGACCCCCUGGCCCCUGGAGGAGAGAGCCUCUCAACCCUAAUUCAUUGUUCCAUCAAGGGAGAAGAAGCCUCUGAUCAAGAUUAGAGCCACCACAUCAAUUAGAUAUCUAGAUUAGCAUAGCUACAUAGGAUUAGAACUAGAAGGAGUCAAUCUUUGAUUGGUUUCCGGAUCUGUCAAGAGGAUUCUUGGUAAUUCUCUAAUUGUGCUUCUAAUUACUUUCUAAUUAUCUUUGUUCUUCAAUAUUAUGAAUAUGACUUUGUUCUACUUCAAUAUAUUGCUUAUGACUUUGCUCUACUUGCUUAUAUUCAAGAUUAUAUUGUUCUUAGUUUAUCAUAGUUAUGUACUUGGCUUAGUUAGAUUCGAUCUAUAUACAUGCUUAGGAUCGUAUAGCAUUUAUCCAUUGGAUCCAUGGGUAAAUGAUAGAUAUUGUGUAGGCGUGGUGCUUAUACCGUAUUUAUCUGCGAUUGUACCCAAUAUGCCAGAUCGUGGGGUGGUUCGUGAUAGUGACAGCUUCAUUGAUUCUUAUAUAGUCCCCCUCUCAUGUAUUGGGCUGGCAGAGCAACAUUAUUACAGGGGAGUGAUUGCUAUGUUUCUCAUAUUCCUUGCUAAUAUCACUAUGCAUGGGCGUAGUCUUAUCUCACAAUGAUUGCUAAGUAUGCUUGCACUAAUUAUGAUAAUGCUAGACUAUAUAGUUGAGAAUAACUUAGGGAAUAUUCUUGUAGUUUGUUCUAAUACCAUGCUAAUGACUUUCUAGAGUAUCUAAUUGAGGUGCUUAUCAUAUUUAUUAUGUGGCUAGAUCAGAUUAGUUAUCCUUGUCACUAUUAUUAUUUCAUAUAUCUUUUAUGUGACACUUAUCCCUGUAUGAAGAGUUAGAUAUAAUGUUCUCAAUUAUACAUGCAAUGAUAGAUGCUCAAUCUCAUAUUCUAUUCUGUAAUCAAUAUUGAUGAUUGCUAAUCCCUUCAGAGUGGUAAAAAUAUAAAUAACCAUACCUAGAAUACUUCCCGGUUAAAAUGCUACAUCAGUAUUAAUCUGUGCGCUUGCAGAUCCCAUUCAUUAUUUAUUUAGAAGAGCAAUUGCAUAUUUCAAUACCGCGUCUCUUAUAUCAUGCUGGGGAUGACAACUUGGCUUAAGUGGUGUGAGGGAUAGGUUUGGCAUUUUUGGCACCGUUACUAGAUUUAGAGAACUUAGUCUACUUUUGGUAAUGAUGUUAAGAAUACCCAACAGUAUACUUAGCAAUCAUUGUGAGACAAGACUACGCCCAUGCAUAGUGAUAUUAGCAAGGUAAAUGAGAAACAUAGCAAUCACUCCCCUGUAAUAAUGUUGCUCUGCCAGCCCAAUACACGAGAGGGGGACUAUAUAAGAAUCAAUGAAGCUGUCACUAUCACAAACUACCCCACGAUCUAGCAUAUUGGGUAUAAUCGCAGAUAAAUACGGUAUAAGCACCACGCCUACACAAUAUCUAUCAUUUACCCAUGGAUCCGAUGGAUAAACGCUAUACGAUCCUAAACAUGUAUAUAGAUCCAAUCUAACUAAGCCAAGUAUAUAACUAUGAUAAACUAAGAACAAUAUAAUCUUGAAUAUAAACAAGUAGAGCAAAGUCAUAAGCAAUAUAUUGAAGUAGAACAAAGUCAUAUCCAUAAUAUUGAAGAACAAAGAUGAUUAGAAGAACAAUUAGAAGAACAAUUAGAGAAUUACCAAGAAUCCUCUUGACAGAUCUGGAAACCAAUCGAAGAUUGACUCCUUCUAGUUCUAAUCCUAUGUAGCUAUGCUAAUCUAGAUGUCUAAUUGAUGUGGUGGCUCUAAUCUUGAUCAGAGGCUUCUUCUCCCUUGAGAAUAAUGAAUUAGGGUUGAGAGACUCUCUCCUCCAGGGGCCAGGGGUUCUGGUUUUAUAGUCCCUUCAAGUGAAUAUGAGCCGUUGGAUCAAACCGACAUUGAUUGAACGAUUAUCCUUGAUCCUUUAGGUCGGUGGAGAUCUUUCCCGAAAGAGAGUCCUGUUUGGACUCCAGGAGGGGGCGGGCGCCCAGUGCCUGGCCCCGUUCGGCCUCCGCUUCCUUCCCGUGGCUUCUGGAGUCUUCUAGAUGUAAGAUAAUUGCGCAACAUGUUGAUAUCUCUAUGUAAUCCCGACGUGUGGGCCUUUCUUCCGUAUUUCCUGAUAACCCCCUAUAGAAAUAGACAAACAUCAAAACUCGUGGAAUUCUGUCAGAUAAAACCCUAAGUCUGGAUGUUGAUUUUAUUUGGAUCCUUUUCUUUGUUUAUUUGAUAAUUAAUUUUGAUACUUAAGGACUGUCAACAAACUCCCCCAAGCUUACCUCUUGCUUGUCCCUAAGCAAGGAUAGACUUAGUGAUAGAUCAGAAGUUGUUGCAACACCUUUUAAAAGUUGACGGUGUUGAUAUUUGGGAACGCAAUAAGGAAUUGAUCCGUAAGCGCACGAAUAUCGGUGAGCACUUCACCCGGGAAAUUAUCCAGAGUAUCGUAUUUAUUUUUUUACCACUAGGAGAAAGAGUGCAUCUGACUAACCGGUCUAUUACUACUAACCUUUAGGCACAAAGAAUGUCUUUCGAUGUGAGUGAUAAAUAGAGAAGACUGCAACCGUAGUCUCCUUCUAACCUUGGUAAGGAUGAUCUACUGUUCUAAUGGGGAGGCUAACGGAAUCUAGACACCACAAAGGAUGUUCAACCCGCACCUAUAAACCCUAUCCUUCCUGCUAACGAGAUGUGAUCUACAAAGGUAGCUCGGAAUUGUCACGUUCCUCACUACUACCACGGUCCAGCUAGUUAGGAAAUAUCUAUGAGUACCCCAGCCUAAACACCACGUUUAUGCCAGCAAUGAUUACUCUAAACUCUACGCGAAGAGAUUAAAGUAAACUCAUAAACCAUAAGAACAAUAAAACAAGAACUUACUAGAAUUUAGAAGUCGAAUUACUGAAGAAUCCUAGGAGCAAGCUUCGGGUUAGGAGAACUUGAUCCCGCAGGUACAAGCUUGGAGUAGACACCGACAGGCAGGGCUUCCUCCAAUCUACACCUCCACUCUAUCUCUCUCAAUCUAGUAGAAACUAGAAGAUCUAUUUCUACCUUACAUUGGUUGCUAAGCCUAAAAAGAAAUAUUAAUUAGAGAAGAGGUUUUCCUUCGAGGGCACCCCUCAGUCUCUAUGAUAAUUUCUUCAUGUCUUCUCCAGGGGCCAGGGGGGUCUCCUUAUAUAGUCCUCCCCUUCUAUGCGUUUUUGGGCCGAUAGGCGAGGUGGUACUAUGUUUUUCUUGAUCCAAUAGGUCGGUGGAAUAUCCCGAGCGAAGAGAGUCCUGAGAGCACUCCAGCACGGGGCGGGCGCCCAGGUCACCAGGGCGGACGCCCUGGGCCUGGCCCCUUUUGGCCUCCGUCUUCUUCCCGUGGCUUCUAGAGUCUUCUAGAUGGUGGAAAAUCGUGCGGUGUGUUGAUAUCUCUAUGUAAUCCCGACAUGUGGGCCUUUCUUCCUUAUUUCUUGAUAACCCCCUGCAGAAAUAGAUAAACAACAAAACUCGUGGAAUUCUGUCAGAUCAAACCCUAAUUCUAGGUGUUAGUUGCAUAUUGGUCCUUUCUCUUGUUUAUUUGAUAAUUAAAAUUGAUACUUAAGAACCGUCAACAAAUACCCCCAUACUUAGGCUUUUACUCGUCCUCGAGAAAAGGAUGGUUAAGAACAAUAUCUGGGGUAAAACAUUUUAAAAUAUUCUUUAUAUUUGCAGGGUGUUAAAAAUCCACUGUAUACCAUAGUCAGGGAUGUUUAUGGUUAAGAGUAGAGAUCCUUUCUUCUCAAUCCUGUCACUUGGAGUUUUUGUAUAUUUUUAAAAGAAAGUUAGCAUACCUUUUUAUCCUCAUAGGUUCUCUCAGAUCACUCAUUAUCUUUUAUAUAUAUCUCACUGAGGCUGUUUUAUUUUUGCAAAAAUUCUCAAGCAUACUUACUUUGCAUUUAUUGCUUGAUCAAAACGGGAUCCGAGGAGGGGAAUGUCAUACUCUUAGAUCAAAGACUUUUGGAAAUUAAAAUCUUUGUCAACUCUUGCUGGCAUAUUGCUUAUUAGAGGGACCAUGGGCUAUCAUUUUUUUUCUCUUUUCUUUUUUUAAGUGGAUACCGAGGUACCCCUAAUUCUACUGCCGGACACUUGUCCAUUUUUUUCUGCGAGGUUGUCGAGCACUUGCUCCUUUUUAUUUCCUUGAAAUAUUUUUAUUUUUGCAUAGCCCAUGCCUCUAAUGCAAUAAUACUUCGGAAGAGUGAAUCUUUCUGAAAUACUGUCUUGAUCUUAGGAGCAUGAUAAAUCUCUCAACAAGGGUCUAACUCAUUUUGAACAAACUCAAUACAGAGUAGAUAGCUUUUAUAAUUAUAAUUAAUAUUUUCAGUCUUAUCAGGCAUAAAACACUGAGGAUGGUAGCUAUAAUUUUGAAUAUUUUGAAAUAAAUUCUCCAAGUAACAAUGAUAUCAAGAAUAAGAAACUCAUACUCUACCAUCACAUAUUCCAUAUUGACUUAAGUGACACAGGGUUUUAAAAUGAUUUUCAAUAAUUGUAAGUUUUCAGGAAAUAUCACAGAUUGAGAUUAAUCAUGAUUAGAAAUAUUUUAAUCUUUUUAUUUUAUCAUGUCGGAAACAAUAAUCUGCAUAAUCCAAGAUAUAUGUAUGUGUAAAGUGUGCAGAGUGUGUACCUGAAUCGUGGAGUGGUGUAGUCGGAGUGUGGUUGGCAUGUCGAGGGAUCUCCCCCAUACUUGUUUUCUGCUUUCUUGCACAAAAAUAAAGUAGAGACAUACAAGACAUAAUAAUAAUAAUAGUAACACUCUUUAUUAAUCUUGAGGCAUUUAUUACAAAAGACUAGUAGCAAACUGAUAACAAACUGAUGAUAAUAGCAAACCUAAACCGAAUUUAAAGAUAGAUAACUAAGAUGCAUUGCCUCAAGGUCUAAUCUAGAUAACUUAGCGGCGCUCUAAUUCCUUGAUCUUCUUGUUGGCACUGGCAAGAUCCUGCCUAAGGCCUAGUAUAAUGGUGUUGUGGUUAGAGAGCUGUCUAGUGAGGGAAUUAAUCGAGGACUGGAGAUCUAUGAUAACUCUGUCUAGUCUGCGAAUGUCCUCAUCAAUGUCUACUAUAGUCUUGCGACGCUUGGGAGGUGUCUCAAAAGCAGUCAGAGCGUGCUUCGGGGCUGCCUUUGGAGGGAUGAAUCGGACUUUGGCUGCUCGAAUCCCUUCAAAGUAAGGCCUUUCCUCCUCCGUAGUGUAGCGAAUACUGCUGAUCUCGCCGCUCCGGUUGGUCUUGACUCCUACGACCCUCUCAUUGGGUCUAGGUGGAAGGAUCCUUGUGCCGGUUGGCACCUUGAUAGUGGUCUUCGUCUUGGAUGAUGAUCCUUUGAGGAGUAGGGGUUGUGGCGGUGUGGUGAGAACUGGUUGAGCAUGGUAAGAUUGGGCGGAGCUGCGUUGGCGUAAUGGCAUGGCUUCUAGCUGUCGCUCUGUGUUGGCCGGGACGAGAGCACGGGCAUCGGGGUCUUCCACAGGCUCCAUGUUGAGGUUGAAGGGGACGACUUCCCAAUCAUCGUGGUACUUCUCGGCCAUUGGAGCAGCAAGGAACUAAUCAAGCUCUAAUUUAAGGAGAGCUAAUCAAGCUCUAAUUGAAGGAGAGAAGGCUUGGUGGCUUGGUGAUUGAAAACUGAGGUCGGGGUCUGUUUAUAUAGGGGUCAAAAGGGUGCCUCUAUGGGUUGUUCGGGUUGCUCCCGUCGACUUGCGUGGGAAACUUUCCAUCCGAGGGAUUAUUCGAAUUACCAUAAGUGCAUUUUCCAUAACAGAGAAAAUCGGGACCGAGGGGGAACAGGAGCUGGGCGCCCGCCCACCUGAGCUGGGCGCCCGCCCUCUCUCUGGCCCCUCUGUGGGCCCACUUUCUCGAGCGCGUUUCUAGAUACGAAAUUAUUUAGAAAAAAUAUAUAUAUGACCCAAAAACAUCAGACUAAAAAGGUCGGGCUCUAAUUCUCCAUGGGAAGGUAAAAGUGGACUACGUCUAUUUCUUCAAAUUCCUCAUUGGGCUCUAAAAAUAAUUUAAUACGUUGACCAUUUACCUUGAAUAACGUACCUUCGUCAUUUUGAAGUGUGAUAGCUCCGUGGGAUGAUGAAUUAAUUACCUUGAAUGGUCCUUCCCAUUUGCUCCGGAGUUUUCCAUGCCCGAAAAGCUUCACCCUGGAAUUAAAAAGUAAUACCUUAUCUCCCGGUGUGAACUCCUUCUUCUUGAUUCUCUUAUCAUGCCACGGUUGACGGUCCUUAAUGCUCACAUUUAACCAUCAACUAAUCAUGAAAAAGGAUCCAAAUGCAACCAACACCUAGACUUAGGGUUUUAUCUAACAGAAUUCCACGAGUUUUGGUGUUUGUCUAUUUCUACAGGGGGUUGUUGACGGUUCUUAAGUAUCAAUUUUAAUUAUCAAAUAAACAAGAGAAAGGACCAAUAUGCAACUCACACCUAGAAUUAGGGUUUGAUCUGACAGAAUUCCACGAGUUUUGUUGUUUAUCUGUUUCUGCAGGGGUUAUCAGGAAAUAAGGAAGAAAGGUCCACAUGUCGGGAUUACAUAGAGAUAUCAACGCACCGCGCAAUUUUACAUCAUCUAGAAGACUCCAGAAGCCACGAGACCGAAACGGAGGCGAAGCUGGGCCAGGCCCAGGGCGCCCGCCCUAGUAGCCUGGGCGCCCGCACCCCUGCUGGAGCCAAUUCAGGACUCUUUCGCUCGGGAUAUUCCACCGACCUAUUGGAUCAAGAAAAACAUAGUACCACCUCGGCUAUCGACCCAAAAACGCAUAGAAGGGGAGGACUAUAUAAGCGAGGCCGCCCUGGCCCCUGGAAGACAUGAAGAAAUUAUCAUAGAGACUGAGGGGUGCCCUCGAAGGAAAACCUCUUAUCUAAUUAAUAUUUCUUUUUAGGCUUAGCAAUCAAUGUAAGGUAGAAAUAGAUCUUCUAGUUUCUACUAGAUUGAGAGAGAUAGAGUGGAGGUGUAGAGUGGAGGAAGCCCGGCCUGUCGGUGUCUACUCCAAGCUUGUACCUGCGGGAUCAAGUUCUCCUAACCCGAAGCUUGCUCCUAGGAUUCUUCAGUAAUUCGACUUCUAAAUUCUAGUAAGUUCUUGUUUUAUUGUUCUUAUGGUUUAUGAGUUUACUUUAAUCUCUUCGCGUAGAGUUUAGAGUAAUCAUUGCUGGUGUAAACGUGGUGUUUAGGCUGGGGUACUCAUAGAUAUUCCCUGACUAGCUGGACCGUGGUAGUAGUGAGGAACGUGACAAUUCCGAGCUACCUUUGUAGAUCACAUCUCGUUAGCAGGAAGGAUAGGGUUUAUAGGUGCGGGUCGAACAUCCUUUGUGUUGUCUAGAUUCCGUUAGCCUCCCCAUUAGAACAAUAGAUCAUCCUUACCAAGGUUAGAAGGAGACUACGGUUGCAGUCUUCUCUAUUUAUCACUCACAUCGAAAGACAUUCUUUGUACCUAAAGGUUAGUAGUAACAGACCGGUUAGUCAGAUGCACUCCUUCUCCUAGUGGUAAAAAAAUAAAUACGAUACUCUGGAUAAUUUCCCGGGUGAAGUGCUCACUGAUAUCCGUGCGCUUGCGGAUCAAUUCCUUAUCGCGUUCCCAAAUAUCAACAAGCAUUUCUGGCGCCGUUGCCGGGGAGAAAGACGGUUGCUGAGAUAACCUGUGUCUUGCUAUUAGCUUGUAUCUAUACUUUUAUCUUUUCUUAUCUUUUAUAUUCUUUAUUUAUUUGUCUUUACUCUUACCUUAUGGAAAACCAAAGUUCUAAAUCGAUCCAUGAGUCUGCAAUCCCUUUAGCAACUGACCUUUUACCAUGGGAAUCAUCACAGCCUAUCCAAACACCCCAGUAUAAGUUAAGUUCUAGGUUGAUUGCCAAGAUUCAAAACUUAUCUUUUUCGGGAAAGGAAGACAAAAACCCUUACCUUCAUAUUAGAGAUUUUGAGCAAACAUGUGAUUGUCUUCGCAUUGAAGGCAUUUCUAAUAAGACUUUACGUUGGAAGCUUUUUCCUUUUUCCUUAAGAGGAGAAGCUAGACAAUGGUACAGUCAGAAGGUAAGUCAACAACAAGGUGAAUGGGGAGUUUUACGAGCCAACUUUUGUCUAGAUUUUUAUUCCCUUGACCGUAUAGCUGACCUUAGACUCGAAGUCCUAUCUUUUAAACAAAAAGAUAAUGAAACUUUGGGAAAAUCCUGGAAACGUUUUUCUGAUCUUUUAGAAUCUGGUCCAAACCUUAAUCUAGAAGACCCUGUUCUUUUAUUUCAUUUUUUCCGAGGUCUUCAUAAAAAUCACAAACAAAUGCUACACACAAUGUCUAGAGGUUCUUUCUUUUGCAUCCCUGCUGAUGAAGCUAGAGUGAUCCUAGAUAGAAUCCUAGAAGCUGAGAUGGAUAAUACCCUUCAUGAUGAAACCUACGAAGCCGAAGUAGACACUCUGCCAAAUUCUUCAUCUACUUUAGCUAUCCCAAGUUCUGAGCCACAAGAGGAAGAAAUUCCACUACCGGACUUCAUGCUGGAUAUAGAAUCCGAUCUUUUUGCCGAUUUUGGAAAUAUUUCAAACUACCAUUCUAUUGACAAACCCCAAAACGGCCAGUUUAGCAUUUAUUUACCAAGUGAAUAUCAAUUGAGAGAGCUUAUCUCAGUAAUGAGUAGCGAAUGGUUGGAGGAAUCAGAGCUUUCCUCUAAUGUGAUCCGUUUGGACACACCCUCUAUAACUAUACGCUGUGCUUAUAAUUCUGAUCGAUUUAAUGCUCUCUAUAAUCCUGUUGUGGGGAUCAACAUUAUGUCUGAAUCCUUUGCACUUAAACUAUUUAAAAAUCUUGUCUUAACCCCCACAACAAAGGUCAUAAAGGAAUCUUCGGGACGAUUAGUCCCCAGUCUUGGAAUUAUUAAUGUCCUACCUCUUACGGUAGAAGGCUCCAUGGUUCACUUGAACUUCUAUAUCUUUGAUACAUGGGACUUCGACCUAUUAAUAGGACAACCUUUUAGAAGACUCCUUUAUGAAGGUCAUACUGGAAAGCUACACAUUUCUUUUGGAAAAACUUUUCAAUUCCCAAUGAUAAUUUCACACUCCUUAAAUAAUAAGGCCCAGUCAUAUCUUUUGCCUGAUCCUAUGGAGGAAGUAAAGGCUGCAUCUCUAGAGCUUUUAGAUAAACCAGACUUAGAAGACGAAACUCCUUUCUUCAUAGAAGAAGAAGACGAACCUUCCGAGCCUGAACCCUUAGAUGAGUUUGCAGAAACACCUAGACCCCCCAUAGAACUUAAAACUUUACCACCCGGUCUUAUCUAUGCUUUCCUAAACAAUAAUCCAGAGUUCCCUGUGAUCAUUAGCGAUAAACUCACUCACGAUCAAACUCUGCGAUUAAUGACCAUUCUUGAGAAACAUCAAUCAGUUUUCGGCUACUCACUUCAAGAUCUUACAGGGAUCAGUCCUAUGAUUUUUACCCAUCGUAUUCCAACAGAUCCUUCUGUUACACCCUCUCGAGAACCCCAACGUAGACUUAACAACACUAUGAGAGAGGUAGUUAAAAAGGAAGUUAUAAAGUUGCUGCAUGCAGGGAUUAUAUAUCCUGUGCCGCACAGUGAGUGGGUAAGCCCAGUGCAAGUUGUGCCUAAAAAGGGAGGCAUGACAGUUAUUAUGAAUGAAAAGAACGAGCUAAUUCCGCAACGCACCGUCACAGGAUGGCGGAUGUGCAUAGACUAUAGAAAACUAAACAAAGCCAUGAGAAAGGAUCACUUUCCUUUACCUUUCAUAGAUGAGAUGCUAGAGCGGUUAGCAAACCAUUCGUUCUUCUGUUUCUUAGAUGGAUAUUCAGGGUAUCAUCAAAUCCCGAUCCAUCCCGAUGAUCAAAGCAAAACCACUUUUACAUGCCCUUAUGGAACUUAUGCUUACCAUAGAAUGUCUUUUGGGUUAUGUAAUGCACCAGCUUCUUUUCAAAGAUGCAUGAUGUCUAUAUUUUCUGAUAUGAUUGAAGAGAUUAUGGAAGUUUUCAUGGAUGAUUUCUCUGUUUAUGGAAAAACUUUUGAUAGUUGUCUUGAAAAGUUAGACAAGGUUUUGCAAAGAUGUGAAGAAAAGCACUUAAUCCUUAAUUGGGAAAAAUGUCAUUUUAUGGUUAGAGAAGGAACAGUGCUAGGACACUUAGUGUCUGAAAGAGGUAUUGAGGUAGACAAAGCUAAAAUUGAAGUAAUUGAACAACUACCUCCACCUGUGAACAUAAAAGGAAUUCGAAGCUUUCUUGGCCAUGCUGGUUUUUAUCGAAGAUUCAUAAAAGAUUUUUCAUUUAUUGCUAGACCACUUACUCUUUUGCUAGCCAAGGAUGCUCCUUUCGAAUUUGAUGAUGCAUGUCUAACAUCUUUCAAUUUAUUAAAGAAAGCACUCAUCUCUGCACCAAUCAUUCAACCCCCUGAUUGGUCGUUGCCUUUUUGAAAUUAUGUGUGAUGCUAGUGAUUAUGCUGUGGGGGCAGUAUUAGGACAAACUAAAGAUAAGAAGCAUCAUGCAAUUGCUUAUGCCAGUAAAACUUUGACAGGAGCUCAACUUAAUUAUGCAACCACUGAAAAAGAGCUUCUGGCUGUUGUCUUUGCCAUUGAUAAAUUUAGAUCUUAUUUAGUUGGAGCUAAAAUAAUUGUUUACACUGAUCAUGCUGCACUAAAAUAUUUGCUCACUAAAAAAGAUGCUAAACCUCGCCUGAUUAGAUGGAUCUUAUUACUCCAAGAAUUUGACUUAGAAAUAAAAGAUAAAAAAGGAGUAGAAAAUUCUGUUGCUGAUCACUUAUCUAGAAUGUAUUUUAAGAGUCCACAGGAAACCCCCAUCAAUGAUUCACUCCGGGACGACAUGCUCUACGGGAUUAACAGGUCUGACCCCUGGUAUGCAGAUAUUGUUAAUUUUAUGGUUUCAGGGUAUGUACCACCAGGAGCAAACAAGAAGAAGCUUACUCAAGAAAGUCGUUCACAUAUAUGGGAUGAGCCAUACCUCUUCCGAGUAUGCUCUGAUGGCUUACUCAGGAGAUGUGUGACCACUGAGGAAGGAUGGAAGAUCAUCGACAGAUGUCAUUCAUCACCAUAUGGAGGUCACUAUGGAGCAUUCCGUACACAUUCAAAGAUCUGGCAGUGUGGAUUCUAUUGGCCUACAAUGUAUGAAGACACGAAGCAAUAUAUCAGAAGAUGUGGGCCAUGUCAAAGACACGGAAACAUAAAUACAAGGGAUGCAAUGCCACUCACCAACAACCUUCAGAUUGAGCUCUUUGAUGUCUGGGGAAUAGACUACAUGGGUCCAUUUCCUCCAUCAAAGAAGUGCGAGUACAUCUUGGUGGCAGUUGACUAUGUCUCCAAGUGGGUAGAAGCAUUACCUUGCAAGCAUGCCGACAACGUCAGUUCAAAGAGGAUGUUUGAAGAAAUUAUAUUUCCAAGAUUUGGAGUUCCCAGAGUAGUGAUAAGUGAUGGAGGAGCACACUUCAUCGACAAACGUUUCAAGCAAUAUCUAUCAAGACAUGGAAUCCGUCACAACGUCGCUACCCCCUAUCAUCCUCAGACAAGUGGCCAAGCAGAGACUUCCAACAAACAAAUCAAGAAUAUUCUUCAGAAGACAGUAAAUGAAAUGGGAACGGCGUGGAAAGACAAGUUACCCGAUGCACUCUGGGCAUACCGGACAGCAUACAAGACCCCAAUUGGAAUGUCUCCAUACCAAUUGGUGUACGGGAAGACUUGCCAUCUACCUGUUGAACUAGAGUUCAAAGCACACUGGGCCAUAAAGAGAUGGAAUAUGGACCUAGAUGUUGCUGGAGAUUAUAGAAGAAUGCAACUAUCAGAAUUGGAAGAAUGGCGAGAGAAGGCAUAUCACAAUUCAAAGAUCUACAAAGAAAGAGUCAAGAGGUGGCAUGACAAGAGAAUCAAGAAGAAGGAGUUCACACCCGGAGAUAAGGUAUUACUUUUUAAUUCCAGGGUAAAGCUUUUCGAGCAUGGAAAACUCCGGAGCAAAUGGGAAGGACCAUUCAAGGUAAUCAAUUCAUCAUCCCAUGGAGCUAUCACACUUCAAAAUAGCGAAGGUACGUUAUUCAAGGUAAAUGGUCAACGUCUUAAAUUAUUUUUAGAGCCCAAUGAGGAAUUUGAAGAAAUAGACGUAGUCCAUUUUUACCUUCCCAUGGAGAAUUAGAGCCCGACACUUUUGGUCUGAUGGUUUUGGGUCAUAUAUAUAUUUUUCUAAAUAAUUUCGCAUCUAGAAACACGCUCGGAGAAGUGGGCCCACAGAGGGGCCAGAGAGAGGGCGGGCGCCCAGGUCAAGUGGGCGGGCGCCCUGCCCCUGUUUCCCCUCGGUCCCGACUUUCUCUGUUAUGGAAAAUGCACUUAUGGUAAUUCGAAUAAUCCCUCGGACGGAAAGUUUCCCACGCACAUCGACGGGAGUAACCCGAACAACUCAUAGAGGCAUCCUUUUGACCCCUAUAUAAACAGACCCCUGACCUCAGUUUUCAAACACCAAGCCACCAAGCUUUCUCUCCUUCAAUUAGAGCUUGAUUAGCUCUCUUUCAAUUAGAGCUUGAUUAGCUCUCCUUCAAUUAAAAUUUUAUUAGUUCUUUGCUACUCCAAUGGCCGACAAGUACCAUGAUGAUUGGGAAGUCGUCCCCUUCAACCUCAACAUGGAGCCAGUGGAAGACCCCGAUGCCCGUGCUCUCGUCCCGGCCAACACAGAGCGUCAGCUGGAAGCCAUGCCAUUACGUCAACGCAGCUCCGCCCAAUCUUACCAUGCUCAACCAGUUCUCACCGCACCACCACAACCCCUACUCCUCAAAGGAUCAUCAUCCAAAACAAAGACCACUAUCAAGGUGCCAAUCGGCACAAGGAUCCUUCCACCUAGACCCAAUGAGAGGGUCGUUGGAGUCAAGACCAACCGGAGCGGCGAGAUCAGCAGCGUUCGCUACACUACGGAGGAGGAAAGGUCUUACUUUGAAGGGAUUAGAGCAGCCAAAGUCCGUUUCAUCCCUCCAAAGGCAGCCCCGAAGCACUCUCUCAAUGCUUUUGAGACACCUCCCAAGCGUCGCAAGACUAUAAUGGAUAUUGAUGAGGAAGUUCGCAGGCUAGAUAGAAUUAUCAUAGACCUCUAGUCCUCGAUUAAUUCCCUCACUAGGCAGCUCUCUAACCACAACACCGUUAUACUAGGCCUUAGGCAGGAUCUUGCCAGUGCCAACAAGAAGAUCAAGGAAUUAGAGCGCCGCUAAGUUAUCUAGAUUAGACCUUGAGGCAAUGCAUCUUAGUCAUUUAUCUUUAAAUUUGGUUUAGGUUUACUAUUAUCAUCAGUUUACUAUUAUUAUCAGUUUGCUAUCAAUUUGUUAUCAGUCUUUUGUAAUAAAUGCCUCAAGAUCAAUAAAGAGUAUUACUAUUAUUAUUAUGUCUUGUGUGUCUCUACUUUAUUUUUGUGCAAGAAAGCAGAAAACAAGUAUGGGGGAGAUCCCUUAACAUGCCAAACACACUUCGACUACACCACUCCACCACUCAGGUACACACCCUGCACACUUUAGUUUACACAUAUAUUUAUUUUGGAUUAUGCAGAUUACUGUUUCCGACAUGAUAAAUUAAAAGGAUUAAAAUAUUUCUAAUCAUGAUUAAUCUCAAUCUGUGAUAUUUCCUGAAAACUUGCAAUUAUUAUAAAAUCAUUUUAAAACCCUGUGUUACUUAAGUCAAAUGGAAUAUGUGAUGGUAGAGUAUGAGUUUCUUAUUCUUGAUAUCAUUGUUGCUUGGAGAAUUUAUUUCAAAAUAUUCAAAAUUCUAGCUACCAUCCUCAGUGUUUUAUAUGCCUGAUAAAACUAAAUAUAUUAACUAUGAUUAUAAAAGCUAUCUGCUCUGUAUUGAGUUUGUUCAAAAUGAGUUAGACUCUUGUUGAGAGAUUUAUCAUGCUCCCAAGAUCAAGACACUAUUUCAGUAAGAUUCACUCUUCCGAAGUAUUAUUGCAUUAGAGGCAUGGGCUAUGCAAAAAUAAAGAUAUUUCGAGGAAAUAAAAAGGAGCAAGUGCUCGACAACCUCGCAGAAAAAAAAUGGACAAGUGUCCGGCAGUAGAAUUAGGGGUACCUCGGUAUCCACUUAAAAAAAAAGAAAAAAAAAUGAUAGCCCAUGGUCCCUCUAAUAAGCAAUAUGCCAGCAAGUGUUGACCAAGUUUUUAAUUUCUAAAGUCUUUGAUCUAAGAGUAUGACAUUCCCCUCCUCGGAUCCCGUUUUGAUCAGGCAACAAAUGCAAAGUAAGUAUGCUUGAGAAUUUUUGCAAAAUAAAACAGCCUUAGUGAAAUACAUAAAAGAUAAUGAGUGAUCUGAGAGAACCUAUGAGGAUCAAAAGGUAUGCUAAUCUUCUUUCAAAAAUAUACAAAAGCUCCAAGUGGCAGGGAUAAGAAGAAAGGAUCUUUACUCUUAAUCAUAUACUUCCCUGACUAUGGUACACAGUGGAAUUUUUAACACCCUGCAAUUGUAAAGAGAAUGUUUUAAAUGUUUACCCCAGAUAUUGUUCUUAACCAUCCUUUUCUCGAGGACGAGUAAAAGCCUAAGUAUGGGGGUAUUUGUUGACGGUUCUUAAGUAUCAAUUUUAAUUAUCAAAUAAACAAGAGAAAGGACCAAUAUGCAACUCACACCUAGAAUUAGGGUUUGAUCGGACAGAAUUCCACGAGUUUUGUUGUUUAUCUGUUUCUGCAGGGGGUUAUCAGGAAAUAAGGAAGAAAGGUCCACAUGUCGGGAUUACAUAGAGAUAUCAACGCACCGCGCAAUUUUACAUCAUCUAGAAGACUCCAGAAGCCACGAGACCGAAACAGAGGCGAAGCUGGGCCAGGCCCAGGGCGCCCGCCCUGGUAGCCUGGGCGCCCGCCCCCCUGCUGGAGCCAAUUCAGGACUCCUUCGCUCGGGAUAUUCCACCGACCUAUUGGAUCAAGAAAAACAUAGUACCACCUCGGCUAUCGACCCAAAAACGCAUAGAAGGGGAGGACUAUAUAAGCGAGGCCCCCCUGGCCCCUGGAAGACAUGAAGAAAUUAUCAUAGAGACUGAGGGGUGCCCUCGAAGGAAAACCUCUUCUCUAAUUAAUAUUUCUUUUUAGGCUUAGCAAUCAAUGUAAGGUAGAAAUAGAUCUUCUAGUUUCUACUAGAUUGAGAGAGAUAGAGUGGAGGUGUAGAGUGGAGGAAGCCCGGCCUGUCGGUGUCUACUCCAAGCUUGUACCUGCGGGAUCAAGUUCUCCUAACCCGAAGCUUGCUCCUAGGAUUCUUCAGUAAUUCGACUUCUAAAUUCUAGUAAGUUCUUGUUUUAUUGUUCUUAUGGUUUAUGAGUUUACUUUAAUCUCUUCGCGUAGAGUUUAGAGUAAUCAUUGCUGGCGUAAACGUGGUGUUUAGGCUGGGGUACUCAUAGAUAUUCCCUGACUAGCUGGACCGUGGUAGUAGUGAGGAACGUGACAAUUCCGAGCUACCUUUGUAGAUCACAUCUCGUUAGCAGGAAGGAUAGGGUUUAUAGGUGCGGGUCGAACAUCCUUUGUGUUGUCUAGAUUCCGUUAGCCUCCCCAUUAGAACAAUAGAUCAUCCUUACCAAGGUUAGAAGGAGACUACGGUUGCAGUCUUCUCUAUUUAUCACUCACAUCGAAAGACAUUCUUUGUGCCUAAAGGUUAGUAGUAAUAGACCGGUUAGUCAGAUGCACUCUUUCUCCUAGUGGUAAAAAAAUAAAUAUGAUACUCUGGAUAAUUUCCCGGGUGAAGUGCUCACCGAUAUCCGUGCGCUUGCGGAUCAAUUCCUUAUUGCGUUCCCAAAUAUCAACAGGGGUUAUCAGGAAAUAUGAAAGAAAGGCCCACACGUCGGAUUUACAUAGAGGUAUUAACGUGCCGCAUAAUUUUCUAUCAUCUAGAAGACUCCAGAAGCCACGGGACCGAACGGGAAGGCAAUCGGGAACGGAGGCAGGGCGCCCGCCCUACUCUCCUGGGCGCCCGCCCAGCUACAGUGCCCAAUCAGGACACGUUUCGCGGAUUAUGCUCCACCGACUUAACAGAUCAAGGAAAACCGUGCGAUUAAUGUCGGUUAGAUCCGACGGCCCAGAUUCACUUGAAGGGACUAUAUAAGCAAGGCCCCCUGGCCCCUGGAGAUCAUACCUCUUCUACAGAAUCAAAGUUAGGGUUUCAAUUCUUCAUCCAAGUAGAGAGGAUCCCUCUAGUUCUUCUAGUUCUACCUCUAGUUCAUCUAGAUCUAGUUCUAGUUCAUCUAGUUCUAGUUCUAGUUAGUUCUAGUUGUAAUCUAGAAAAUAGGGAGAGAGAAGAGGAGAGCGGAGGAGGAGCCGGAUCUGUCGGAUCUUCCUCAACAUUAUACUUUUGCAGCAUCUGGUUCGUUCUUCAUCAUUCUCCAGGUUCUUCAAUUCAUAACUCCUGAGUUCUCUAAUUACUUUUAUUUACAUUCAAGUUAUUUAUUGGAUUCCCGCUUGCAUCAAGUGCUCUAAUCUUUGAAACAUUAGAGUAGUAAUUAAUAGAUUAGACGUGGUGUUUAGUCUUGCGAUUACCUGGAAUUGCACCCAAUCCUGCGGAUUGUUGUGGUAGCCCUAGGGUAGUGACAGCCCUAUCGGUCGACGUAUUCCACCUCGUUCGGAUCGGUGUUUGUAGGACCGUAGUCGGAGCUUCCUAGCCCCCUUCUCAUCUCUUUCUGUGGUUAGUGUUCUGAUGUCCCGAUAUAGAUAAUCUUGAAGUAAUUCUUGAUUCUUAGAUCAACUAGAGAACUCUCAGGAAACUUCCUCUCUUCCCACCCAAAAUAAUUAUAUAGUUAUCCUUGGGAGAUCUUGGAUCUUAAUUAGUACACUCACGUUCCCUGUGGAAAAUCGAUACUCUGGAAUACUCCCGGGUGAAAGCUACAUCGGCAUCCGUGCGCUUGCGGAUUUUUUCUGUUUGCGUUUAAAAUACCCAACAAGCUUUCUGGCGCCGUUACCGGGGAACGGUAGCUAUGCUAGUUUCGAACCCUGUCGUCCGUGUAUCCUUUUUUCUUUUCCUUUUUUACCACACUCACCUUAUCAUUUUCACCAUACCACAUGGAUUUCACUCUAAGCAUUAAUGAGCAUGGAAUUUAUUUCAUAGCCACUCCAUUUACUCCAUGCUCAUAUGCAACAUCUUCACAAUCCAUUGGUCUCUCCAACAUCACCACAUUCAAGAUCUCCAACCCCCUCAUCCUUUCUAUUUAUAAAAACUUUAAAAGGGCGGUUGUCGAUGCAUAUGUCUAUAUUAAAUAUUGCAGAUCUCGUUGAGUUGAUCUUGAUAUAGGUCAGCGUUGGAGGGGAAACCACUUUGCCGACAUAAAUUGAUGGUUUCCCAAGAACAAGCUUAGUGUCCUAAAACAAGCACUGAUCAGAUCGUAACAUGAGCUUUUAAUUAUUUGCAACAUUACCUUGUGUGUUGAGCAUAUAAGGAUAAUUGUAAAAAAUUCAUUCGGGUAUUCUUGUCACUAACCUUUCUAGGAUUGGAGCAAGAAGAUCGGAUGAAUGACAAGCACAAGGUAUGUACAACCAAUCAUCAUACAACAUUGAAUUAAAUUCAUCCAAACUUGAAUUUUGCAAAAUUCAAGCUUGGGGGAGUACUUUAUAUAAAAAACAUCAUUUUCCAUGUGCUAUGUUGGUUGUCCCUACCUUUGAGACAUGCUCAAUUUGUUAAAUAGUAAUCACACUACUUCAUCUCCACUUGAGUAGAUCUCUAUAAAAGCCAUCACGCUACCUUUGUUUAUCCUAGUAAGUGUUAGUUUGGAAGUACUGUACAUACUUCUAUUGGUUUUUAAAUUAAGCAUGGUGCUUAGGUUAAACAAGCCUUCCUUAAUCUAAUUAGACAUGGAGUCUAGUUUGGUUAUUGAACUAAAAACUGCUUGUGUAGACAUUGGUAUAUUUUGAUGGACUAACCCCUGCAGGAAAACUUUCAAUAUUGACCUGGGAAGUCCUGAGAUAAACUCACAUUGGAGACAAAGAGAGACACACAUGAAGUUUAACAAUUUACACAAGGAAGGCAUAGCUCACAAGAGAUGAUCCAUGGAGGGUGCCAAAAACACGAUGCACAACCGCUAAGAGAGGAAAGCUUCCGCAAGGUGAUACUAUACCAUCACUCUUCAAGUAAGGUAACAUCUUAAAAUACUUGACUAUCACUUCUAUAAGCUUCUCCUUGGUUCUGGCGUUCACAUGAAUAAAAGAGACAAACAUGUAUGAUCUACAACUCUAGAUUAACCAACCCAAUCGAUUCAACAUGUUUGGUCCUUCCACCUUUGUGAUUCCACACUCCUAAUCAUAUUAGCUAAAAUGUUGCAGACUCAAUCUUUGGAAGAUAUAAACAAAACAUAUAUAUAGAUAGAUUAUCUUUCCAUAAGGUUGAGCAAUCUAAUCUGACAAAUGUUAAAUACUACACUGAUGAUUUUAUUAUCCAUCAACUUUGUCUUGCUCACUAUGCUUGAGGUUAGAGAAGAACAAAUACACUUUUGGUUCUGUUGGUGUUUUCCACCAACAGGGCCCAUGCACUUGAUCUCUGCCUUGUCUCUAUGAGCAGGUACACUUCGAGCAAAAUAUGAAGGAGUUUUACAACUCCUAGACUCCACCAAGUAAAGAACCUAGAUCUACGAGCACAAACACGCUGGAGAUACUGGACACUCAUACAAACACUGCCCUGAGAUGCUUGAGGAUGUAACUACUGGAGUAACCCCGUUGUGGAAGUAAUUACUGACCUUCUGUCGGUCAAGAGAGACAAUCUAGGAUGCCCCGUCAUCCCAAUCUCCAUCGGCAUGGUGGACUUCCUAGAAGCACUCUGCGACUUUGGCUCCAGCGUCAACAUUAUACCUAGGGGAAGCCAUUCCUGAACACCUCGGGAGCUGUCAUUCUACGCUAGUGCUGCCAAGAUCAGUUUCUACAUCAAGGGGAAGAAGGAGACGUUUUCCUUCAAGAAACAAGACUACACAAAUCCCAGAGCAAUCCCGACAUGAACCAAGGAAGAGGACCAACAGGAGGAACAAGAACAAGUAAAUGUGUACCGAGACAGCUAAGAUGGUCACUGCAACUCAAGGAGGUCAAGAUCGUCAACUCAAGUCACCUUUCUUGAUCAAGAAGGACGACCCUGGUGUCCCAAGCAUCGAGUGCACAAUCAACGGAUAUUCUUUUCAGAAGACACUCUACGACACCGGAUCUAACGUCAACAUAAUGGCCGCAGUCACUUAUCAGCUCCUGCAUGGAACCAUGUCCCUACAACCAACAUACAUUCAGCUCCAGAUGAUUUUAAGUUUAUUGACAUGGGAGAAGACAAGUACGAUCCACCCAUCAUUCAUAGGAGACCGUUUCUCAGCAUCGUUAAAGCAAUCAUCUACAUUGAAACCGGAGAAGUCCACAUGCACUUCCCCUCUGAGAAGGUACGCCACUAUUUUACUGACCCUGACUAUAUAGUUGAAGACUCUAAGUAGGUCAGGACAAGAAGAAGACAACGCAACCGCAACCAGAGGAGGCAAAUUAUCAAGGACGGAUGGACAGACUACGAAGGAGAAGUAAUAAGGUCUGAAGACAUACAGCUUGAACAGAAUUGUCCUGAGGAGACCGUAGCACCGAGUCAGGUGUGGAGAGAGAAGAUAGUUAUACAUGAAGAGCAGGCGCCACCGUAACCACCGACUACGCCAUCCAGCGAAUCCCAGGACGAAUGAAUACGGAGAGUCCCGUUCGGAGGACUUAAAAACACCGAACGCCUUGCCAAGAGGUAAACUUGGUAGUUAUCUUUUUCCUUUCAAUUAUUUUAAAACAGUUUGCUUAGUUAAUCAGGUUCAUAUCAUCUUGAAAAGAAAAUAAAAAUGUUAAAAAUAGUAAGCCCCAUGUGAUUAUGCUCAUGGCAUAAAACCCAUAAGUAUAUUCACUGUGGUGGUAUAAAAAUGAAAUAAAUAUAUUCCUGUCCUAUUAAAAUAAAAUUAUAAAAAUAAACUUAUGAUCCUACUAAAGAGAGUAACAUUUAUUGAGGAAGCUCAACAUGAUAAAGGCUAGAUACUUAUGCUAACACUUAACUAGUUCCACAAAGCUUUGUUGUCUAUUUGAGCUCCACAGAAUUCAAGGAUCAAAGAAGACUAGCAGACGGAGGACAGCCUAAUCACUGUCAGGGUGCUGCCGACAUUCAAGUACACGUCCGCCACCUGCUACAUCAAAAGGAAUUACGUCAAAUCCAGCUUGGGGGAGAGCACCUCCAUUUAUCCAGCUAAGUAUUCUACUCAUGUUUAUAUUUUACUCAAAUAAUAAAAAGAUGCAUAAUCAUAAAAACCUAAAUAAAGAUUUUGUGCUUAUAUCUAUAUCUUUACUUAGUUUGCUAAAUAAAUAAAUAAAUAAAGUUUGUUAUGAACCCUCAUGAUAAGCUCUCACAUGGAAAUGAUGAGUAGUUGCUCUGCCAUGACUAGUUCUCAAAAUUGAAAUCUCUCUCAAGUUUAGGCCUGACUGUUAUUAAUUAAGUUUUGCUCUAAACCUGAACUUGUGGGAAGAGUACUUGAUCUGAAGUCUAAGUCGUUAACGGAUAUGAUAUAGGAAGGUUGAGCUGCUGUUUAUCUGUUCCUAGAGAUGCUAGAAUUCUGGAGAAUUUUAUCUUUGAAAAUCUUUAAAAUGUUGCAUGAUGAGUUCCUGUAUGAUAAGAGUUUAAAAUCCUACCAUAGCCAUAUAUACAUGCUUGCUAGACUAUGAGCCACACAUUUACUUUUUACUGCUUAUGAGCAUUGAGUGUGGUCAAGCUGUGUAGACCCUUAGGAGCUUAUCAUGUGGUUAAAUCAAGAUUCACUUGCACGUUCACUCAUACAUGCUGCUUCUACUCUGGAAGUACGCAUCCACAUAUAUCCAACCAUUUCCAUCUCCAGAACCACCCAAAAAUAUUCUACUCCUAAUCCGGGAGAGAAUAACCAAAAAUAUUUCUGUUUUUCCCUGUGAAAUAAAUGCUCAAGUUAUCUUGUUACUACCACUUGCUAUAUUAUCUCAUGAGAUGAGUGCUCUAAAAAAAGAAAAAAAAUACGAGGAAAUAAAAAGGGGCAAGUGCCCGGAACCUCGAAAAAAAAGAAGUGAGACGAGAGGUAAAAAUGGACAAGUGUCCGACAGUAGAAUUAGGGGUACAAGAUACCCACCUGAGAGAAAAGAAAAAGAAAAUAUAGAGCAUCUCAUUCUCCUCAAAAAGUUUCAAAAGAGCAAGAAAGGUAUGUAUCCUCUCAAAAGAGCAUAAGUAGAAUUAGACUUUCACCAUUGUUAUCACCAUCAUCACCAUACACCAUUCAUUCGCCACACAUGCACAUCUUGAUUUGACUUAUUGACUUGUUCUUCUCGAUCCAUGGUUUGACUAUGCAAUAUAUGUCUUGUAAGUAUGUAUUAGCUGUCUCCCACCUAUGAGCUCCAGAUAUCAAAACCUUAUUAGAGUAGGGUGAGAGAGAAGGCAAUAUCACUAUGCCUCAUACCAAAAAUACCACAUACUUUGAGAAAAGGCAUACACCAUUACUGCCUUGGUAAGGAUCCAGAAAUACCACAAAAGAGAGACUAGAGAGAGUCAUACAAGGAAUCCCUGAGUUCUAUUUGAAAAUCUGCAAAAACUCCAGAGCUAUAGUUAAUCGAAGAACAAGAGACAUGGUGCUUGACUAGACUGUUCUAUCUUUUAACUACUCAAGACAGAAGUGACGGUUACAAGUCCCAUGGUGAAAGGUAAAAUGAGUAAAUUUAAAUCUUAACAGUUUACCCUAACCUAGAAAUGAGAUCUUGUUUGAAAGCAUGUAUUGAAACCACUGCAGAAAUUCAUGAGUUCAUCUUUGCUCAGGGACGAGCAAAGGUUAAGCUUGGGGGAGCUUGUUGACGGUCCUGAAUGCUCACAUUUAACCAUCAACUAAUCAUGAAAAAGGAUCCAAAUGCAACCAACACCUAGACUUAGGGUUUUAUCUGACAGAAUUCCACGAGUUUUGGUGUUUGUCUAUUUCUACAGGGGGUUAUCAGGAAAUAUGAAAGAAAGGCCCACACGUCGGAUUUACAUAGAGGUAUUAACGUGCCGCACAAUUUUCUAUCAUCUAGAAGACUCCAGAAGCCAUGGGACCGAACGGGAAGGCAAUCGGGCUCGGAGGCAGGGCGCCCGCCCUACUCUCCUGGGCGCCCGCCCAGCUACAGUGCCCAAUCAGGACACAUUUCGCGGAUUAUGCUCCACCGACUUAACGGAUCAAGGAAAACCGUGCGAUUAAUGUCGGUUAGAUCCGACGGCCCAGAUUCACUUGAAGGGACUAUAUAAGCAAGGCCCCCUGGCCCCUGGAGAUCAUACCUCUUCUACAGAAUCAAAGUUAAGGUUUCAAUUCUUCAUCCAAGUAGAGAGGAUCCCUCUAGUUCUUCUAGUUCUACCUCUAGUUCAUCUAGAUCUAGUUCUAGUUCAUCUAGUUCUAGUUCUAGUUCCUCUACUUCUAGUUCUAGUUAGUUCUAGUUGUAAUCUAGAAAAUAGGGAGAGAGAAGAGGAGAGCGGAGGAGGAGCCGGAUCUGUCGGAUCUUCCUCAACAUUAUACUUUUGCAGCAUUUGGUUCGUUCUUCAUCAUUCUCCAGGUUCUUCAAUUCAUAACUACUGAGUUCUCUAAUUACUUUUAUUUACAUUCAAGUUAUUUAUUGGAUUCCCGCUUGCAUCAAGUGCUCUAAUCUUUGAAACAUUAGAGUAGUAAUUAAUAGAUUAGACGUGGUGUUUAGUCUUGCGAUUACCUGGAAUUGCACCCAAUCCUGCGGAUUGUUGUGGUAGCCCUAGGGUAGUGACAGCCCUAUCGGUCGACGUAUUCCACCUCGUUCGGAUCGGUGUUUGUAGGACCGUAGUCGGAGCUUCCUAGCCUCCUUCUCAUCUCUUUCUGUGGUUAGUGUUCUGAUGUCCCGAUAUAGAUAAUCUUGAAGUAAUUCUUGAUUCUUAGAUCAACUAGAGAACUCUCAGGAAACUUCCUCUCUUCCCACCCAAAAUAAUUAUAUAGUUAUCCUUGGGAGAUCUUGGAUCUUAAUUAGUACACUCACGUUCCCUGUGGAAAAUCGAUACUCUGGAAUACUCCCGGGUGAAAGCUACAUCGGUAUCCGUGCGCUUGCGGAUUUUUUCUGUUUGCGUUUAAAAUACCCAACAGCCACCUUUUUACUCUUUCUUUGUAGAUCUUUGAGUUGUGAUAUGCCUUCUCUCGCCAUUCUUCCAAUUCUGAUAGUUGCAUUCUUCUAUAAUCUCCAGCAACAUCUAGGUCCAUAUUCCAUCUCUUUAUGGCCCAGUGUGCUUUGAACUCUAGUUCAACAGGUAGAUGGCAAGUCUUCCUGUACACCAAUUGGUAUGGAGACAUCCCAAUUGGGGCCUUGUAUGCUGUCCGGUAUGCCCAGAGUGCAUCAGGUAACUUGGCUUUCCACGCCGUUCCCAUUUCAUUUACUGUCUUCUGAAGAAUAUUCUUGAUUUGUUUGUUGGAAGUCUCUGCUUGGCCACUUGUCUGAGGAUGAUAAGGGGUAGCGACGUUGUGACGGAUUCCAUGUCUUGAUAGAUAUUGCUUGAAGCGUUUGUCGAUGAAGUGUGCUCCUCCAUCACUUAUCACUACUCUGGGGACUCCAAAUCUUGGAAAUAUAAUUUCUUCAAACAUCCUCUUUGAACUGAUGUUGUCAGCAUGCUUGCAAGGUAAUGCCUCUACCCACUUGGAGACAUAGUCAACUGCCACCAAGAUGUACUCGCACUUCUUUGAUGGGGGAAAUGGACCCAUGUAGUCUAUUCCCCAGACAUCAAAGAGCUCAAUCUGAAGGUUGUUGGUGAGUGGCAUUGCAUCCCUUGUAUUUAUGUUUCCGUGUCUUUGACAUGGCCCACAUCUUCUGAUAUAUUGCCUCGUGUCUUCAUACAUUGUAGGCCAGUAGAAUCCACACUGCCAGAUCUUUGAAUGUGUACGGAAUGCUCCAUAGUGACCUCCAUAUGGUGAUGAAUGAUAUCUGUCGAUGAUCUUCCAUCCUUCCUCAGUGGUCACACAUCUCCUGAGUAAGCCAUCAGAGCAUACUCGGAAGAGGUAUGGCUCAUCCUAUAUAUGUGAACGACUUUCUUGAAUAAGCUUCUUCUUGUUUGCUCCUGGUGGUACAUACCCUGAAACCAUAAAAUUAACAAUAUCUGCAUACCAGGGGUCAGACCUGUUAAUCCCGUAGAGCAUGUCGUCCCGAAGUGAAUCAUUGAUGGGGGUUUCCUGUGGACUCUUGAAAUACAUUCUAGACAAGUGAUCAACAACAGAAUUUUCUACUCCUUUUUUAUCUUUUAUUUCUAAGUCAAAUUCUUGGAGUAAUAAGAUCCAUCUAAUCAGGCGAGGUUUAGCAUCAUUUUUAGUGAGCAAAUAUUUUAGUGCAGCAUGAUCAGUGUAAACAAUUAUUUUAGCUCCAACUAAAUAAGAUCUAAAUUUAUCAAUGGCAAAGACAACAGCCAGAAGCUCUUUUUCAGUGGUUGCAUAGUUAAGUUGAGCUCCUGUCAAAGUUUUACUGGCAUAAGCAAUUGCAUGAUGCUUCUUAUCUUUAGUUUGUCCCAAUACUGCCCCCACAGCAUAAUCACUAGCAUCACACAUAAUUUCAAAAGGCAACGACCAAUCAGGGGGUUGAAUGAUUGGUGCAGAGAUGAGUGCUUUCUUUAAUAAAUUGAACGAUGUUAGACAUGCAUCAUCAAAUUUGGAAGGAGCAUCCUUGGCUAGCAAAAGAGUAAGUGGUCUAGCAAUAAAUGAAAAAUCUUUUAUGAAUCUACGAUAAAAACCAGCAUGGCCAAUAAAGCUUCGAAUUCCUUUUAUGUUUACAGGUGGAGGUAGUUGUUCAAUUACUUCAAUUUUAGCUUUGUUUACCUCAAUUCCUCUUUCAGACACUAAGUGUCCCAGCACUAUUCCUUCCCUAACCAUAAAAUGACAUUUUUCCCAAUUAAGGAUUAAGUGCUUUUCUUCACAUCUUUGCAAAACCUUGUCUAAGUUUUCAAGACAACUGUCAAAAGUUUUUCCAUAAACAGAGAAAUCAUCCAUGAAAACUUCCAUAAUCUCUUCAAUCAUAUCAGAAAAUAUAGGCAUCAUGCAUCUUUGAAAAGAAGCUGGUGCAUUACAUAACCCAAAAGACAUUCUACGAUAAUCAUAAGUUCCAUAAGGGCAUGUAAAAGUGGUUUUGCUUUGAUCAUCGGGAUGGAUCGGGAUCUGAUGAUACCCUAAAUAUCCAUCUAAGAAACAAAAGAAUGAAUGGUUUGCUAACCGCUCUAGCAUCUCAUCUAUGAAAGGUAAAGGAAAGUGAUCCUUUCUCGUGGCUUUGUUUAGUUUUCUAUAGUCUAUGCACAUCCGCCAUCCUGUGACGGUGCGUUGCGGAAUUAGCUCGUUCUUUUCAUUCAUAAUAACAGUCAUGCCUCCCUUUUUAGGCACAACUUGUACUGGGCUCACCCACUCACUGUGCGGCACAGGAUAUAUAAUCCCUGCACGCAGCAGCUUUAUAACUUCCUUUUUAACUACCUCUCUCAUAGUAUUGUUAAGUCUACGUUGGGGUUCUCGAGAGGGUGAAACAGAAGGAUCUGUUGGAAUACGAUGGGUACAAAUCAUAGGACUGAAUCCUGUAAGAUCUUGGAGUGAGUAGCCGAACACUGAGUGAUGUUUCUCAAGAAUGGUCAUUAAUCGCAGAGUUUGAUCCUGAGUGAGUUUAUCGCUAAUGAUCACAGGGAACUCUGGAUUAUUGUUUAGGAAAGCAUAGGUAAGACCGGGUGGUAAAGUUUUAAGCUCUAUGGGGGGUCUAGGUGUUUCUGCAAACUCAUCUAAGGGUUCAGGCUCAGAAGGUUCGUCUUCUUCUUCUGUGAAGAAAGGAGUUUCGUCUUCUAAGUCUGGUUCAUCUAAAAGCUCUAGAGAUGCAGCCUUUACUUCCUCCAUAGGAUCAGGCAAAAGAUAUGACUCGGCCUUAUUGUUUAAGGAGUGUGAAAUUAUUAUUGGGAAUUUAAAAGUUUUUCCAAAAGAAAUGUGUAGCUUUCCAGUAUGACCUUCAUAAAGGAGUCUUCUAAAAGGUUGUCCUAUUAACAGGUCGAAGUCCCAUGUAUCAAAGAUAUAGAAGUUCAAAUGAACCAUGGAGCCUUCUACCGUAAGAGGUAGGACAUUAAUAAUUCCAAGACUAGGGACUAAUCGUCCCGAAGAUUCCUUUAUGACCUUUGUUGUGGGGGUUAAGACAAGAUUUUUAAAUAGUUUAAGUGCAAAAGAUUCAGACAUGAUGUUGAUCCCCACAACAGGAUUAUAGAGAGCAUUAAAUCGAUCAGAAUUAUAAGCACAGCGUAUAGUUAUAGAGGGUGUGUCCAAACGGAUCACAUCAGAGGAAAGCUCUGAUUCCUCCAACCAUUCACUACUCAUUACUGAGAUAAGCUCUCUCAAUUGAUGUUCACUCGGCAAAUAAAUGCUAAACUGGCCGUUUUGGGGUUUGUCAAUAGAAUGGUAGUUUGAAAUAUUUCCAAAAUCGGCAAAAAGAUCGGAUUCUAUAUCCAGCAUGAAGUCCGGUGGUGGAAUCUCUUCCUCUUGUGGCUCAGAACUUGGGAUAGCUAAAGUAGAUGAAGAAUUUGGCAGAGUGUCUACUUCGGCUUCGUAGGUUUCAUCAUGAAGGGUAUUAUCCAUCUCAGCUUCUAGGAUUCUAUCUAGGAUCACUCUAGCUUCAUCAGCAGGGAUGCGAAAGAAAGAACCUCUAGACAUUGUGUGAAGCAUUUGUUUGUGAUUUUUAUGAAGACCUCAAAAAAAGUGAAAUAAAAGAACAGGGUCUUCAAGGUUAAGGUUUGGACCAGAUUCUAAAAGAUCAGAAAAACGUUUCCAGGAUUUUCCCAAAGUUUCAUUAUCUUUUUGUUUAAAAGAUAGGACUUCGAGUCUAAGGUCGGCUAUACGGUCAAGGGAAUAGAAAUCUAAACAAAAGUUGGCUCAUAAAACUCCCCAUUCACCUUGUUGUUGACUUACCUUCUGACUGUACCAUUGUCUAGCUUCUCCCCUUAAGGAAAAAGGAAAAAGCUUCCAACGUAAAGUUUUAUCAGAAAUGCCUUCAAUGCGAAGACAAUCACAUGUUUGCUCAAAAUCUCUAAUAUGAAGGUAAGGGUUUUCGUCUUCCUUUCCCGAAAAAGAUAGGUUUUGAAUCAUGGCAAUCAACCUAGAACUUAACUUAUACUGGGAUGUUUGGAUAGGCUGUGAUGACUCCCAUGGUAAAAGGUCAGUUGCUAAAGGGAUUGCAGAUUCAUGGAUCGAUUUAGAAUUUUGGUUUUCCAUAAGGUAAGAGUAAAGAAAAUAAAGAAUAUAAAAGAUAAGAAAAGAUAAAAGUAUAGAUACAAGCUAGUAGCAAGACUUAGGUUAUCUCAGCAACCGUCUUUCUCCCUAGCAACGGCGCCAGAAAUGCUUGUUGAUAUUUGGGAACGCAAUAAGGAAUUGAUCCGCAAGCGCACGGAUAUCGGUGAGCACUUCACCCGGGAAAUUAUCCAGAGUAUCGUAUUUAUUUUUUUACCACUAGGAGAAAGAGUGCAUUUGACUAACCGGUCUAUUACUACUAACCUUUAGGCACAAAGAAUGUCUUUCGAUGUGAGUGAUAAAUAGAGAAGACUACAACCGUAGUCUCCUUCUAACCUUGGUAAGGAUGAUCUACUGUUCUAAUGGGGAGGCUAACGGAAUCUAGACACCACAAAGGAUGUUCAACCCACACCUAUAAACCCUAUCCUUCUUGGUAACGAGAUGUGAUCUACAAAGGUAGCUCGAAAUUGUCACGUUCCUCACUACUACCACGGUCCAGCUAGUUAGGGAAUAUCUAUGAGUACCCCAGCCUAAACACCACGUUUAUGCCAGCAAUGAUUACUCUAAACUCUACGCGAAGAGAUUAAAGUAAACUCAUAAACCAUAAGAACAAUAAAACAAGAACUUACUAGAAUUUAGAAGUCGAAUUACUGAAGAAUCCUAGGAGCAAGCUUCGGGUUAGGAGAACUUGAUCCCGCAGGUACAAGCUUGGAGUAGACACCGACAGGCCGGGCUUCCUCCAAUCUACACCUCCACUCUAUCUCUCUCAAUCUAGUAGAAACUAGAAGAUCUAUUUCUACCUUACAUUGGUUGCUAAGCCUAAAAAGAAAUAUUAAUUAGAGAAGAGGUUUUCCUUCGAGGGCACCCCUCAGUCUCUAUGAUAAUUUCUUCAUGUCUUCUCCAGGGGCCACGGGGGUCUCCUUAUAUAGUCCUCCCCUUCUAUGCGUUUUUGGGUCGAUAGGCGAGGUGGUACUAUGUUUUUCUUGAUCCAAUAGGUCGGUGGAAUAUCCCGAGCGAAGAGAGUCCUGAGAGCACUCCAGCAGGGGGCGGGCGCCCAGGUCACCAGGGCGGGCGCCCUGGGCCUGGCCCCUUUCGGCCUCCGUCUUCUUCCCGUGGCUUCUGGAGUCUUCUAGAUGGUGGAAAAUCGUGCGGUGUGUUGAUAUCUCUAUGUAAUCCCGACAUGUGGGCCUUUCUUCCUUAUUUCCUGAUAACCCCCUGCAGAAUUAGAUAAACAACAAAACUCGUGGAAUUCUGUCAGAUCAAACCCUAAUUCUAGGUGUUAGUUGCAUAUUGGUCCUUUCUCUUGUUUAUUUGAUAAUUAAAAUUGAUACUUAAGAACCGUCAACAGACGGUACACAUGCUUUUAAAUAAGAUCUCAUCUCUGAGUUAGAGUAAACUGUCAAGACUUAAAACUUACGCUUUUUACCUUUCACCAUGGGACUUGUAACCGUCACUUCUGUCUUGAGUAGUUAAAAGAUAGAACGGUCUAGUCAAGUGCCAUGUCUCUUAUUCUUGGUCAGCUAUAGCUCUUGGAGUUUUUGCAGAUUUUCAAAUAAAACUCAGAGAUUCCUUGUAUGACUCUCUCAUAUCUCUCUUUUGUGGUAUUUCUAAAUCCUUACCAAGGUAGUGAUGGUAUAUACCUUCUCUCAAGAUAUAUGGUAUUUGUGGUAUAAGGCAUAGUGACAUUGCCUUCUCUCUCAUCCUACUCUAAUAAGGCUUUAAUAUUUUGAGCUCAUAGGUGGGAGAUAAAAUAUACAUACUCACAAGACAUGUAUUGUAUAGUCAAACCAUGGAUCCAAAGAAACAAAUCAAUAAGUCAAAUCAAGAUGUGCAUGUGUGGCGAAUGAAUGGUAUGUGGUGAUGAUGGUGAUAACAAUGGUGAAAGUCUACUUUUGCUCUUUUGAGGGGAUACAUACCUUCCUUGCUUUUUGAAACUUUUGAGGAGAAUGAGAUGCUCUAUCUUUUCUUUUCUCUCAGGUGGGUAUCUUGUACCCCUAAUUCUACUAUCGGACACUUGUCCAUUUUUACCUCUCGUCUCACUUUUUCUUUUCUUUCGAGGUUCCGGACACUUGCCCCUUUUUAUUUCCUCGUCUAUUUUUUUUUUCUCUUUUUUUUUGAGCACUCAUCUCUUGAGAUAAUAUAGCAAGUGGUAGUAACAAGAUAACUUGAGCAUUUAUUUCACAGGGAAAAAAUGGAAAUGUUUUUGGCUAUUCUCUCCCGUAUUAGGAGUAGAAUAUUUUUGGGUGGUUCUGGAGAUGGAAAUGAGUGGAUAUAUGUGGAUGGUACUUCCGGAGUAGAAGUAGCAUGUAUGAGUGAACGUGCAAGUGAAUCUUGAUUUAACCACAUGACAAGCUCCUAAGGGUCUACACAGCUUGACCACACUCAAUGCUCAUAAGCAGUAAAAAGUAAAUGUGUGGCUCAAAGUCUAGCAAGCAUGUAUAUAUAGCUGUGGUAGGAAUUUAUACUCUCGUCAUACUGGAACUCAUCAUGUAAUAUUUUAAAGAUUUUAAAAGAUAAACUUCUCUAGAAUUCUAGCUUCUCUAGGAACAGAUAAACAGCAGCUCAACCUUCCCAUAUCGUACCCGUUAACAACUUAGACCUCAGAUCGAGUUUUCUUCCCACAAGUUUAGGUUUAGAGCAAGCUUUAAAUUAUAACAGUUAUAUCUAAACUUGAGAGAGAACUUCAAUUUGAAAAUUAGGCAGAGCAACUAUUCAUCAUAUCCAUGCGAGAGUUUUAUUAUUAAGAUUCAGAUUAGCAUAGCCACUUUAUUUAUUUAUUUAUUAAACUAAGCAAAAGAUAUAUAUAUAUAUAAGCAUAAAAUCUUUAUUUGGUUUUCCAUAGUUAUUUUAAUAUAGUAUAAGUAUAAAUAUGGAUAGAAAUACUUAGCGGGAUAAAUGGGGGUGCUCUCCCCAAGCUGAAUUUUGAUGUAAUUUCUCUUGAUGUAGCUAGUAGGUGGCAGAGGUGUAUUUGAAAGUCGGCAGUAUCUUGACAGCGAUUAGAAUGUCCUCCGUCUGCUAGUCUUCUUGAUUCUGUGGAGCUCAAAUAGACAACAAAGCUUUGUGGAACUGAUUAAGUGUUAGCAUAAAUAUCUAGCCUUCAUCAUGUUGAGACUCCUUAAUAAAUGUUACUCCCUAUUUUUAUAUUUUCAUUUUAUAAAGCAGAAAAGAAAUAUUUAUUUUAUUUUUAUGCCACCACAGUGAAUGUACUUAUGGGUUUCAUGCCACUCGUAUACUCACAAGGGGCUUACAAUUUUUUAACAUUUUUAUUUUCUUUUUAUGAUAGUAUAAACAUGAUUAACUAAGCAAACUAUUUAAAAUUAUUGAAAGGAAAAGGAUAACUACCAAGUUUACCUCUUGGCAAGGCGUUCGGUGUUUUUAAGUCCUCCGAACGGGACUCUCCGUUUUCUCAGUCGUCCUGGGAUUUGUUGGAUGGCGUAGUCGGUACUUCCGGUAGCGCCUCCUCUUCAUGUAUAGUUAUCUUCUCUUUCCAUUUCUGACUCGGUGCUACGGUCUCCUCUGGAUAAUUCUUUUUAAACUGUAUGUCUUCUGACCUUACUACUUCUCCUUCAUAGUCUGCCCAUCCGUCCUUGAUGAUCUGCCUCCUCUGGUUGCGGUUGCGUCAUUUUCUGACAUGCUUAGAGUCUUCAACGAUAUAGUUAGGGUCAGUAAAAUAGCGGCGUACCUUCUCUGAGGGGAAGUGCAUAUGGACUUCUCCAGUUCCAGUGUAGAUGAUUGCUUUAACUGUGCUGAGGAACGGUCUUCCAAGGAUGAUGGGUGGAUCGUAUUCGUCUUCUCCCAUGUCAAUAACCUGAAAGUCUGUGUAGACAAAAUGAUCAUCUAUUUUGAUAGGGAUAUCAGUUACUGUUCCUUUAACCUCUCGAAAUGUCUGAUCUGCCAUCUGAAGCUGAAUGUAUGUUGGUUUUAAGGGCAUGGUUACGAACAAGAGCCGAUAGGUGACUGCGGCCAUUAUGUUGACGCCCGAUCUGGUGUCGCAAGUCGUCUUGUAGAUGUUGUAUCCAUUUUUGGAGCAAUAGAUGAUUGGCAUUUUUGGGUCAUCCUUCUUGGUCAAAAAUGGUGACUUAAGUUGAUGAUCUUGGCCUCCAUGAAUUGCAGUGGCCAUCUUAGCUGACUCGGUCCACACUUGCUUGUUCCUAUUCCUCCUGUUGGUCCUCUUCCUAGAUUCACGUCUGGAUUGAUCUGGGAUUUGUGUAGUCUUGUUUUUGAAGGAAAAUGUCUCCUUCCUCCCUUCGAUGUAGAAACUGAUCUUAGUAGCACUAGCGUAGAUAACAGCUCCCGAGGUGUUCAAGAAUGGCCUCCCUAAGAUGAUGGGUGCUCUCUCAUCAUUACCGGUCUCUAUCACCGCAAAGUCUGCUGGAGCAUACAAGGUACCAACUCGGACACAAAGGUUCUUCAAUAUUCCUUUUGGAAAACUUAUCGUCUAAUCUACAAACUGCAAACACAUGGUUGUUUCUGAUAAAGGAUAUGUAAAGAUUUUUUCAUAGAGUACCCUGGGCAUAAUGUUGACGCUAGAGCCAAAGUCGCAGAGUGCUUCUGGGACGUCCACCAUGCCGAUGGAAAUUGGGAUGACAGGGCGUCCUGGAUCGCCUCUCUUGACCGGCAGAAGGUCAGUAGUGAAUUCAGUGACGGGGUUACUCCAGUUAUUACCUGCAUCAAACAUGUCUACAAGAUUUGCAGAUUCUAAUCCUUCCGGUUGUGAUGGUAUACCGGGGUUAGUAGUAGGAACAGCAGCAGCUAUUUGAUUUAACUAAGGUUCAUCAUUUUAUUAAAGCUAAUUUGAUUCUUGAUGGCAGUAGAGAAAUUAUCCAUUCUAUUAUUUAUAUUUUCUAGCAUUUUAUCAUUAGAUGCCAAUUUCUUAGAUAGGUUAUCCAUUAGCUUUCCUUGAUUAGACACUAACUCUCUCAGAGGUGGAAAAUUAUUAUUAUUGUUGUAAGAAUUGUUACCUUGAUAAUUACUUGAGUAGUUAGGCCUCUGUUGAUUCCAACCUUGAUUUUGUUGAGGACGGUUCUAGUAGUUGUUGUUGUUAUGGUUGAUGUAGUUCACAUCCUCAAGCAUCUCAAUGCAGUGAUUGCCUGAGUGUCCAGUAUCUCCACACUCCUCACAAGUCAUGUGAGAGUCGUAGAUGUGCAUAACUUCUUUCUUAUCUCCAGCUCUAUCAUCGAGCUUCUUCAUGAGCAGGUCUAGCUUUGCAGACAACAUGUCUACCUCCUUGAGCUGAUGCAUACCUCCACCUCUCUUGCGUGUCUGGGUCCUUUCUUCAUUCCAGCUUUGGUUGGAUGCCAUCUUCUCCACAAGAGCUGUGGCUUGUGGUAUGGUGAGUGAUAAGAAUGCUCCUCCAGCUGCAGCAUCCAUGGUUUCUCGGGCACUGUUGCCGAGCCCAUGAUAAAAUGUCUGCAUCAGUAGCCAACUCUCCAUUCCAUGAUGGGGACAUUCUAGGAUGUAGUCUUGGAAGCGCUCCCAUGCUUCUGGAACAGAUUCAUCAUGUUGUUGCUGAAAACUUGUAAUCUUCCCACGGAGAGCAUUGGUCUUGCCCAUGGGAAAGAACUUAGCCAGAAUGUUUGUUGAGCAGAGUGCCCACGUAGUGUUCUUCUCCUUUGUAGCGUAGAACCACUGCUUCGCUCUUCCUAACAGUGAGAAUGGGAAGAGGCGAAGUAAUAUAGCAUCUCUAGAAACUCCUGAUAUGGUGAAUGUGCUGCAAAUCUCCAGGAAGUGUUGGAGAUCAGCACUAGCAUCUUCGUGUGCCUUCCCACAGAACUGGUUGGAUUGCACCAUGUUGAUAAGUCUAGGCUUGAGCUCAAAGUUGCCAUCGAUCUCUGCAGCAGGUCCAGUGCAGAUGUUGUCCGUAGUGGGAGCUGAGAACUCGCAGAUUGAUAUGUUUGCCAUGGCUUCGAACUCUGAAGACAUGUUUCGGUGAUCUUCUUGAUUGGAUGAAGCUUCUUGCUGAAGUUUUGAUGAUCUCUUCUUGAGCUUGGCUCUAGUUUUUCUGAAUAAUGCUUCGGGAUUGUCAACAAAAUUUCCUGGAAGAUGUCUUCUAUUCAUACAUUCCCCUGCAUAAGAUAAAAUAGAAAAUAUCGGGGUAAAACUGUAUGAGAGAAUUAAUAAGCUCAAUCAGAUUAGUGAUGCGAAUGAUAACUCAAAAUCCUAUAUCCAUUCCUGAUUAGUAAUCAACCUUCACCGGCAACGGUGCCAAAAAUGCUUGUUGGGUAUUCUUAACGUCAUUACAAAAAGUAGCCUUAGUUUUCUAAUUCUAGUAACAAUGCCCAAAAUGCUAAACCUAUCCCUCAUACCACUUAAGCUAAGUUGUCAUCCCCAGCAUGAUAUAAGAGACGCGGUAUUGAAAUAUGCAAUUGCUCUUCUAAAUAAAUAAUGAAUGGGAUCUACAAGCGCACAGAUUAAUACCGAUGUAGCAUUUUAACCGGGAAGUAUUCCAGGUAUCGUUAUUUAUAUUUUUAUCACUAGGAAGGGAUUAGCAACCAUCAAUAUUGAUUAUAGUAUGGAAUAUGAGAUUGAGUAUCUAUCAUUGCAUGUAUAAUUGAGAACAUUUAUCUAACUCUUUCAUACAGGGGUAAGUGUCACAUAAAAGAUAUAUGAAGUAAUGAAUAGUGACAAAGAUAAUUAAUCUAAUCAGCAUAACUUAGCCACAUAAUAAAUAUGAUAAGCACCUCAAUUAGAUAUUCUAGGAAGUCAUUAGCAUGGAUUUAGAACGAACUACAAGAAUAUUUCCUAAGUUAUUUCUCAACUAUAUAGUCUAGCAUUAUCAUAGUUAGUGCAAGUAUACUUAGCAAUCAUUGUGAGACAAGACUACGCCCAUGCAUAGUGAUAUUAGUAAGGUAAAUGAGAAACAUAGCAAUCACUCCCCUGUAAUAAUGUUGCUCUGCCAGCCCAAUACACGAGAGGGGGACUAUAUAAGAAUCAAUGAAGCUGUCACUAUCAUGAACUACCCCACGAUCUGGCAUAUUGGGUACAAUCGCAGAUAAAUACGGUAUAAGCACCACGCCUACACAUAUCUAUCAUUUACCCAUGGAUCUGAUGGAUAAACGCUAUACGAUCCUAAACAUGUAUAUAGAUCCAAUCUAACUAUGCCAAGUAUAUAACUAUGAUAAACUAAGAACAAUAUAAUCUUGAAUAUAAACAAGUAGAGCAAAGUCAUAAGCAAUAUAUUGAAGUAGAACAAAGUCAUAUCCAUAAUAUUGAAGAAUGUUGACGGUGGAUAUACCAUAGAAAUCCACAUACAAAACACCGUCAACAUGCCUCGGUUGCAAGGGGAAACGACAUGACAUGAACAUAUUUUAUCCAUAACUAGAUCCACUUGUACUCUUAGCUUGUUUAUGCAGGAACAACAAAUUCAAGACAUUAUUUGAUAAAGCCAACAUCAGAAUCAUCAAGAGGAGAUCGAGGGGACAACAGGUGACACCCUGGGCCCACAGGGAGGGGGUCGCCCGACCCCUCUUUGGUGGGACCCAGGUGUGCCACCUAGUCCACCGACAUAAGGGACCCCUGUGGACACUGCUGGUGGGCCCAGAGGCCCAGAAGUGGGGUCGCCCGACCCCACAUCAAAGGCGGUUCCAGGGUCGGUGGCCUCCCACCGACCUUCCCCACAUGUCCCACAUGUUGAUUUGCCCCUGCCGUUGAUCAAAUGGCGGUUGUGAGGUCGGUUUGAUCCAAGGGUGGAGAGAAGAUGUCACGCGGAUCGAUGACGUGGCGAUGGAGUAACCCCUACUCCAUCUCCCUCUAUAAAAGGCAGCCUCCAUCCUUCAUUUCAAGUGUGCAAUUCCAAGGCCAAGUGCAUUACAAGUUCCAAGCAUACAAGUAGAGUAGUAGUUAGUCUAGAGUGGGAGUUAGAGUCGAGUCGAGCGAAGCUCGGGGUCUCCGGAGUCGUCUUCUGGAGAGUCUGGUAUAGCUCUUGUACCUUUCUACUUUUGUAAGACUUUCCUUUUAUUAAUAUAUUAUUCUUACUUUACUUUACUGAGUUCUUACUUAGUGCAAGUCUUUUAGUCUUGUUGUGCAUUUACUUUAGUAAUAUAGUUGUCUUAGUGAAGUUAGUGACCUGUAACCACUCCUGUGUGUGCAUCAUCGUCCUAUCUUGUAUAGGAGCUCUAGCUAGCUGCAACUAGUUAGCGUUGUAGGAUUAAGUGUGAGCGUGGUGCUCAUACUUAAGAUUACCUUUGAUUACCGCUGGCUUGAACGGAAAGUAGGAGCGCACUCCCUAGUAGGUGACAGAUCGUGGGCGGCAUUAGGUUCUCCUCACGUACAUGCUAGUUCUUAAAAGGUAAGGCGUCCAUAAGCCCAAUACUCGCUUUCGGUAAGGGGUUAGGUGAAAAACCUUCUAAGCGUCUUACCAGCUCGGCUAUCCCUCGCACACAGUUAGUAAGGCUCUAGCGUAGUUAAGGCAAUUAUCUAUUAAAGUGAGUCACAGAAGUCAAGUUAGAUACAUAGGAGUCCUUUACUCACUCGUUGUCCUCCCACCUAGCUAACUCUACCAUUUACCUUUAGCAUAGGACCUUGGAUUCACCACUACCCUUCCUAUUCGUUAUUUACCACCCUUAUUCACUAGUUGAUACUAGAUAACUCAAGGAAUCUCAUUCCCCUUUUUUUGUUAAACACACUUAGCCGCUUUCCCUUGGGAAAAUAUAAAUUACGAUACCUUGGAAUACUCCUUGGUGAAGUGCUACAGCGGUACAUUCUGUGCGCUUGCGGAAUUAUCCAAUAGUAAAUAGAGUUACCCUACCAGGGCACUUCUGGCGCCGUCGCCGAUAUCCGGUGGUUGCGUUAAGAAGUGUCAACAAAGAACAAAGAUGAUUAGAAGAACAAUUAGAAGAACAAUUAGAGAAUUACCAAGAACCCUACCAGGGCACUUCUGGCACCGUUGCCGGGGAGAGCGUCUGUCUAAGAGUUUUAACAAAAAGAGAAUCCAGAGUUUGCUAGUUAUCAAGUAGUGAUAGGGAUAACCCAUCACUUGUCUUGUCUUCCUUUAUUGUGAAGCCUGACAGUGUAUGAGCGGUUUCCAAUUGCCGUCAAACUUCAUUGAAGAUCCUAAGCAACUGUUGAGGAGAACUAGACGUCGUCAAGUUCCACCUCCAAGGUUCAUCUCGAACCUGAAUCCGUUAGAGGAAGGAGUAUCUGCACCGGUUAUCAAAGAAGCUAUGGCCCAGAAGACCAUCUCUGAGUACUCUGCGCCGUCGGCUGACAAUGUCGCCACGGGUCCGCAGCUUAACUUGGGGGAUGCGACUUUUGAGUUGAAGCCUGCGCUUAUCAAUAUGGUGCGAGCUAAUCCCUUCUGUGGAAAGCCACACGAGGAUGCCAAUGCCCAUCUCCAACACUUCUUGGAGGUGUGCGGCACCUUCACCAUCAAGAAUGUCGCCGCAGACGCCAUCCGUCUUCGCCUCUUCCCAUUCUCGUUAUUGGGGAAGGCGAAGCAAUGGUUCUACGCCAACAAGGGUGAAGUGACCACGUGGGAGAGGUGCGCCAAUGCAUUUCUCAAGAAGUUCUUUCCGAUAGGCAAGACCAGCGCCCUUCGUGGAAAGAUUUCCAGCUUCCAACAGCAAGCAGAUGAGACGAUUCCCGAAGCAUGGGAACGUCUGCAGGAGUACAUUCGCGCCUGUCCUCAUCAUGGGAUAGAGGAGUGGCUCCUAAUCCAAGGUUUCUACCAUGGCCUGACCGGUUUGGCCCGUAGUCACCUUGAUGCUGCCGCUGGAGGAGCAUUCUUGCAACACAAUGUCAAGGAUGCCAAGGACCUCGUUGAAAAGAUGGUUAUAAACCAAGGAUGGAAUGAGGAACGCCUCCAACCCAAGAGAAGAGGUGUCCAUGCCUUGAAUGAGGUGGACAUGCUCUCUGCUAAGAUGGACCUCUUAAUGAAGAAGAUGGAAGAAAGUUCCAAGCAAGAGACCAUUCAACCUUACGCCACUGCACGGGCCAUUGAAUCUGAUUCAUGGUGCGAAGUGUGCGGAGGAGAUGAUCAUUCGGGAAACAAUUGUCCCGAAACAAAGGAGGAAGUGAGCUUCAUCAACAACAACAACAAUGGGUACCGGCCCCAACAACAGCAAUGGAACUCGCGCCCCUUCUACCAAGGUAAUCAAGGUAAUAGUUACAAUCAAAAUUUCAAUAAUUCUUUUGGUAACCAACCUUCUCUUAGAGAUCUUGUCUUAGGCCAAUCUAAAAUCAAUGAUAGCAUUAACAAGAAAAUGAUGGCUAAUGAUAAGAUCCUUGAAAACUUAAGUGAAAAGUUGGAUAGCUUUAACUCUGCUAUGAAAAAUCAGUUGAGCUUUAACAAAAUACUAGAAACACAAUUAGCUCAAUUAGCAGUAGCUGUCCCAUCCUUCGAGCAAGGUAAGAUCCCAGGGAAACCUGAGGACCCAAUUGAAGGAGUUAAACUAGUUACUACAAGGUUCGGUAAGCCUCCGGUACAAUCCAACUGGAGCUAUCUUCUGGAUUCGCCCUUCAUCACCAAGAAGGACGACCCAGGCCUGCCGACCAUCACCUGUGAGAUCGGACCGCAAAUCUUCCACAACGCCUUCUGCGACCUUGGAUCGGGUGUCAACAUCAUGGCCAAGGUAACUUAUGAUAAUUUGCUAGGGGGGCCUUUGCACCCCACAUUUGUUCGUUUGCAGAUGGCAGAUCAGACGAUCAGGUUCCCUGAGGGGUUGGCAAGGGACAUACUGGUAAAAGUUCAAGACGACUACGUCCCUGCCGACUUCAUCAUUCUAGAUAUGGGAUCCAAUAAUGAUGUCUCGAUCAUCUUGGGAAGGCCAUUCCUCAACACGGUCAAUGCAGUCAUCUAUGUGGGGUCCGGCCAGAUUCACCUCCAAUUCCCAGGAUGGAAGGUAAAAUGUCCAUUCAAUGGUUAUAAAGCUAACAUGCAGGUGAAGGACAAAGAACCUCCGACUAAGCCUCGCCACAUCCGACGCCGAAGGGACAAGAGAGGUAAGUCGGCCAAAAGGGCCGAAAAGAAAGAAGAGGAACCCGCUGAACCAAAAAUCAAUACCAAGCAAGUAUGGCGGGAGAAAGAGGUGCAAUCAAGGUCCACGUCUCCGGGACCAUCUGAUGCACCCGAAGAAUGAACAAGAUGGAGAGGUCCUGCUCUACGGACCUAAAACAUGGAGCCCUUGCUGAUAAGGUAAAUCAGUAGUUAUCCCAUAUUUAUUUUCUGCAUUUCAAUUUCUACUAUUCACUUUUCAAUUGCAUUCUUACUUUGAAUUUUGCAUAUCUUAUUUCGACAAAAUGUUUAGCCAUAAUAAAUAAAAUCUUGAGAAUAACUUGUCAUAAAAAUUUGAGCUGCUGGAGCUCCCAAAGGGGGGUCGCCCGACCCCACCUUGGGGCCCACUUCACCGCAUUUCAACCUUGCUAGUCAUAGAGGUUCCAACCCAGCACUUGGAUGCUCUGGGAGCUCCAAUGUGGGGGUCGGCCGACCCCCAUAUUGGCCCCACUUGCCUCCUGCUGGCCACCAUUUGAAUCACAAUGGAGUCCUAAGCUUGUAACACUAGCUAAAGUUUGAAAAAAGAGUGGUCCCUUGAUCCUUUACUUUAGUCAUAAGAUGCUCCUUUCAUCUUUGAUUCUUUUGGGACCACUCCACUAGCUCAAAUUCUGCAAAGUGGUCACCUAGGCAUGCUUGAGUGCUCCCAUAGUCCAUAGGAAUCACUUUAGACAUGUCUCCACUUUUGCCAUUCAUCUUUUACCUUUCACAAAGCACUAAAACAGGGAAUCUCAGAAACAAUUUGAAAACUUUUGGUCCACACCUAGCCUUUACUUUUCCGGACAAUCAAUGACACAAUGUUUAAAGUGGAGGAGGGGCUAGGAUGGGGGUCAGCCGACCCCCAUUUUGGACCAUCUCUGCAAAAUCUUGAAAGCAUGCAGAAUGGUUCCCUGUAUAAAGCUAAACUCAAAUUCAAAGUGCUUCUAGGGGGGGUCGGCCGACCCCUAUAUUGUGGGUCCACUACUUGCCCUUCUCCCCCUAUAAAUACCACAGCAUUGUGAGCUCAACUCCACACCCAAAACCACCAGAACCAUUUCGAGCUCACAAUCCUUUCUCUUCUCUCUUUGUUACAAGCCAUUUCUCAAGUUUAGUUUAGAAAUAGUCAUCAAAACAAAAACCCAAAAAGAUUCCCCUUGCAUAGUAGUAGUAGUAGGAGCUUGGUUUGCCUCACUUGUGUAGGAGGAUGAAGAAGCAUAUCUUCGGCAAGUUCAAGAAAGCAAAGAGUGAGAGCUCUUCUCAAGGCUCUCACCAUGCUCAUGGAAGGAAGGAAGAAGAAGGUUACCAUGGGAUGGUACCCUACGAGCGUCCAUCAAGGAUGAGAGAGCCCGAGAGCGGCCUCAUGUUAAGCCAAGAAGAGUUGCAAAGGUACUACAUCCUCCGAGAGGGUCUCUUCCUACACACUAGCAUCAUCGAUCCAGACCUUUUGGCCCGCACAGGUAUGGAUGUUGAAUUCGAUAAGGUGUUUAGAGCAAUUGGUUGGAGUAGUUUUUGGCAAGUGCCUGAAUUUGGAAAAGAAUUGCUUGCUAAGGAAUUUCUAUGCACCCUAAAACUCACAAAUAAUGGAAUAUCUUUUCGCAUGUGUGAGCAAGAACAUCAAUUAAAUUGGAGUUUGCUAAACACUGCUUUAGGGUGUGAACAUGAAUGUGAACUUGAUCUAGAUCAUGCCACUAGAAUGUUCGAUAAAAUUAGAUUCUGGAAAGCAAUUUCUGGCUCUAAUGAUUGUUCAAAUCCUACUCCCAUUGAAAUCCAUAAUCCAACCUUGCGCUUUCUUCACUUCUGGAUCAUGUGCACUCUAUAACCUGGCAUGGGAACUGAUACUUUAAUUGAUGAUGAACUUAAAAUUCUCUAUGCCAUGGUUAGUAAAAUCAAGGUCUCCCCUGUGAAACUGCUAGUGAACUAUUGGCUUAACUCUAUUGAGUAUGGGAAGCCCAUCUAUUUCACAUCCUUUAUUACUCGAAUAGCCGAUACUUUUGGAUUACUUGAAUCACAUUAUUUUGAAGACAUUGGCUAUGUUAGAGGAGUGGUAGAUGAGAACUUCUUUAUCAAUGCUAACAUGCUCAUAAGAGAUCCAAAUGGUGAACUUAAAAUGAUUUAUCCGGGCUAUACAACCGAAAUUCCUCUCCCAUGUGCGAGGCGCCGGUUGUAUGGGGUCCGCACACUUACCAUUAGACUAGCCCGAGUGGCAAGUCCAGAUGUUGCAGGGACACGCAGGGUGACAAGAAGGAUGAUGCAAGCCGCCCAGAUGGAGCAAGGAGGAUCCUCGCACCAUGACGUUGAAGAGGGCGAUGAAGCGAUGUCAGUGGAUGCUUCAGACUCCAUGGGUCUACCUCCACAACGCACUCCACGCCCAAGGGACAGGGCUAGGCGUCACCAGCCCACAGGUAUGGACAGUCUCAUUAAUGACAUGGGCGAAUUGCAGAUUGGGCAAGAAGCAACAUUGCAACUAGCGUUACAAAACGGCCAACAUAUCCGACGUGUGCGAGAGGAAGACACACAACGCUGGGCUGGAUGGUACCAAAAUUUCCCGCCACCACAGUGAGCGAAGAUCUAGCUUGGGGGAGAUCCUCUCCCCCACUAAGGUAAGUAUUCUAUCCUAUUUAUUUUCAUGCAUUUUAUCAUUCUUACUUAAAAAAAAUAAAUAGUUAUUAGCAUUUCCCUUUAGCAUAUAUGCUUCAUGUAUGUUUAUAUCCCUCAUGGAAAUUAUGACUAGUUGCUUGUUAAUGUUUCUCUAGUGCCUAGUAUACAACUUAGUAUUUCUCUAAGUAUGGAUCACUUAGCUCACUUAAACUGCCAUGAACCUAAAAACUUUGUGGGUUGCAAGUGCUAGAACUAAGUCUAAGUUGUUGUGGGACAUGAGAUAGUAAGACAAGAGCUACUAUAAUAUUUUUCUAAGCAUGCAUGAUUAUCAGAGAUUUAUUCUUAAAAUGAUCAAAACCUUAAUUGUUCCUCAAUGGUGAUGAAUUCCUACCACAGCCAUAUCUACUUUACAUAAUUGCAACCUUUCCACAUAAGCUAUUUGCUUUGUGUUGAGUGUCGUCAAGUCUUGUUGACCCUUGUUAAGAGACUUUUCAUGCUCCUAAGAUCAAGAUCACGUACACACCACAUAUAUAUAUGCUGCUUCUACACUAGAAGUACGCAACCACAUGUAUUUCGCAUCCACUAAAUAGGUUGCUCCAUACUCUAAAUGUUAGAACAUCUCUCUAAGCAUUAUUUGGUAAAUGAGACAUCAAAAGGCUAGGCAAAAUGAAAUAAAAAGAUGGACAUGUGCAAGUCCAUAGAAAAAGAAAAUUGAGCACAUGAAAGCUCAUAUAUAUAAAAAAAAGAAGAAAAAAAUGCUAGCCAUGUCUCAAUACAUAGAGAGUCUAUCAAAUAAAGGAGCAACCUAGUCCACCAUAUAUCACACUUGCACAUCUUGAUCUGGGAGUAUGACACUUCUCUUCAAGGAUCCGAGCUUUGACUUCACAAUACAUGCAAAGUAAGUAUGCUAUCUCCUUUCAUCCCUACCUUGAACUCCACAUAAGCCUUUUAGAAAUAGGAUGAAAUAGAGAAGGCAACUCUUACCAUAUGCCUUGGUGAGGAAUCAUACACCAUUUGAGUGACAUGAGAGAACCAUAAGAGGAACAUUUAAGCUUUCUUUUGAAAAUAUCACAAAACCUCUGAUAUGAAACUUGCUAAGAAUGAGAAAGUUAGUGCUCAAGUCAAACUGUUCUGUCUCUCAACCACCUAAGACAAAGGAAAAGCCAUAAGCCCCAUAAGGGACUAAGGUAAUAGGGGUAAGUUUACAUAGCUAAAUUUUUCAUGCAAAGAGAAGAACUUUGUUGUACACAUGGUACUCUUGAAAUGUGAACAUAGUAACAAUACCUGAUCCACCGAGGCUAAGUUUGAUUGUUUGCUCGGGACGAGCAAAGGUUAAGCUUGGGGGAUCUUGUUGACGGUGGAUAUACCAUAGAAAUCCACAUACAAAACACCGUCAACAUGCCUCGGUUGCAAGGGGAAACGACAUGACAUGAACAUAUUUUAUCCAUAACUAGUUCCACUUGUACUCUUAGCUUGUUUAUGCAGGAACAACAAAUUCAAGACAUUAUUUGACAAAGCCAACAUCAGAAUCAUCAAGAGGAGAUCGAGGGGACAACAGGUGACACCCUGGGCCCACAGGGAGGGGGUCGCCCGACCCCUCUUUGGUGGGACCCAGGUGUGCCACCUAGUCCACCGACAUAAGGGACCCCUGUGGACACUGCUGGUGGGCCCAGAGGCCCAGAAGUGGGGUCGCCCGACCCCACAUCAAAGGCGGUUCCAGGGUCGGUGGCCUCCCACCGACCUUCCCCACAUGUCCCACAUGUUGAUUUGCCCCUGCCGUUGAUCAAAUGGCGGUUGUGAGGUCGGUUUGAUCCAAGGGUGGAGAGAAGAUGUCACGCGGAUCGAUGACGUGGCGAUGGAGUAACCCCUACUCCAUCUCCCUCUAUAAAAGGCAGCCUCCAUCCUUCAUUUCAAGUGUGCAAUUCCAAGGCCAAGUGCAUUACAAGUUCCAAGCAUACAAGUAGAGUAGUAGUUAGUCUAGAGUGGGAGUUAGAGUCGAGUCGAGCAAAGCUCGGGGUCUCCAGAGUCGUCUUCUAGAGAGUCUGGUAUAGCUCUUGUACCUUUCUACUUUUGUAAGACUUUCCUUUUAUUAAUAUGUUAUUCUUACUUUACUUUACUGAGUUCUUACUUAGUGCAAGUCUUUUAGUCUUGUUGUGCAUUUACUUUAGUAAUAAAGUUGUCUUAGUGAAGUUAGUGACCUGUAACCACUCCUGUGUGUGCAUCAUCGUCCUAUCUUGUAUAGGAGCUCUAGCUAGCUGCAACUAGUUAGCGUUGUAGGAUUAAGUGUGAGCGUGGUGCUCAUACUUAAGAUUACCUUUGAUUACUGCUGGCUUGAACGGAAAGUAGGAGCGCACUCCCUAGUAGGUGACAGAUCGUGGGCGGCAUUAGGUUCUCCUCACGUACAGGCUAGUUCUUAAAAGGUAAGGCGUCCAUAAGCCCAAUAGUCGCUUUCGGUAAGGGGUUAGGUGAAAAACCUUCUAAGCGUCUUACCAGCUCGGCUAUCCCUCGCACACAGUUAGUAAGGCUCUAGCGUAGUUAAGGCAAUUAUCUAUUAAAGUGAGUCACAGAAGUCAAGUUAGAUACAUAGGAGUCCUUUACUCACUCGUUGUCCUCCCACCUAGCUAACUCUACCAUUUACCUUUAGCAUAGGACCUUGGAUUCACCACUACCCUUCCUAUUCGUUAUUUACCACCCUUAUUCACUAGUUGAUACUAGAUAACUCAAGGAAUCUCAUUCCCCUUUUUUUGUUAAACACACUUAGCCGCUUUCCCUUGGGAAAAUAUAAAUUACUAUACCUUGGAAUACUCCUUGGUGAAGUGCUACAGCGGUACAUUCUGUGCGCUUGCGGAAUUAUCCAAUAGUAAAUAGAGUUACCCUACCAGGGCACUUCUGGCGCCGUCGCCGAUAUCCGGUGGUUGCGUUAAGAAGUGUCAACAAAGAACAAAGAUGAUUAGAAGAACAAUUAGAAGAACAAUUAGAGAAUUACCAAGAAUCCUCUUGACAGAUCCGAAAACCAAUCGAAGAUUGACUCCUUCUAGUUAUAAUCCUAUGUAGCUAUGCUAAUCGAGAUGUCUAAUUGAUGUGGUGGCUCUAAUCUUGAUCAGAGGCUUCUUCUCCCUUGAGAAUAAUGAAUUAGGGUUGAGAGGCUCUCUCCUCCAGGGGCCAGGACGUCUGGUUUUAUAGUCCCUUCAAGUGAAUAUGAGCCGUUGGAUCAAACCGACAUUGAUUGAACGGUUAUCCUUGAACCUCUAGGUCGGUGGAGAUCUUUCCCGAAAGAGAGUCCUAUUUGGACUCCAGGAGGGGGCGGGCGCCCAGGUCAACUGGGCGGGCGCCUAGUGCCUGGCCCCGUUCGGCCUCCGCUUCCUUCCCGUGGCUUCUGGAGUCUUCUAGAUAUAAGAUAAUUGCGUGGCAUGUUGAUAUCUCUAUAUAAUCCCGAUGUGUGGGCCUUUCUUCCGUAUUUCCUGAUAACUCCCUGCAGAAAUAGACAAACACCAAAACUCGUGGAAUUCUGUCAGAUAAAACCCUAAGUCUGGAUGUUGAUUUUAUUUGGAUCCUUUUCUUUGUUUAUUUGAUAAUUAAAUUUGAUACUUAAGGACCGUCAACAACAGCCCACACUGAUUAAGCCUGGGCAUUCGGGUUUCCCGAUUUUUUUGGGUCAGGUAAUUAGGGUAAUUUUUUUUUGAAAACCGCAGGAGAGCUGCGUUUCAUUGUAUUAUAGAGAAGCAAAAUAGGGUGGGUCCCCAACAGGAUCCUCACUCAUACGGGGACCAAAUAUGAGUGAGGCAAUUACACACACCUUUACUGAUCUCAUAGAAAUCAGCUGAAGCUAGACCCUAAGUAAGCAGCCCUAGUCAGCCAACGCCAAACCAAGCUCAAGGAGCUUCUUUGCCCCAGCCAUGCACCAGAGACUAUGUUCAUUCUUUAGCUCACUCCAAAGCAAGCUCAGUGAAGGAGAAACCCCCUCAAACACACAUGUGUUUCUAUGUUUCCAAAUAAUCUAGGCCCCUAAAAUAAUUAGAGAGUUCACUCCUCUCCUGUAUUAGUCCCAAAAAAACACUAACCGCAAUUUUGGGUACCCGAUAAUUCGGGUUCGGGUAUUCAUGAUUUACCCGAAUUUUCAAAAAACUACACACUAUACAAAAUUUCAAUAGCAAUUUAUGUAUAAUUUCAGCAGAAAUUUGUAUAAAAUUUCAAUAGCAUUUUGUAGAGAAUAAUAUAUUACUAUCACUUGUUCAAACAAAGAGAAUUAUGUUCUAAUAAAUUGAUAAAAGUUCUAAUAUUUAACUAACAACACAUGACAAAUAUAAAGAUAUAGACAAAUAUUUGGGUAAUUCGGGUAGUUUGGGUACUAGGGGAUAUUGCUCGAAUUACCCAAACUAAUUUCGGGUAAUGAAAAUUGCUAUCCGAAUUUAGGAUCGGGUACCUCGGGUUCGGGUAAUUCACGUCCGAGUUCGGAUAAUUCGGGUACGGGUAAUGGGUAUUGGGUAAUUGGCCCAGGCUUAACACUGAUAAGAUGUCAUCUAGACACCAUGUCUACACUAACCUUAUUACUCUAAGCGUUGCAAAUGCUUCGAGUAAUUUACCAAAGUAAAACAAUGCGCAUAAUAAGAUGACUUAUACGCAACGAACUAGACUAUAAUAUUAAAUGCUAUAAAAUACUUGAAUGUAAGACUUACAGGAAGACUCGCAUCCACUGAGGCGCCACUUGGAGAAGACUCCCGACAGGCCAAGUCUCCUCCUUGGAACUCCUCACUCUCUUCCCUCUAUUCUCAUACUAAAGCUACAAGUGUAGUAUUUCUUCCUAAGAUACACCUCCUAAGGUGAGGGCAUAUGGGGGUAUUUAUAGGGGGAGGUGGAGUAGAGGCUACUCCACUGCUACGUCAGCGAUCCGUGUGCCUCUCUACCUCCACCCUUGGAUAAACUAACCUCCCAAGCGCCUUAGGAUGGAUGCCUUGGAUCAACCACCACAUGGGAUGCGUGCAAGGAGUCAGUGGAGUGCCAACCGACCUAGAUGGACACAAGGAAGGGGUCGAGCGACCCCAUCCACUAACUUGUGGGACCAGCCUGCUGUUCUAGAAAACAUCCCAAGUCGGUGGAGUGAAAGUGGGCCCGAGAGGCCACAGUAAGGGGGUCGGGUGACCCCCCACUGAUAGGUGGCGCCACUUCCCUUGCUUGUGGGCCCUCUCCUAUAUCUCCAGUGUGAGUAUGAAGUGGUGGGACCCCCUGAUCACCUCAGAUGAUGGAAACAUUGGUUCAUGGAUCCAUGUGGCUUCAUCUUCCACCGUUGAGAGGAAACUUGCUUGGGACUGUGUUGGGAGGAUCCUUUUGUUCUGCCAGUGUCUAAGAUGAUCUCAUGAGGGUAUCAGCCAAUCCCACUUUGGUGGAACCAAAGGUCCAUCUUCUGCAGGUGGCUUCUUCAUGCAAUUCUAAGCACAAUGGUGGUGCUGGGCCCACCAUGGUGGCAUCGGUCGACGCCACUUUUGUGCCCAUCUUUUGUAUAUUGUCUCAAGAAGCUAUGACACUGAUGAAUGUGAAGUUGGUUUCUCCAUUGGCCAUCUUGGUUGGUUGCUCUACCUUCAUUGGAGCUUUCGGACACUGAAAAGUACUUGUUCUGAGUGCCUGCAACCAAAUAAUGACAAGUACAUGUGGAACCAAGUUAUUUGUACCUGAGUCACUAUGUGUUUGGUGGUUUCCCUCCAAAAAGAAUGUUUCAUUGACGAUUUAGAUGGGGUAAAAACAUGGUAUAACUAGCUUCAACAAGAUCCCCCACACUUAGGUCUUUGCUCGUCCUCGAGCAAAGUUUAGAGAGAAAGAUAACAUAUGAUUAUGACAUCUUAAGAUAUUAGCAAACACAAAGCUUUACACAAGACAUAUCUCAUGCAAGUGGGUUAUGUGGUAUUGUCUAGCAUAUAUCCUUUAGAUGUUGAAAAAUGGAACAGUUCUCAAGGCAAAGUCAUCUUCCCAUUUCAUAUCCUUAGUACUUAGAGUUUUUGACAAUGGGUUUAAAAGAAAGCACGUAGUUCAAUCUUACUCCUCAAAUAGCACUCUCAAGUCACUCAGUAAGCGUAUGAUUCCUCACCAAGGCAUAGCAUAAGAUUGCCUUCUUUUGUUUCAUCCUACAUCUACAAGCUUAUGUGGGGCUCAGGUAGGGAUGAACAAGAUAGAAUACUUGCAUUGCAUCUAUUGUAAAAGUCAAAACAAGGAUCCAAGGAAGAGAAUGCCAUAAUCUUAGAUCAAGACGUGCUAGUGUGUGGAAAAUGGAGUAGAAUGCUCCUCUAUUUGAAAAGAUAUCUCUCUAUAUUUUUUAUUUGACACAUGGCUAGUAUUUUUUUUGAGCAAUGGACCUUCAUGUGUCCACUUUUUUAAUAGCCUUUAUGUCUGGUCUACUAAGCCAUACUUAGAGAGAUAUUCCAAAACCUUAGAACAUGGAGCAUCUCUAUGGUGGAAAUGGAUGGCAUGUUUUUGCGUACUUCGAGUGUAGAAGUCGCAAGCAUGACAUGUGGUGUGUACGUGAUCUUGGUCUUGGGACUAUGACAUAAUUCUCAACUAGGGUCAACAAGGUUUGACCAAACUCAACACAAGUACAAGUAGCAUAUAUAGAAGGGGUUUUGAAUAUGGUAUGAACAUAUAUGGCUUUGAUAGGAAUUUUCUUACUAUUGAGGAGUAAGUGACACUACGGUUUUGUGACAUUUUCAAAAAUAAGUCUCUAAGCACUUUGAAUAGAAAAGGUAUGAAUCAUGAGCCAAGAACUAUAUCACAUUUGUCAACAACUAAGUCAAUAUGCUAUUCCUAUCAAGAUAUGUGACCCACAAGCAUAAGCCUAUGCAAGAAUUAGAAUUCAUGAUGCUUUUAACCUUUAAAUGUCAUAAAUCAUAUCACCCUUUUUUCUAGAUGCAAGUCUCCUUGUUUUUAUUUUUAUUUUGUUUUAUUUCAUCUAAGGAAAGCAAAUAAAAGGUAAAAGUAAAAAUGAAAGAAUAGAGGGGGAGUAGGAGUGUCAAACCAGUCAGGAAGCAUGUAGACGAUGAGUGGAUGCUGACUAGUGGGUCCAAGGCUCCAAGGUGGGGUUGGCUGACCCCACUUGGGCGUGCUUGUUGCUGCAUUUGAAAUCCCUCUAUUGAGAAUUUACUUCUACAAACUUGUAUUCCCAUUGGCCGCCAAGGAGGGGGUCGCCCGACCCCCUUACAUGGGUCAGAUUUCGUCGUGCCAAUGUGUCAAGCCAUGUGCUACGCCAUGGUAUGUUUAGAAUAGUUCAAAGAUGUAGUUGGGGGGUCAACCGAUGUUGGCAUUUCAUAAAGUCAUCAAUAAAAGACAAUGCUAAAAAAAAUGUAUGGUACUAAAUUAACUUGCCAUUCGCAAACUAGCCACUGUAUCUCUUGCCACUAUUCUUCCUAAGCAUUGAACUAGGUUGUCAUCCCUAAUUAUAUAGCUACAAAUAAACAAAGACAUAAUAUAGCUCUAUCAUUUUAUGUGACUAGGCAGAAAUAAAUAUAAUAAGUAAGUAAAUAACAACUCUGCAAGCGGACAGAUAAUUAGACUAUUGUAGCAUUUUACCUAGAGUAUUACCAGGUUGUCGAUUUAUAUUUAUACCACUGGGAAGGUCUAGCUAAGCUAUAAAUAUGGCAUUGAUAACAAUUAUAUAUAUUGAAUAAGAGGUGAAACCAAGAUCAUUUACUCUACUGAUAACGGGGGGUAGUCACAUGAUAAAGAUAAAUAUAAGUGAUAAAUAAGGGUCAAGCAUCAUAUAUAUAAAGAUAAACACAGAGCUUCUCAUCUAGUCACAACAAUAACAUCGCCAAUAAAUAGAUAAAGGAAAUUAUAUCUAAGGUAAUUCUAUAACUGCACCAAUGAACACUCAAAUUAGUGUAGUUACGUCUAGCAAUCAUUAUUAGUCAACUCUAUAUCAUAAUUAAAUAUAAAAGGAGCAUCAACUAAGGAGGAUAUUGAGACAUAACGUCACCUCCGACGCGACCGGACUCUACCAAACCUAUGUAUAGGGGAUAGACUACAGUGGAAUCAAUGAAAUUGUAACAGUCACCUGCGCGAACCACCACAUGAUCCGGCACAUUAGGGAGUACCCGCAGAUAGGCAAGAUAGCUAAACACCACAUCUACAUAUUGAUGUUGGUAUUUUUUAACAUCACUUCAUAUUAAGUUGUCAUAUCUAACAUGAUGUCAAAACCAAGGAUAAAAAUAUUCUACACGUAAUAACUCUAAAUAGAAUAUAUCCGCAAGUGCACAGAUAAUUCUCCUGUUGUAGCAUUUCACCUAGGAAGUAUUCCGAGUAUCGUUGUUUUAUUUUAUGCCAAAAGGAUAAAGCAGCAUUCUAUUCAUUAGGCUUAGGUAAUCUUAUAGGAACUAAAGAAAUUAUAAUUAUGUAGAUCUAUCACAGUCAAUAGUAUUAAUGCUUUAGCGAUAACUAGUCGUUAAUUUGAUAAAUGAUAGAUGAUAACUGAGUAAUGAAGUAAAUGGUAUUCCAGAGAUGGAAAAUGAAGACUGACUAAUGUAGCAAUGCAAUCUUAAUAUUCAAAUAAAAUAAAAGAAACCUAUGUAAUUACUGUUAUAAAGUCUACAACCUACGCCAUGCUACACAUUUUCAUCUAUAGUGUGAUAAACUUAGAAAACAUCUUAAGAAGCAUCAACUAAUGAGGAUUUUAAGACACCACAUCUACAUAAUGUGCACCGCCUGACUCACUCGAGUACUGAAUCAGGCGCUUUACGAUCAUAUAACGAUAAUCAUCAUAAACCAUAUCUAUAUCAAAUAUGCAACUAGAAUAAACUAAGAACUAAAUAAAUAGUAAUAUAUUAAAGUAGAGCAAAGUCAUAAUGAAAUACAAGAUAAUAUUACCAAUUUCUAGAAGACAAAUCUGGAGUCCCGAGCGGAGCGCCCGAUCUCUACUUGAACCUCGCUAGACACCUAUACUAAGAACUUGAAGAACUAGAGCUCUACUUCUAAUCUCUUGAAACCCUAACUUCUGACUACUCUUGACAAAAUGAAGCAAGAGGGAUGAAUUGAAUCUGGGGUUGUGUCCUCUAGAAGGGGGGUCUGCCCCUCUAUUUCUAGCCUGGUGGAGUACGCGUGGGCCGUAGGAUCAAACCGACUUAACCAAGGGCCGAGAUGCAUCAAGAGUCGCGGUGGAGGAAGCUUUUGGAAGAGGGGAUCGAAACCCUAAAGGGGGGCGCCGGCCGGUGCUAGGGUGGGGCCGGCCGGCCUCACCUGGCAGCCGCCAGGCCCCCCAUUGCGUUGGGUGCCUUCUUGAUCCUUCUUGAGUCUUCCCGCGAUGUUUCCCGUGGCGGAUAAGUUUCGUGUAUAUUUUGCAUUGGAAUCCCUCUUUUCUGCUUUCCUAAAAUUCACCCUGGAAAAUACUAAAUAUGCAAAACUCGUAGAAAUUGUCAGUUUAAACCCUAGACUAAUGUGUUUUCAUGUUUUCUUUUGGGUCUAAAGUUCUAAUAGAAGUUGACAGUAUCAACCGUCAACAAUUGCCAAUCAUUCACCCAUGAAUUCUCUAGAUGAAUGUAUAUGAGCAAUUACAUAAAUUCAAUAGGAUCAAACAAACUAUGAUAGACAUAUAAUGAAAGCAAACAAUGACUAUUGCAAUUAAGAACAUAUAUAAUAUGAAUAGUAAUGUUUCCCAAAUCAUAAUGAUAAAAAAUAAGAGUAAAGUUACAAGAUCUAUACCAAACUCUGCACUCCUAACAAUGUCGAGAAUCUAGCUCCGGCUGAUGAACUUGAACUCCUCUAAUUCUAAUCUAACUAGGCUAAAGCUAUGAACUAGAGAGGCUCUAAUGAACUAGAAAUCUCAUGAUGGCUUGAUCUCCAAGUGCCUGAGGGAUGAAUGAGGAUGAUGAUGCAGCUAGGGAGGGGGGGUUUGCCCCUAUAUUUAUAGUCCGGUGCAAUGAAUACGCGCCAUUGGAUCAUACCGACUUCAAAUAGGGCUGAGAUGGAUCCUUAGAGGCGGUGGAAGAAGACUCUAGAAGGCAGUGGGAGGAAACCCUAGGGGGCGCCGCCCGGCACCCCCUUAUGGCUGGCCGGCCCCACAUGGAAGGGACUCGGGUCCCCGUUGCUUCAGGUGUAUUCUAGAUCCUUCCCACAUACGGAUGACGUAUGCUUCCUUCGCGGACAAGUUUCAAGGUUUUUAAGAACUUGAAUCCCUCCUUUAAUCAUUUUCUAGAAUAAUCCCUAGAAUUUACAGAAUAUCCAAAACUUAUGGAAUUUGUCAGAUAAAACCCUAGACUAGUUUGUUUUCAAUGUUUCCUUUUGUGGCUAAAGUUCUAUUAAAAGUUGACGUUGUCUGCCGUCAACAACACCCCCAAGCUUACCCUUUACCUAUCCCCAAGCAAAGCCUAAUUACUAAUAAACUUGGAUCAGGAGUUGCUACAAUGCUUUAAUGGCUUUGAAAUACACAUGCUAUAAACAAAAAUCCUCCUCUAGAUUUAGACAAAACUGCUCUAACUUUCGAACUUACCCAUUUUACCUUUAACCAUGGUGCUUCUAGCUUUGACAUGGGCCUUGAGCAAUCAAAAGAUAGAACAAUCAAGUCUAAGCACCAUGUCUCAAAUUCUUCACAGUACCAAAAUUUUGGAGUUUGUUAGAUGUUUUUGAAAUACUGAGAGCUUAAUUGUAUGACACCCUCUACUCUCUCUGUAUAUGGUAGUUAUGGAUCUCACUUAAGGCAAUCAUAAUGUUAUACCUUCCUAUAGCUAAGGAUUGAAUAGUGGAGUUUAUAGGAGAAGCAAUGACAAGGAUGAGUAUAUCUGCGGUUCAUAUAUCGUAAAGUCAAACAAUGGAACCAAAGAGAGUUAAGGCAUACAAUCAAACCAAGAUGUGCAUGUGUGUGAAUUAUGGUGGAUAGGUGUAUAUGUACAUAUGGUGGCUAAAACUAAUUCUACUUUUCCUCUUCUAGAAAAUAAUGCCUCUCUUGUAAGGACGUGAAACUUUUCCAUAGGAAAACAUGGGCUCUUUAUUCAUUUCUUUCUUUUUUCCUUUUUUUUUGCUUUUCAUAGCCACAUGCAUCAUUAGAAUAAGAAAUAAUUCAGAGAGAUAUCAAUAAGAACUUAGAGCAAUUAAAUAAGGGUUUAUCCUAUGGGUUUAUUUUUGGGUGUUUACUCCCAGUGUAGGAGAAAAAACAUUUUCAAGGUGGUAUCUCGAUAAAAGUUAAAAGUGAUUUGCGCUUACUCCUAGGGUAGGAAUAAUGCAUUUGUGAGUAGAGUGUGUAUGUGAUCUUGGUUUUAAAAGCAUGACAAGACUCUCAUACGGUAUACAACAAAGGUUGACUAAACUCAAUGUAAAACAAGUAGCAUGAAUGAUCAAAAGUUUUCCUAACCUAAUUAUAUAGUGUUUGGCUUUGGUAGGAAAUUCAAUCUUUGUCAUACAAGAGCUCAUCAUGUAAGGUUUUGAGUUUUCAAAAUAAAUCUCGAGAACGUAGUAUAGCUAGGAAUAAAAUAACAGUAGCUUAGAUUUUCAUGAAUCAUAUCAAUCAAUUACCUAGACUUAGCUCAUGCACAUGCCUCCACAAGUUUUAGGUUCAGAGCAAAUUUUUAUAUCAAAACAGUAAUAGCCAAAACUCAAGAGGAUUUACGGUUGAAAACUAGGCACUUGAGAGUAACUAAGGCAGGGCAACUAUUCAUCAUUUCCAAGACAAACUUUUAAUGUUCAUUAGAUUUUAUUUGACUCUAAACAAAAUAGAUAGUAGACACACUCUAUAAUCAUACCUUAAUAAUAGACUAAGUAUGUUUAUUUGGUUUUAGUUUUUAUUUAUCUUUUUAUUUCUUUUUAGACUGACUAGUGGACUCAAAAAAUUCUAUGGGCGUGGACCUUCAUGUGGCCACAUAUACCUUUUUGGUAUUUUAUGACUAUAAGAAAGACUUAAUAAUCACUUAGGUAUAAUUACCUAAUAACUAGGGGAUGCACUCCCCCAAGCUAGAUGUUUGUUAUGGGUUGGCUUGAAUGAUCUUCAAAGCAAAUGUGUUAGCAGAAGUCCAUAAUGGGCUCCACUGAUAUACUCACUUCUUCAUUGUAAUGUCAUCCUAUAGAAUUAUACUUCCAAAAAGAAAACCAACACUCGAGGCUCGAAUACUAUAGAGGUUAGCGGUUAGCCAAUGAGUAAUUGAUCUACUUAUGAGUUGAUUUUUUAAAUUAAUAGAUUCUAUGGCAGGAUUCUGAGUUGUCUCCUUUUGAAUUUUCUAUUUAUAACAUAGGAAAAUAAACAUGAAUGCUAUGCAAGAUCUUUUAUUUUUUUAUGCCACGACAGUAAAUAUUCCUAGGGGGUUACGAUAAGUUUAUUCACAUGGGGCUUUAAUAUUUUUAUGAUGCAAUAUGUGUAGCAGUAAAUAUUUUUAUUUUCCUUUUAAUGUGUAGAAAGAUAAAUAUGCUAAUGUAAACUCAUUAAUGUAAACAUGGAUAUUACUAAUGAGAUAACUACCAUUCUAACCUUAUGGCUAGGGUACGAAAUUUAAAGUCUACCAACAGGACAUAGAUAGAGGAGAGUGCUUACUCAGUGGGUUCAUCAUCUGAGGUAACCUCAGUCAAUUCCCCAUAUUGCGGUGGUGUCGUAGGUGCAUCUUCUUUCUUCUCCCCCAUCUUCUUGUCGUCUCUCCUUCUGCCUCCUUUUCUGCUUACUCUAUAUUCUCGGCUUCGUCUUGCUCAUUAAAACAGUCUUCAUACUUUGAAAUCUUACUAAAGAAGUCCUCCCAUCCAUCCUUAGGCUAGGUAGCCUGAUAGCAGGAUCAACGUCUCCUCCUGUUGCGUGGCCCCUUGGCCUGUAAACCAUUGUCGAGGAUGUCAAAAGGGGGUACCCCCCAGCCAACACACACACAAUGAGAAGAUUCACAAACAAUUCGAGGCUCAAGCUCGAUGACCCAGCAAAAACGCAAGAUCACCAAAGCCGUGGUUUGAACCAAGACACAAUGUCGACCAUAGCCUCGAACACAGAAAUAUGGUAGAGCGAACGACCAAGGGCUCGAUAGCCAACAACCGUCGAAUACGGAAAGAGCGUCGAGCCAAUCAGCAAGCCUCGAGCACAAAAGCGCUCCCCGCCACCUGUCGAUGGUACGGAGGCCAGAGCAUUUAAUGUGACUGCCAUGCUCCCACCUAACCCGACAGUCACGGGAAGCGUGAUAGGGGAACAAGCACCCAUCAAAUCUCUACUUUUCUAACUUUAUCCUCAAGAUUGGAGAAAAGUACAACCUGGCACAGUGCAGCAGGCAUAAUAUCCCAUCGCGACACCCCUCGAGACGUUCAAAGUCAGCGCUCUACAUAACGAAGUCGCCUGAGCUACCUGACCCUCGAACAGGCAAGCUCCUUCCUAGGGAAGGAUCGAGUGAUGGAAGUCAGCGCUUCAAGCACUCUAGACAUGACUACUGCCACAACGUACAAGCGUGCUCGCACCCAAGCCAAUACCACACGAUGUAUGGGAGUUGGAUUCAGGGAACACACGCGCCAUCAUCACCAAAGUAUCCCGUAACAAGAUGGCUCGAGGCUAUGCCGGUGCGGAGGCCUCGAGUAGGUCAGCGCCAUACCCCUAUCGUGGCCUACUCAAACGCCUACACUUAGUAACCUAGGUCUCCCCUUGGAACUAUAAAAGGGGAUGCUGAGGACGAUACCGUGGAGACAUUCAGAAUACGCAACUCAUACACCACCACAACCGGCUAGGACUUAGAAUUCUCAGCUACAUUUCACUUGUAUUCACCCCUGUACAAGCACUUAGGUGCAAGAUAAUAUACACUCUCCCCCACUGAACGUAGGGCCUUCUUUUGCCCGAACCAGGAUAAAUCUUUGUGUCACUCUUGCAUCACCAUCCGGGAAAUGGAGCACGCAUACAAAUUCACUCGUUGGUGUUAAACCCCGGGGGCAAAACACCAACAGUUGGCGCGCCAGGUAGGGGUCUUGCAUGUUACCACCGAUUUCCCAUCUCUUUCCGGAUGGCCACUCACAUUUCACCGAUCCCGCGCUCUAUGGUGAUUUGGUUUGGGAGCCUUGAGUUCAUUUCCACCGGCUUCAACUAUGACAUGAUCCCACUCUCAGUCAAAGGACAAGGAGGGGCUCGCGUCAUGCCCACGCGAUCAAAGACCCCGCGAUGACCUCACCACCACGCUUCCCCGCCCAGGAGGAGGCUUGAUCAGCAUCGCCACCGCCCCAUCGCUGUUGCACGAUCGUCGCCUCGUGCAGGACAGGCCACGAUGGAGGGGCCGACAGAUCCAUGCGCCGAGACCGCAGUCACGACGACCAGACGACAGAGCGGCCGUGCGACGGUGUCAGGGGGCAGCGUACCCCGCGCACCAUUGCCACCAUCUGCACUGUUACCACAUGGUCUGUUCACCACAAGGCAGAUGCUCCUGUUCGGCUUGGACAACACCGCAACGUCACUCGCCAGGACAAUAUGUCCAGACGCCGGGACGUGCGAGGAGCAACCACUGGUCCUCCCGCGUGACAUGGAGAUGCAGCAGCAGGAUCAGCAAGUGGCUGAGCGGUCAGGUUUUCCCUAGAUACACAGGCCUCGACGCCUGGGACCUGGGUGAUACACCCUCACCACGCUCAGACAGCAGUUGGCGGAGGAGGGAUGCGGAUGUUUCUACACCGCCAAGCCAGACCCCGACUCCGAAUCCGACAGCUACGACCCUACAAGGGAAUGCUUCAACAUUGGUGGAGCCAUGGCUAACAAAGACGACACGGUGGAUGCCGCUGUCGUUGCACGAGCUCUCGUGGCAGGAGAAGACCCCAGGACGCCUGGGAAUAACGGGUAGGCGGACCCACCACCUCAGGACGACAAGGCCACGCAACUUGCGCAGCUGCGAGAGUUGAAAGGCAAGCUCAACGAAGACCGCAAGAUUGCCUUUGGUUGUCUACGCGUGAACAAAAUCAAGCUCAACCAUGAUAAAUGUGUCUUUGGCGUGCCUCGAGGCAUGUGUUGACACUUCUUAACGCAACCACGGGAUAUCGGCGACGGCGCCAGAAGUGCCCUGGUAGGGUAACUCUAUUUACUAUUGGAUAAUUCCGCAAGCGCACAGAAUGUACCGCUGUAGCACUUCACCAAGGAGUAUUCCAAGGUAUCGUAAUUUAUAUUUUCCCAAGGGAAAGCGGCUAAGUGUGUUUAACAAAAAGGGGAAUGAGAUUCCUUGAGUUAUCUAGUAUCAACUAGUGAAUAAGGGUGGUAAAUAACGAAUAGGAAGGGUAGUGGUGAAUCCAAGGUCCUAUGCUAAAGGUGAAUGGUAGAGUUAGCUAGGUGGGAGGACAACGAGUGAGUAAAGGACUCCUAUGUAUCUAACUUGACUUCUGUGACUUACUUUAAUAGAUAAUUGUCUUAACUACGCUAGAGCCUUACUAACUGUGUGCGAGGGAUAGCCGAGCUGGUAAGACGCUUAGAAGGUUUUUCACCUAACCCCUUACCGAAAGCGACUAUUGGGCUUAUGGACGCCUUACCUUUUAAGAACUAGCCUGUACGUGAGGAGAACAUAAUGCCGCCCACGAUCUGUCACCUACUAGGGAGUGCGCUCCUACUUUCCGUUCAAGCCAGCGGUAAUCAAAGGUAAUCUUAAGUAUGAGCACCACGCGCACACUUAAUCCUACAACGCUAACUAGUUGCAGCUAGCUAGAGCUCCUAUACAAGAUAGGACGAUGAUGCACACACAGGAGUGGUUACAGGUCACUAACUUCACUAAGACAACUAUAUUACUAAAGUAAAUGCACAACAAGACUAAAAGACUUGCACUAAGUAAGAACUCAGUAAAGUAAAGUAAGAAUAAUAUAUUAAUAAAAGGAAAGUCUUACAAAAGUAGAAAGGUACAAGAGCUAUACCAGACUCUCCAGAAGACGACUCCGGAGACCCCGAGCUUCGCUCGACUCGACUCUAACUCCCACUCUAGACUAACUACUACUCUACUUGUAUGCUUGGAACUUGUAAUGCACUUGGCCUUGGAAUUGCACACUUGAAAUGAAGGAUGGAGGCUGCCUUUUAUAGAGGGAGAUGGAGUAGGGGUUACUCCAUCGCCACGUCAUCGAUCCGCGUGACAUCUUCUCUCCACCCUUGGAUCAAACCGACCUCACAACCGCCAUUUGAUCAACGGCAGGGGCAAAUCAACAUGUGGGACAUGUGGGGAAGGUCGGUGGGAGGCCACCGACCCUGGAACCGCCUUUGAUGUGGGGUCGGGCGACCCCACUUCUGGGCCUCUGAGCCCACCAACAGUGUCCACAGGGGUCCCUUAUGUCGGUGGACUAGGUGGCACACCUGGGUCCCACCAAAGAGGGGUCGGGCGACCCCCUCCCUGUGGGCCCAGGGUGUCACCUGUUGUCCCCUCGAUCUCCUCUUGAUGAUUCUGAUGUUGGCUUUGUCAAAUAAUGUCUUGAAUUUGUUGUUCCUGCAUAAACAAGCUAAGAGUACAAGUGGAACUAGUUAUGGAUAAAAUAUGUUCAUGUCAUGUCGUUUCCCCUUGCAACCGAGGCAUGUUGACGGUGUUUUGUAUGUGGAUUUCUAUGGUAUAUCCACCGUCAACAGCAUGCUUUUAGGAUACAUAGCCUCCCAACACGGCAUCGAGGCCAACACCGAGAAAGUCUCGGCCAUCACCAAGAUGGGGCCUAUUUGAGACGUCAAGGGCGUAUAGAAAGUAACGGGCUAUCUGGCGGCGCUGAGCCGUUUCAUCUCAAGGUUAGGGGAAAAAGAGCUACCGUUAUACCGACUCCUGAAGAAAGCUGAGCGCUUUGCCUGGACCAUCGAGGCUGAGGAAGCUCUCAAUAAACUCAAAAGAAUGCUGACCACCACUCCAAUCCUAGUGCCUCCUUGACCCGUAGAACCUCUGCUCCUUUACAUUGCGGCGACGAUCCAGGUCAUUAGCGCGGCUGUGGUGGUCGAAAGGCCGAAGGAAGGGCAUGCGCUACCAGUUUAGUGGCUGGUCUACUUCAUCAGUGAGGUGCUCUCAGAAACAAAGGUACGAUACCCCCAGAUUCAAAAACUAAUUUAUGCUGUGGUUCUUGCCCGACGCAAGCUGCAGCAUUACUUUCUCGGCCAUCCGAUCAUGGUGGUCUCGUCCUUUCCAUUAGGCGAGAUCAUUUAGAAUCAUGAGGCCACUAGGAGGAUUGCCAAGUGGUCAGUCGAGCUCAUGGGGGAGACCCUCACAUACAUUCCUUGCAAAGCCAUCAAGUCCCAAGCACUGGCAGAUUUCAUCGCAGAAUGGACAGACACCCAGCUUCCCCCAGUUUAGGUCCAAGCAGAACUCUGGACGAUGUACUUUGACGGGUCACUCAUGAAGACGGGGGCUGGGGCAAGCCUACUAUUAUCUCACCUCUCGGCGUCCACAUGAGGUAUGUCAUCCGAAUACAUUUUGCCACGUGUUGAUGCAAAAACGGAUCUGCAAACACAAAGGGCUAAUACCCGAUUCAAACAUUAAGGCGUGCCAGCCGAUUUGACCUCACUAUCGGCAAAGGUGAUAACUUGAAUACUUUGGUCCUGACAACAGCGAUGCGCCCGGAUGUCACGGCCAAGAGGUAUUCACACAGAACGUGAGAAUACGCCGAGCUUAAGUCGACAAACUCCUAAGAACUCGUAGUAAAAGGAAAAUAUGACGAAGUCGUCGAAAAAGUAGAUGUUGGAAUAUGAGUAAAAACUUGUGUUUGAUUGAUUGAUAGAUUAUUCAUUACAAGGCCCUAGGGUCUACAUUUAUACCCUGCUCAAAGAGCUACAAUCAGACACGACUAGGAUUCGAAUUCCAAAUUAAAUAGAGCCCAUAUACAAAAUGAAUCUAGAUAACUAAGUAAAAUAUAAAAUUAUAUUCCCGCAACCGAUCAGGACACCACCACGGGUCAAUCGGCAACUCCCGUAGAGCCAUCGGCAACCUCCCUGCUAUCGCCAUCGACAAACAUUGAUACUAGUCAUCGGUUAGGAAUGCGCUAUCACUUCCAGACUUAGCCAUAUCCAACCGCCCCUUCAUCGGCAACUUUCCUCAUCGGCAACGCUUCCACAGUCUAGUUACCGUUGCUCCGCCUGCCGAUCUUGUACUCUACCGGUUUCUGUGCACGUAUCCAAAAAACGGUGUCAACACAUGCCCCCAGUUUCAGAGUAUAAAAUCCUUAAUGCUCCAAAAUUCUCUGCAUUAAUGACGCCUUUCUAUAGUUAAUCUUCCCAAUUUGGCAACUGAUCAUUAAAUCCGAACAACCUUGGCCCAAUUCUUUCGCAGACUCCUAGAAUUUCUCAACCUCCCAAACCAGAUAGCGGACAUCCCUACUUUUAUUCGCCCAUCGGCAAUAUUACCGUUGGAGGAGGCUGCCGAUGGACCGACCAGGAAAUCCCGCACAGUGAAAUAUCUCCAGAUCAUGACCGCUUCCUGUCAAAUCGCCUGCACAAUCCCUUGAUUACCGUGCGAACAGUUACCAUAUCUACCUGAGUAUCCUCGGAUUUCACGGAUACGGCGAUGAGAUAAGUCAUAUUUGCCCUUGCCCAUUUUGUCCUAUAAAUAGUUCCUUCUCGGGUACUCUUUCUCCAUCGCAUCAUUCUACAGCCCCAACUUUGCUUUUCUGGCGGCGGCGCUACUCGAGAGCCCCAAGAACUCCAACGAAGGCCUUUCUCCACCGACCCCAAAGUCUUCGAUCAUCUUUCCUGCGAGGAGAUGGCCAUCAACUUUGUUGUUCCUGAGGUCAGUUCAUCACCCCAUCUCUCCCGUAUUUUCAUCGUACUCCUGUUCAUUCGCAGUUCAUCUUACUGAAUACCUUUUUUUCUUUUGUUCUUCUUUUACCCCAAAAACCUCUAGGAUCUAUCCAAUAGAAUCAUCAUCCCUACCGAUCAACCACACCUUCAGUGUCUCGGUCCGUUAGGGAACCCAGAUCCUACCGAUCAGAUCAACGCAGAGACAAACAGAAUCCCCUUCAGAGGCGAGAACUUCUCUCUAGAUCUGUGGAAAGACAGCUUCCGUUCCUGGCCCAGUCCUACCAAGGGAUGGAAGGAUUGGUUUUUGAGAGUCAGCCAUUCAAAUGAGGUUCAGUGGGGUGAGCGAAAACUAGACCAAUGCAUCAGGUUGUCACUUGCCGAUAUGCAUAGGAAUGAGUCUCUGCUGAUUGCCGCAUCAUAUUUCUGGUCAGACACACUUAAUGCCUUUGUUUUCGGCCAUGGCCCUGCUUCUCCCACUCUUGCCGAUGUACUUAUGCUCACCGGCUUAGAUGUAUCCACUGCCGAUAGUAGUCACAUAUUUGACACCACACCUAGUGCUAAGGUGGAAACCAGCUCUAUCGGCGGCUGGUCUGGAUACAUUCAGAAGUACCGUAGAAAGGGGCUUGUUAACAUAAAGGAACAAACCACCUUUCUGAACAUGUGGUUGGACAAAUUUGUGUUCUGCGGUCGAUUGGCAGGACCAACCUCUGUCUACCUAUCGGCAGCAGAGAGAUUAGCUAAUGGUGGCCGAUUUCCCCUCGGCCGAUACCUGCUUGGCUCUGCCUAUCAUCUUCUCCACCAAGUAGCUAGAAAACUCCUGCUCGGUCAACCCAUCAGUAACUUAGGGGGUCCCUGGUGGUUCAUCAAUAUGUGGCUUAGCCUCCAUAUGCACAAGCGCCUCGAGUUCGACCUCUUUGCACAACUUUUCCCUAGGUAUAUAGCCGAGGAUCAUGAACUGGGUGAAGAAGAAUCGGCAACUCGUCCUCCUCUGAACUUUGGUGAGGUUGCCAUAGUCUUGCCUGGCACAGGGGGUAACGCAGAUCAGGUUAGCCGAUUCUUUCAGACUCUGUACGAGGGCCUGACCAGAGAACAACGAGUAUGGAUGCCUUAUGAAGACCCAGACAACAGAUUCCCUUUGGUCUUCCAUCCCUUCAACGAUGCUCUCAAUAAGGAUCAUAAUGUGAUGAUGGAACUUAUCACCCCAAGGGCCAUACCAGUAAACUUUUUUGGUAGUGGGAAAGCCUCCAACCAGACCUAUGAAUUCUACAACCCAUCGGCACUAGCUCGUCAACUGGCUUUUGGUCAGCUACUGAUUGCACUUUGUUAUGCCGAUGUGAUAAAACCCAGAGAAACCAUCACUAGUCUUCUUGAAUGGACCAGGAUAGCUCAACUGCCACCAAAUGCCAACAUAGAUGCCAAUUUAUCAGAUUGGAUCCUGGCCCUUUUCAUUACUCAGGCAUACAAACAAUGGUGGGAAGAAUGGAAAGAGCAUCUGUUCUGCAGAUCGGCUCUUACGUACCGUGGCAUGAUUGACCCUCAAUACAAGGUCCCUGACAAUACUGUAAGUAUUCUUAAACCGAUGUCUCAAUUUCUUCACUGUCCUUUUCAAUCGGUAAUCCCCUUCCUUCAUCUCAUGCAGGUUGAUGAUACACCACCAUCGGUCAGCAAGAGUGGUAAGCCGAUUGCGCUUCUUCCAUUGGGCCCAAUCUCUACGAUCGACAACAAUGCUCCCACCUUGGCUGCUAUAAUGCAUCGGGGGGUACGUCUCAAGAAAGUCACCACCAAGAGGAUGAAAGCAUCUCCAUCGGUAGCUGCUUCUACAUUAGCACAGGCUUUCAAGGUAAAUUUUCAAACUCUUUCAUCCAUACCGAUUCCAUUCUUACACUUGUUACACUUGUACUCACAAAUUUUUAUUGUUGUACCAGCACACCGGUGCAUCGGCAAGGACUAGAAGCAUAAGUGCCGAUGCCCCCCAGCCCAGUCAACCGAAGAGAAAAGGUGCCAAGAGUACCAGAUCACAAGCAAAGCGCCAAAGAAUAGCAAUGCCUUCUCCUCCCCCAGCAUCUCCAAUCCCAGUGGAGUCUUCUCCCUCUUCUCCAGAAGCUCAAACACAGCAGAUACCUUCUCCUCAGCCACAAGAAGAACCUCGCGCAGAAGAACCCCAGCCAGAGGAACCUCAGCCAGAAGGCACAUCGGCUGACGUGCUGUUGGUGCAAAAGCUGGUCUGCAAACACAAAGGGCUAAUACCCGAUUCAAACGUUAAGGCGUGCCAGCCGAUUUAACCUUACUAUCGGCAAAGGUGAUAACUCGAAUACUUUAGUCCUGACAACAGCGAUGCGCCCAGAUGUCACGGCUAAGAGGUACUCACGCGGAACUCGAGAAUACGCCGAGCUUAAGUCGACGAAUUCCUAAGAACUCGUAAUAAAAGGGAAAAAGUAUGACGAAGUCGUCGAAAAAACAGAUGCUGGAAUAUGAGUAAAAACGUGUGUUUGAUUGAUUGAUAGAUAUCUCAUUACAAGGUCCUAGGGUCUAUAUUUAUACCCUCCUCAAAGAGCUACAGCCAGACACGAUUAGAAUUCGAAUUCCAAAUUACACGGAAUCCGUAUACAAAACGAUUUAAAUAAUUAAGGAAUAACAAAACUAUCCCCCGUGACACACUGAAACUCUGUCACAAACCAUCGGCGGCCGCCGAACUCUUCCUUCGUAUCAUCAGCAGACUCCCUUGCCAUAGUCAUCGGCAGACUUUCUCAUCAUAGCAAUCGGCACAGACACAUCACCGCCUAUAGACUUAAUCACGUUCAACUUCUCCUUCAUCAGCAACCACCCUCAUCGGCAACUCAUCCUGUAAACAAAACACUGCCGUCUUAUCCUACCAGCCUGGACACGUGCCCAAAAACGGUGUCAACACAUGCCCCCCAAUUUUGGAGUAUGAAAUCAUCAAUGCUCCGAAAUUCUCUGCAGUAAUGAUGCCUUUUCCCGCAAUUAAUGCUCCUAAUCUGGUAACCGACAACCUCAAUCUAAACAACUCUGAUCCUAUUCUUCUGCAUAUUCCUCGAAAUCCUCAACUUCCUAAACGGGCAUUUCCUUCUCAACCGUACAUCGGCAAUAUUACCGUUACAAAGAUCUGCCGAUGAACUGAUCAGGACGUUCGUACAAACGGCUAUCUUCACUUUACUCGCCCAUCGACAAUAUGACCGUUACAGGACGCUGCCAAUGGACCGACCAGGAGAUCCCGCACAGUAAAAUAUCUCCAGAUAAUGACCGCUUCCCAUCAAAUCACCUGCACAAUCCCUCGAUUAUCGUGCGAACAGUUACCAUAUCUACCUGAGCACCCUCGGAUUUCUCGGAUGCGGCAAGGAGAUAAGUCAGAUUUGCCCUUGCCCAUUUUGUCCUAUAAAUAGUUCCUUCUCGGGUACUCCUUCUCCAUCACAUCAUUCCACCAUCCCAACUUUACUUCCCUAGCGGCGGCGCCAUUCAAAAUCUCCAAGACCUCCGACAAAGACUCUUCCUCACCAACCCCGGAGCCCUCAGAGAUCCUCCUCGUUGCAAGAUGGCUAUCAGCUUCAUCGUCCCUGAGGUCAGUUCUUCAUUCCAUCUCCUGUACUUUUCCUCACAUCCCCGUUCAUCCGCAAUCCAUUUUACUGAAUAUUUUUUCUUUUCUUUUCUUUGUUUUCUUUUUCUUUAUUUCCAAAACCACCAGGAAUUGUCCAACAAAAUUGUCAUUCCUACCGAUCAACCACACCUCCAAUGCCUCGGUCCUCUAGGGGAUCCAGAUCCAACCAAUCUUAUUAACGCAGAAACCAACAGGAUCCCUUUCAGAACCGAAAAUUUUUCUUUAGAUCUAUGGAAAGACACCUUCCGUUCUUGGCCCAGCCCUACUGUAGGGUGGAAAGACUGGUUCUUGAGGGUCAGCAACUCCAAUGAAGUCCAGUGGGGUGAGAGAAAGCUAGAUCAAUGCAUUAGAUUGUCCAUUGCCGAUAUGCACAGGAAUGAGUCACUGUUGAUAGCUACAUCUUACUUUUGGUCAGACACCCUCAACGCUUUUUUCUUUGGCCACGGCCCUGCUUCUCCUACUCUUGCCGAUGUAGCCAUGCUCACCGGUCUAGAUAUAUCUUCUGCCGAUAGCACCCACUUUGUUGACACCGCUCCUAGUGCCAAAGUGGAAACUCGCGCCAUCGGCGGCUGGUUGUUGAUGGUCCUUAAUGCUCACAAUUAACCAUCAAUUAAUCAUGGUAAAGGAUCCAAAUGCAGCCAACACCUAGACUUAGGGUUUUAUCUGACAGAAUUCCAUGAGUUUUGGUGUUUGUCUAUUUCUGCAUGGGGUUAUCAGGAAUUAUGGAAGAAAGGCCCACACGUCGGGUUUACAUAGAGAUAUUAACGUGCCGCGCAAUUUUCUAUCAUCUAGAAGACUCUAGAAGCCACGGGAACGAACAGGAAGGAAAUCGGGCUUGGAGGCAGGGCGCUCGCCCAACUCUCCUGGGCGCCCGCCCAGCUACAGUGCCCAAUCAGGACACGUUUCGCGGAUCAUGCUCCACCGACCUAAUACUUCAAGGAAAACCACACGAUCAAUGUCGGUUUGAUCCGACGGCCCAGAUUCACUUGAAGGGACUAUAAAACCAGACCCCCUGGCCCCUGGAGAUCAUACCUCUUCUACAGAAUCAAAGCUAGGGUUUCAAUUCUUCAUCCAAGUAGAGAGGAUCCCUCUAGUUCUUCUAGUUCUACCUCUAGUUCAUCUAGAUCUAGUUCUAGUUCAUCUAGUUCUAGUUCUUCUAGUUCUAGUUCUAGUUAGUUCUAGUUGUAAUCUAGAAAAUAGGGAGAGAGAAGAGGAGAGCGGAGGAGGAGCCGGAUCUGUCGGAUCUUCCUCAACAUUAUACUUUUGCAGCAUCUGGUUCGUUCUUCAUCGUUCUCCAGGUUCUUCAAUUCAUAAUUCCUGAGUUCUUUAAUUACUUUUAGUUACAUUCAAGUUAUUUAUUGGAUUCCCGCUUGCAUCAAGUGCUCUAGUCUUUAUAACGCUCAAGCAGUAAUUAAUAGAUUAGACGUGGUGUUUAGUCUUGCGAUUACCUGGAAUUGCACCCAAUCCUGCGGAUUGUUGUGGUAGCCUUAGGGUAGUGACAGCCCUAACGGUCGAUGUAUUCCACCACGUUCGGAUCGGUGUUUGUAGGACCAUAGUCAGACCUUCCUAGCCCCCUUCUCAUCUCUUUCCGUGGUUAGUGCUCUGAUGUCCCGAUAUAGAUAAUCUUGAAGUAAUUCUUGAUUCUUAGAUCAACUAGAGAACUCUCAGGAAACUUCCUCUCUUCCCACCAAAAAUAAUCAUAUAGUUAUCCUUGGGCGAUCUUGGAUCUUAAUUAGUACACUCAUGUUCUCUGUGGAAAAUCGAUACUCUGGAAUACUCCCGGGUGAAGGCUACAUCGGUAUCCGUGCGCUUGCGGAUUUUUCUGUUUGCGUUUAAAAUACCCAACAAGCUUUCUGGCGCCGUUGCCGGGGAACGGUAGCUGUGCUAGUUUCGAACCAAGUCGUCCGUGUAUCCUUUUUAUUUUCCUUUUUUACCACACUCACCAUAUCAUUUUCACCAUACCACAUGGAUUUCACUCUAAGCAUUAAUGAGCAUGGAAUUUAUUUCAUAGCCACUUCAUUUACUCCAUGCUCAUAUGCAACAUCUUCACAAUCCAUUGGUUUUUCCAUCAUCACCACAUUCGAGAUCUCCAACCCCCUCAUCCUUUCUAUUUAUAAAAACUUUAAAAGGGCGGUUGUCGAUGCAUAUGUCUAUAAUAAAUUUUGCAGAUCUCGUUGAGUUGAUCUUGAUAUAGGUCAGCAUUGGAGGGGAAACCACUUCGCCGACAUAAAUUGAUGGUUUCCCAAGGACAAGCUUAGUGUCCUAAAACAAGCACUGAUCAGAUUGUAACAUGAGCUUUUAAUUAUUUGCAACAUUACCUUGUGUGUUGAGCAUAUAAGGAUAAUUGUAAAAAUAUUCCUUCGGGUAUUAUUGUCACUAACCUUUAUAGGAUUGGAGCAAGAAGAUCGGAUGAAUGACAAGCACAAGGUAUGUCCAACCAAUCAUCAUACAACAUUGAAUUGAAUUCAUCCAAACUUGAAUUUUACAAAAUUCAAGCUUGGGGGAGUACUUUACAUAAAAACAUCAUUUGCCAUGUUGCUAUGUUGGUUGUCCCUACUUUUGAGACAUGCUCAAUUUGUUUAAAUACUAAUCACACUACUACAUCUCCACUUGAGUAGAUCUCUAUAAAUGCUCUCAUGCUACCUUUAUUUGCUUUAGUAUAUGUUUAGGUUUGGAGUAGUUUCAUUUAUCUCUUAAUUAAGCUUGGUGCUUAGUUUAGGGCUGAUGAUCUUACUUCCAAGGGAGUUUUAAAUUAAGCAUGAUGCUUAGGUUAAAAUGCCCUCCUAAAACAAAUUAGACAAGGUGUCUAGGUUGAUUUUUGAGCCGAUAGUAUGCUAUAGUAGAUAUUGGAUAUUAUGUUGGACUAACCCCUGCAGGAAAACUUUCAAUAUCGACCUGGGAAGUCCUGAGAUAAACUCACAUUGGAGACAAAGAGAGAGACACAUGAAGUUUAACAAUUUACUCAAGGAAGGCAUAGCUCACAAGAGAUGAUCCAUGGAGGGUGCCACAAACACAAUGCACAACCGCUAAGAGAGGAAAGCUUCCACAAGGUGAUACUGUAUCAUCACUCUUCAAGUUAGGUAACAUCUUAAAGUACUUGACUAUCACUUCUAUAAGCUUCUCCUUGGUUCUGGCAUUCACAUGAGUAAAAGAGACAAACAUGUAUGAUUUACAACUCUAGAUUAACCAACCCAAUCGAUUCAAUAUGUUUAGUCCUUCCACCUUUGUGAUCCUACACUCCUAAUCAUAUGAGCCAAAAUGUUGGCACACUCAAUCUUUGGAAGAUAUAAACAAAACAUAAGUAUAGAUAGAUUAUCUUUCCAUAAGGUUGAGCAAUCUAAUCUGACAAAUGUUAAAUACUACACUCAUGAUUUUAUUAUCCAUCAACUUUGUCUUGCUCACUAUGCUUGAGGUUAGAGAAGAACAAAUACACUUUUGGUUCUGUUGGUGUUUUCCACCAACAGGGCCCAUGCACUUCAUCUCUGCCUUGUCUCUAUGAGUAGGUACGCUUUGAGCAAAAUAUGAAGGAGUUUUACAACUCCCAGACUCCACCAAAGUGAAGAACCUUGAUCUACGAGCACAAACACACUGGAGAUACUGGACACUCAGGCAAUCACUGCCCUGAAAUGCUUGAGGACGUAACUACUGGAGUAACCCCAUUGUGGAAGUAAUUACUGACCUUCUGCCGGUCAAGAGAGACAAUCCAGGACACCCCGUCAUCCCGAUCUCCAUUGGCAUGGUGGACUUCCUAGAAGCACUCUGCGACUUUGGCUCCAGCGUCAACAUUAUACCUAGGGGAAGCCAUUCCUGAACACCUCGGGAGCUGUCAUCUACGCUAGUGCUGCCAAGAUCAGUUUCUACAUCAAGGGGAGGAAGGAGAUGUUUUCCUUCAAGAACAAGACUACACAAAUCUCAAAGCAAUCCCGACAUGAACCAAGGAAGAGGACCAACAAGAGGAACAAGAACAAGCAAAUGUGUACCAAGUCAGCUAAGAUGGUCACUGCAGCUCAAGGAGGUCAAGAUCGUCAACUCAAGUCACCUUUCUUGAUCAAGAAGGACAACCCUAGUGUCCCAAGCAUGGAGUGCACAAUCAACGGAUAUUCUUUUCAGAAGACACUCUACGACACCGGAUCUAACGUCAACAUAAUGGCCGCAGUCACUUAUCAGCUCCUGCAUGGAACCAUGUCCCUACAACCAACAUACAUUCAGCUCCAGAUGGCAGAUCAGACAUUCUGAAAGAUUGAAGGUUAUUGACAUGGGAGAAGACGAGUACGAUCCAUCCAUCAUCCUUGGAAGACCGUUCUUUAGCACCAUUAAAGCAAUCAUAUACAUUGGAACCAGAGAAGUCCACAUGCACUUCCCCUCUGAGAAGGUACGCCGCUAUUUUACUGACCCUAACCAUAUAGUUGAAGACUCUAAGCAGGUCAGGAUAAGAAGGAGACGACGCAACCGCAACCAGAGAAGGCAAAAUCAUCAAGGAUGGAUGGGUAGACUAUGAAGGAGAAGUUGUAAGGUCUGAAGACAUACAGCUUGAACAGAACUGUCCUGAGGAGACCGUAGCACCGAGUCAGGUGUGGAGAGAGAAGAUAGUUAUACACGAAGAGCAGGCUCUGCCAGAACCACCGACUACGCCAUCUAGCGAAUCCUAGGACGAAUGAGAAAAUGGAGAGUCCCGUUCGGAGGACGUAAAAACACCAAACGCCUUGCCAAAAGGUAAACUUGGUAGUUAUCUUUUUCCUUUCAAUUAUUUAAAAUAGUUUUGUUAGUUAAUCAGGUUCAUAUCAUCUUGAAAAGAAAAUAAAAAUGUUGAAAAUAGUAAGCCCCAUGUGAGUAUGCUCAUGGCAUAAAACCCAUAAGUACAUUCACUAUGGUGGCAUAAAAAAAUAAAAUAAAUAUAUUCCAGUCCUAUAAAAAUGAAAAUAUAAAAAAUUUAUGAUCCUACCAAAGAAAGUAAUAUUUAUUGAGGAGGCUCAACAUGAUAAAGGCUAGAUAUUUAUGCUAACACUUAACUAGUUCCACAAAGCUUUGUUGUCUAUUUGAGCUCCACGGAAUUCAAGGAUCAAAGAAGACUAGCAGACGGAGGACAUCCUACUCGCUGUCAGGGCGCUGCCGACAUUCAAAUACACCUCUGCCACCUGCUAGCUACAUGAGAAGGAAUUACGUCAAAAUCCAGCUUGGGGGAGAGCACUCCCAUUUAUCCAGCUAAGUGUUUCUACUCGCGUUUAUACUUUACUCAAAUAAUAAAAAGAUGCAUAAUCAUAAAAACCCAAAUAAAGAUUUUGUGCUUAUAUAUAUAUAUAUAUCUUUGCUUAGUUUGCUAAAUAAAUAAAUAAAUAAAGUUUGCUAUGAACCCUCAUGAUAAGCUCUCACAUGGAAAUGAUGAAUAGUUGCUCUGCCAUGACUAGUUCUCAAAAUUGAAAGCUCUCUUAAGUUUAGGCAUGACUGUUAUUAAUUAAGAUUUGCUCUAAACCUGAACUUGUGGGAAGAGUACUUGAUCUAAAGUCUAAGUUGUUAACGGAUAUGAUAUGGGAAGGUUGAGCUACUGUUUAUCUGUUCCUAGAGAUGCUAGAAUUCUGGAGAAUUUUAUCUUUGAAAAUCUUUAAAAUAUCACAUGAUGAGUUCCUGUAUGAUGAGAGUUUAAAUUCCUACCACAGCCAUAUAUACAUGCUUGCUAGACUUUGAGCCACACAUUUACUUUUUACUGCUUAUGAGCAUUGAGUGUGGUCAAGCUGUGUAGACCCUUAGGAGCUUGUCAUGUGGUUAAAUCAAGAUUCACUUGCACGUUCACUCACACAUGCUGCUUCUACUCCAGAAGUACCAUCCACAUAUAUCCAUCCAUUUCCAUCUCCAGAACCACCCAAAAAUAUUCUACUCCUAAUCCAGGUGUCGGUGUUUUAUCCCCCGGGGGGUCACACCAACGAGUAAAUUUGUAUGCGUGCUCCCCUUUCCGGAUGGUGAUGCAAGAAGACACUGAGAUUUAUCCUGGUUCGGGCAAGAGAAGGCCCUACGUCCAGCGGGGGGGAGUGAGUUUGUAUUAUCUUGCACCUAAGUGCUUGUACAGGGGCGAAUACAAGCGUGGUAUGGAGUGCGCAGCUCUACUGCGUACGAGUGUGUGUGUUCUUGUGUUGUGAUCUGUCCCCCUUCUAUUCCUGAGUCCCUCCUUUUAUAGUUCCAAGGAGAGACACAGGGUACAUGUAUAGAUGUUGGAGUAGGGAUUGAUAGCCGCAUGGAGCGCUGACCUACUCGAGGCUUCCGUACGGCAUGGCCUCGAGCCGUCCCAUCUUGAUAGCUCGGUGAUGAUCACGCGUGCUCCUGUGUUCUGCCCUGCCAGCCGCCUUGUGCCGGUCCUGAGGUCGCACGCUUGUACGGUAUGGUGGCGGACCCGACGGCGUAGCUGUGAUGAUGUUAGUCGACGCCCAACUUGUUCCUGGAUAGGGGCCCUGUUUGGUCGAGGGUCGGACGACGUGUAAUACGCUGGUAUCUGGAGCGCUGACCUUGGAUAUCUCGAGGGGGUCCCGAUUAGACGUUCCAUCCUUGUUUCUUGCGUCCUGACACGCCCUGGGUAAUUCGGUGGGAAGGCUGCAAAAAGAACGAUGGGACAGAAGCUUGCUCCCUAUCACGCCUCUCAUGACCUGUGUGUUAGGUGGGAAGCGUCAGGUGCAUUUAAUGCUCCGGCUCGCGUGCGCGUGUCAGGCGGCGGACAGUGUCCUCGCGCCCGACUCCUCUUGGUUCGCUCGAGCCCGCUUCCGUCAUCGACGGCAGCCGUCGCUCGAGUCCUGAACCGAUUCGCUCGAGGCUAUUCCCGUCUUCGAGGCUGCGACCGUCGAUGGCGGCGCAUACGUAAGAUUAGAGCGUCGAAUUAAGGGUUUCGACCUUCAUACGGGCAAUCUCAUAAUGCGUAUUGCUGAGGGUACCCCUUACCGAUACCCUCGACAGUAGCCCCCGAGCCUCCAUUUGAGCGCUAGCGCUCGAAUGGAGGUUUUGAUUUACGGUCGAAUUUUCGUGGGGGCGCGCGAGCGACCCCGCGGGGUAGCCCCCGAGCCCUCGGAGGAGUUUUUGACUCCUUCGAGGGUUAUGUUUCUAAUUCGCAGAAACGCUUUCGACACCAGUGGUGGAAGGUUCUGACUGGCUCGUUUUUGCCCGGGGGUUUCGACGUACUCUCGAUAGAGCGAGCGUCUUCCAUCCCAAAUUGAGUUCCUAGUGGGUAGUCCAAGUGAGAACCUGUGCCCCUUUCGAGGGGGUCAGCUGUAGCCCGGAGGCGUCCUCAUAAAGCAGGGUCGACGUGGUCGGGGAUACUGGUCUCGUUCGAUAGAGUCCAGCGGCUCGAUGCCUCCCUUCGGGGGGAUACCUCUCGACUGUCUCGACCCUACCUUGAACAUCACCGGCGAGUCCUCGAGGCGGGCCUCGAUCUUCGACCGUUCGCUGGGGAUCCCUGACUCUAGCGCUCGAGAUCGGCUGUCGAACCCUUUCGGCGGGCCAGCCAUCGACCUCUCGAGACUUUUGCGGUUAUGUCCCUCGGCUUACGAAGGAAGGAAACGGUCGUGGCGGUUCGCAUUUCUGCCCGUUGGGCGCGUCUUUUUAGGCGGAUGACGUUACGACACCGUAUCGGCGAGGAAUUCGGAGAGUCCGGCCUGUGAGGAGAGAGAGAGAGAGCUGUCAGGCGGCGCAUUUAUGGGGGGAGUUACCUUACUUCUCGGAUCUGUCCGUUGGCGGACAGCUGCCUAUAAAUAUGUCGUCGCGUCACCGCCGUUCCUCUCCCUUCCGCCUUCUCGCUCUCGUUCCUUUGCUGCCUUUGCUUUCUCGUCAUCUCACGCGCACACGCCCCCUCGAGCCGUAGCGAACCCACCGUCCCGUUAGCCAAGAUGCCUGUAAGACUCGUCGCCGCCGAUGACUGGCGCCCGUCGUCGAUGACGGAGCGCCGGCUGAUAGAGCUCGAGAAGGAGGGACUGCUGCGCCGCCGCACCUCGCUGUCGUCGCCAGAGUGGAUCGCGCCGCCAGCGAGCCACAGGGCGCCUCAGCCACCCGAAGGCUACGUGGUGUCGUUCGCCAAGUUCCACCGCCACGGUCUGGGCGCGCCUCCAAGCCGCUUCAUGCGGGCCCUCUGCUUCCAUUAUGGGGUGGAGCUGCAGCACUUCUCCCCGAACGCCAUCACCGUGGCGGCGGUCUUCGCCGCCAUGUGUGAGGGCUUCCUAGGGAUGAUGCCGCACUGGGAGCUGUGGCUCCACCUCUACAGGGGCGAGCUGUUUCACGCCUCCAGCGGAACCACGGGCGUGAGGAAACCCGUGCGAGCGGGUUGCCUCAAUCUGGUGCAGAAGACGGGGAAGACGGACCGGCCACGGGAGUACAUCCCGGUAGGGUUGUCGACCAACCAUGCCGGUUGGGACUCUCAAUGGUUCUACCUGCGGAACGACGACAACCUCCUACCUCCCUACUCGGGCCGUCUGAUCUUGGAGCGCCCAGCGGACUGGACGUACGGCGUCGUCCAAGCUCAUCAGCCUCGGCUCGACCCUCUCCUCGACGCCCUGAAGAAGCUUCGCCAGGAAGGUUUGACCGCCGCCCUCGUCCUCUCGGCCGUCCAUCAUCGGAGAGUUCUCCCUCUGAUGUCACGACCGCUGAGGAUGGACGAGAUGGGCCCUGGCGUCUCGUCUCGGGACCUCGAGGCAUGUCGGAUGUCCAGCGAGCCUCCGACGGACGAUGAAGUCGCGGCCCGAGUCAGGGCCGCAAUUGCCGGUGAUUUUAAGCCGGAGCACGUCAACGGCUUCCCCAUGCGACCCGACGCAGGCUCGAUCGAUCUGGUACGCUUUCUUCUUGCGCGCAUCCUCGAUUCUAGAUUUCCCCCCUCCCCUCUCUUUUUUUUUUCUAAGUCUACCUUAGUUUUGGCAGGGUCGGAUUGACGUCCGGUCCUCGAGGCCUCCAGUAAAGGAGGACGAGGUCGAUCGCGACAAACGACGCCAAUCCGCCGAGAAGUUGAAGUCUGCCAAGGACUCCGCAAAAAAGGGGGAGAAGAAGAAGAAUCUCGACCGCCAAGCAUUGGAGGUGCGUCGAGCCAAAUCCAGGCAGAGGGGGGAGCCUGAGGAAGAAUCCCCCAACGAUGACGAUGACGACGACGAGAGUAGCGACGACUCCGAGGGGAUGGCGUCGCGUCUCGAUCGGCUCCUCGAGGGCCCUCCUCGAGAUGACGUCGACGCCCCCCGGACGGAGACGCCGGAGGAGGGUCCGAGCGGGUCUCGUCGUCCCCGGCCCGACGCUCCUUCCGCGCUCAAGGCGGGCCAGGACGCACCGCGCCCUCCCCUGGCGCCCAGGGAGAGCGGUCCGGCUAGGUCCCAGGCAUCGGGGCCGCUGACCCGCGGUCGCGCUGCGGCCUCUGAGAAAGGAGACGCCGGCCGUAGGAGCGCGAGUCCCGGCGCCCGCCAAGCGGGAUCCGACGUACCUAGGCCAGUUUCUGCCCUCGAGGGGCCUAGCGCCCCGACGCGGGGUGGCUCGAGGCCCGCUGGUCGGGGUGGCAGAAGGCGAGCCGUUCUGCCCGUGGGGUAAGCCCUUUUGUUGUUGCGGUCUUUGCCCCCUCAUUCUCUCACCUUUCCUCACAUGCUUACUUUUUCUCAGGCUGAAACGGACCCUCGAGCAGGCCCAACCAUCGAUGGCCAAGAGGCUCAGAACGGGUGCCGCCUCCACGGAACCAGGUUCGUAGUUAAUUCCUGGGUGUCGCGAGAUUAUUACGUCGGUUAUCAUAACGUCUGACCCUUACCCUUUGUUUUGCAGGCCCGUCAAGCACCCAACCUUCAGCCGGCGUCGAGAUGGCUUCGCUUCGUCCCGCGCCUACUCCGCCGCCACCAACUCAUGAAGCGACCCCCCAGACGCGGGCGUCAGAGGGAGCCCCCGAGCCCCCUCGAUUGGGGGUCGAGGGGGAACCCAUCACCAUCAGCGACACGUCUGAUGGUAACGAAGCGUCUGGGGGCGUUCGACCCCUGGAGGAAGAGGCGUCGACUCCCAACGUCGCUGGACGGACUCCCUGGCCCGCAGGCCUUCGAGCCCUCGGGACGCAAAGGAAGAUGGUGGAGGAGGAGGCGCGGGAGCACGAGGCGGCGCAGCCGUCACUGGAGCAGCAGCAGCAACAACCCCAGCCGGAGGAGCAACUGCAGCAUCAGCAGGACGAGCAGCAGCAGCAGCUGGGGCGGCAACAGCAGCUGGGUGGCCAAGAGAACGAGCCACUCGAGCCCCCGCCUCAAAUUUUGGCCGGACCGGCGCCGCAGGCGUCGCAAGAGCCCGGCGAUCAAGAGGGAGAUUUGCCAGUGUACGGGCCUCCCACCCCAGCGUGGCUUCUCCCGGGGGCGCCUGCCGCGAUCCGGGCAGAGUCGGGGCGAGCGGACGGAGUGGUGGCGCUCGCCUGCAUGAUGCGCACCCCCACCGACCCCGAGUCCGAGAUCAAGGGGACACUCUACGGCAUGGACGGGAUCGCCCCAGGGUUCCUCCGGGAGCGUCGAGCGUGGGAGGACCGCUUUCCCUCUGAGGAGGACGAGAUCGGGUCGUCUGGGAGCAAGGACGGUACAUGGAAGACGGUGGAUGACGACGGGCGGUUCCCUUGCCUCGCCGACCUGUUCUUGCGCCACGGGGGUUCCCUCGAGACCGUCGAGGACUUUCUCCGCGGCGUCAAGGUGCGGGCCGAUCGGGAGAUGGAGAACUGGUGUCCCGAUCGGAUUCGUAUCCGAGCUUCCAGCGACCCGUCCGAGCCCAAUAUCUUCCUCGACGACAAGAAGGAGGUCGAGAAGUGGGAGCACGUCGAGGAGCUCCGCCUUUGGAUGAAACACGUGGUGGGGCUCCUAUCGGACGUCAUCAACAACGGGCUUGGCCCAGCUUAUUUUGUAAGUGUUUCUCGAGCUCCAAUCUUGGUGGUGCUUUUGGGUUUCUAUGUUCUAAUCCUCCUGGCCCCUGAUUCGCAGGAUAUGAAAGAGACCUCUCGCAUCAAAUCUAGCUUCAUUCACGCCACGAGGGGCGGAUGGGAGCAGCUUCCCCUCCUCAAGGAUCAACUCCUCGAGUCGCAGGAAAAGCUGCUUAAAGCUUACAAAGAUCUUAUAGCACUCGAGGAGGAGAAGAAAGUGAGGGAGGCUGCUUUGGCCGAGGCCCGAGAGGUCUCGAAGAAGGCGGAGGAGGAGGCGGUGUGGCUACGAGAGCGGACUCUUACAGUCGAGGAGGCCGCGUCCAGAGCCCGGGAGGAGGUCCUGUCCCACAAGAGCGUCAUCGCGGAUCUGGACAAGGAAAAGGGCCUUCUCCAAACCGACCUGGACUCCCUCCGCGAUACCUUCCAGAAGAUGAAGGUGGCGUGCGUGGACAAUGAGGUCGCCAGAGGUGCCGCCGAGGACGCGAAGAAGAAAGCCCUCGAAGACCUCGAGAUAGAGCGAGCUCGAUCCCGCAGUCUCUCCGACGACGUCGAGCGUCUGAAGGGAGAACUGCUGGAGAAGAGUGGAGCCGUCGCCCAGGCUGGCAGGGUGAUCGAAGAUCUCCGCGUCGCCAAUACUGAGCUGGCGCGCUCCAACAGAGAGAUCGAGCGUGCCAAUACCAGAUUGGUUGGCGAGAACACGGCUCUAGAGGAGAGCAUCAAAGGUAUGUUUCCUUUGUCGAAUUUCCUUUUCGAGGUGUGCUUGAGUUUUUUCUAAACCUUCUCUGUAUUGGCAUUUAUAGGGCUCAAGGACGAACUCCUGGCCGCCCAAGCCGAGGCUCGCAACGCCAAGGCUCAGCUCGAGGCUGAGGUUGCUCUGAACCGUCGAGUGCGGACGGCAAUAAGCGAUCUCUCGGCCUCUUGGGAGGUCGAGCCUAUGGAUGAGUCGAGGGAGGACACUCGAGGCGACGCCCUGAUCGACCAGUUGUGCUACAUAGGCGCAACGCUGCGAGAUCGGGUGCGGGAUGCUCUCCACAUCGGGGUGAAGCGGGCGAUGGCGGUUGUCUGCUCGGGCUUCUCCUACGACAUGGAGGUGGUAUCCCAUGGCUUCGUCACCGACAUCUCCAAGACCGACGCGGAGAACGAGGAGAGGCUCCAUGCCUUGAUCGACGACGCGGAGGCUCCUGGAGAAAGGUUGGCCAAGCUCUUUGAGCCUGAGGUGCUCCCUCCUGAGGCUAGCUCGGGCGGAGGUGAGGGUGGCGAGGAUCGUACCAUGGACUGAGGCCUGCGAGCCUGCUCGGGGUGCCUGGGGCCCCUUGUAUAAAACUCUGUUAAUCUUGUUUUUAAGCGAUACAGUAUUUUUGUGGUUGUUUAAAUGUUUGUUUGUCUUUCCAUUCGAGGUUCUUUUAUUUCUUUUUGCGCCUACACAUGUGUUCCUUGUUCGAUUUUUCGUAAAAGACAGCUUCGAUCAUCUCGAGGGUGAGGGAGUGACUAGAGUUUCCAUAGCCCGGGGGCGUAGGUGUUCUCAGGCUCGCUAUCCUUCGGACCUCGAGGGGCUCGAGGCGCCUCGACUACUCGAUCGUUCAAGGUUUACUAAGUAGGAAAGAGAGAAACUUUUUGGCUUUUUCGACGCUUGGGGAGGGGUCGUCCCUCUGGUAGCCCCCGAGGGGGUGCGGACUAUGAUGGGUCAUGGUCGGCAUCCCCUUUUGACGUCGAGACUAUCACUCGUAACUGUUUUUGGUACAGAAAGAAACCGCUCGAGGGAAAGACUUUAUUUAUUCAUGCGUUCAUUUACAAAGUCUUCGUACAAAAAGUAGGAUCGUAAUUCUAGGACUUCUAGGGGUAGAAUCGACGUAGCUGUUCGAUGUUCCAUGCGUUGGUGAAGACUGCCCCCUUUUCGUCCGCCAGUUUGUACGUUCCUGGCUUAAGGACCUCGGCCACCACAUACGGGCCUUCCCAAGGUGGGGUCAGCUUGUGGCGUCCUUGGUUGCUUUGCCGGCGUCGUAGGACAAGGUCGCCUACGUUGAGGUCCCUCUUGCGCACGUGCUUGUCGUGGUAACGUCGGAGUCUCUGCUGAUAUCUAGCAGAGUUGAGGAGGGCCAUGUCUCGAGCCUCCUCGAGUUGGUCGACCGCGUUUUCUUGAGCUUCUUUGUUCGAUUGCUCGUUGUAAGCCUUGAGUCGAGGUGACCCAUACUCGAGGUCUGUGGGGAGGAUAGCCUCAGAGCCGUAGACCAUGAAGAACGGGGUGUAUUUGGUGGCCCUGCUUGGCGUUGUCCUUAGGCUCCAUAGGACCGAGGAAAGCUCCUCGACCCAUCUCUUGCCGAACUUCUUCAAUCGAUUGUAGAUCCUCGGCUUGAGUCCUUGCAAAAUCAUGCCGUUGGCACGCUCAACCUGGCCGUUAGUUCGGGGGUGGGCUACUGCAGACCAGUUCACACGGAUGUGAUGCUGAUCGCAGAAAUCCAGGAACUUUCUGCCAGUGAACUGGGUGCCGUUGUCGGUGAUGAUGACAUUGGGGAUCCCAAACCGAUGGAUGAUGUCGGAGAAGAAAAGGACGGCCUGCUCGGAGCGGAUGUUGGUGAUGGGCCGAGCCUCGAUCCAUUUGGAGAACUUGUCGAUAGCCACCAGCAAAUGGGUAUACCCUCCUUUCGCCUUUUGUAAGGGUCCUACUAAAUCGAGUCCCCACACCGCAAACGGCCAGGUGAUGGGGAUCAUCUGAAGAGCGUGGGCGGGCAGGUGCGUCUGUUUGGCGUAGAAUUGGCACCCAUGACACGAGCGUACUAGCUCGAUGGCAUCCGCCACGGCCGUUGGCCAGUAAAAACCUUGCCGAAAAGCGUUUCCUACAAGGGUCCGUGGGGCGGCGUGGUGGCCACAAGCCCCCGAGUGUAGGUCGUCGAGGAGUUUUCGGCCUUCCUCUAUGGUGAUGCAACGCUGUAAGAUCCCCGUCGGGCUCCGUCGAUAUAGCUCGUUGUCUUCACCGUAGAUCACAUAUGAUUUGGCCCGUCGAGCGAUACGACGAGCUUCUGUCCUGUCUUCUGGCAACUCACCGCGAAUAAGGCAGUCGAGGAACGGUGUGCGCCAAUCGAAUGGUCGACCCGGUCGUCGUUCUAUUUCCAUCACCUCUUCCUCCAUCAAGAGCGCAUCGACAGCAUUGGUUGGUUGGGCGAUGGUGGCGUCGACGCCAGCCCCCGUGCCUAGGUCGACGGAUGGCUUGUGUAGAUCCUUUGAGAACGCAUCAGGCGGCACUGUGCCUCUGGUAGAUGCAAUCUUGGCGAGUUCAUCGGCUGCCUCGUUGUAGCGUCGAGCGACAUGGACAAGCUCGAGGCCGUGGAAUUUGUCUUCGAGUCGACGCACCUCCUUGCAGUAUGCUUCCAUUUUUGGGUCAUGGCAACUCGAGGCUUUCAUUACCUGGUCGAUGACGAGUUGGGAGUCGCCUCGGACGUCGAGGCGUCGGACUCCUAACUCGAUAGCGAUCUUGAGACCGUUGACGAGGGCCUCAUACUCUGCGACAUUGUUAGAUGCGGCGAAGUGAAUCCUGAUUAUGUACCUCAUGUGGACGCCCAAGGGUGAGAUGAAUAGUAGGCCGGCCCCUGCCCCAGUUUUCAUGAGUGACCCGUCGAAAUACAUUGUCCACAGCUCCGCCUGGACCUGAGUUGGGGGAAGCUGGGAGUCCGUCCAUUCCGCGACGAAGUCUACCAGGGCUUGCGAUUUGAUGGCCUUUCGAGGCGCGUAAGUGAGAGUCUCGCUCAUGAGCUCGACCGACCACUUUGCUAUCCUUCCCGUGGCCUCCUUGCUCUGGAUUAUCUCGCCCAAAGGGAAAGAAGAGACCACCGUGAUAGGAUGACCAAGGAAGUAAUGCUGUAAUUUGCGGCGGGCAAGGAUUACGGCGUAGAUCAGCUUCUGGAUUUGGGGGUAACGCGCCUUGGUCUCCGAGAGCACCUCGCUGACGAAAUAGACUGGCCUUUGGACCGGCAGCGCGUGACCCUCCUCUUGUCUUUCGACCACCACCGCCGCGCUGACGACCUGGGCCGUCGACGCGACGUAGAGGAGUAGAGGCUCCGCAGGUUGAGGUGGAACCAGGACUGGUGCCGAGGUCAGCGUCUUCUUCAGUUUUUCGAGUGCUUCCUCGGCCUCGGGGGUCCAAGAGAAGCGGUCGACCUUCUUCAGGAGCCGAUAUAAUGGUAAUGCCUUUUCUCCUAGUCUCGAGAUGAAACGGCUCAGAGCCGCCAGGCACCCCGUGACUCUCUGGACACCCUUGAUGUCUCGGAUUGGCCCCAUUUUCGUGAUGGCCGAGACUUUCUCGGGGUUGGCCUCGAUACCGCGCUGUGAAACAAUGUAUCCUAAGAGCAUGCCUCGAGGCACGCCGAAAACGCACUUCUCGGGAUUAAGCUUGAUCCGGCUGGUGCGUAAGCAGCUGAAGGCAACCUCGAGGUCCUGGAUCAGGUCUCCUCGUUGCUUUGACUUGACGACAAUGUCGUCGACGUAGGCCUCGACCGUUGAGCCUAUGUGUUUGCCGAAAACGUGGAGCAUGCAACGUUGAUACGUGGCUCCGGCGUUUCGAAGCCCGAAUGGCAUGGUCACGUAGCAAUACAUCCCAAAAGGCGUGAUGAAAGAGGUCGCGAGCUGGUCGGACUCCUUCAUUUUUAUUUGAUGGUAACCGGAAUAAGCAUCAAGGAAAGAAAGGGUUUCACAUCCCGCGGUAGAAUCGACAAUCUGAUCAAUGCGUGGUAAUGGAAAAGGAACUUUCGGACAUGCUUUAUUCAAACUAGUAUAAUCAACACACAUCCUCAUUUUUCCAUUCUUUUUCUUAACUAAUACAGGGUUCGCUAACCAGUCAGGAUGAUGAACCUCCUUGAUGAAUCCGGCCGUCAAAAGCUUGUGGACUUCCUCGCCAAUGAUCUUGCGCUUUUCCUCGUCGAAUCGGCGCAACCGCUGCUUCACUGGCUUGGAACCGGCUCGAAUCUCCAAGGAGUGCUCGGCGACUUCCCUUGGUAUGCCCGGCAUAUCCGAGGGACUCCAUGCAAACAUAUCAGCAUUCGCACGGAGAAAGUCGACGAGCACGGCUUCCUAUUUGGGGUCGAGGUCGGUGCUGAUCGUCAGCACCUUGCCGUCGGAGUUGUUGGGGUCGAGCGGGAUCUUCUUAGUUCCUUCCGCCGCCUCGAAGCUGCCCGCAUGACGUUUAGGUUCUGGAGCCUCAGCGGCCAUGGCUUCGAGCUUUGCAACGAGCUCGGUGGAGCUCUCGACCGCCUCCCCGUACUCGACGCACUCGACGUCGCACUCGUACGCGUGCUCGAAGGAGGAACUGACGGUGAUGACGCCUUUGGGACCAGGCAUCUUGAGCUUCAAGUAUGUGUAGUUGGGUAUAGCCAUGAACUUGGCGUAGCCCGGGCGCCCGAUGAUGGCGUGGUACGUGCCUCGGAACCCGACCACCUCAAAGGUGAGGGUUUCUUUCCUGAAGUUGGCCGCCGUGCCGAAGCAGACCGAUAGGUCGAUUCGACCUACUGGCAGUGCCUUUUUCCCUGGUACGACGCCAUGGAAACCGCCGGCGCUUGGCUGGAGGCGUCCUCUGUCGAUGCCGAGGAGGUCGAGGGUCUCGAGGUAGAUGAUGUUGAGGCUGCUGCCACCAUCCAUCAGCACUUUCGAGAGUCGGGUGUUGAUGAUGAUGGGGUCGACGACGAGCGGGUAGACGCCUGGGGCGACCACCUUGUCAGGGUGAUCUUCUCGGUCGAAGGUGAUGGGAGUGCUCGACCAGCUAAGAUAUUGGGGCACCGCCAUUCUUGCUGCAAAGACUUCGCGACGCUCCCUUUUGCGUUGCCUCACGGUCAACUGAGUCGAAGGCCCGCCAUAGAUCAUGUAGCAGUCGUGGACGGCGGGGAAGCUGUCGUCAUCUUUGUUGUCCUCCUUGCCGCCAGCCUUCUCCUUCUUGGAACCCUCGAGCGUAUCUUUUUUGAACCCCUGACCGUCGAAAUGCUUCCUCAGCAUGCGACAGUCCUUGAGUUUGUGGUUAGCGCCUCCCUUAUGGUAAGGGCACAGCUCCUCCAACAUUUUGUCGAAGAUGCCUCCCUCCGGAGGGCCUCGCGGCUUCUUUCGAUCCAUCGUGGCGACGAGGUCGUCGCCCGAAUCUCCCUGGUGGAACUGCCGUACUUUCUGCUUCCUUUUAUUUUUCUUGAGGCCUCGACUGGAAGUCCCAUCUUCGUCGACGGGCUGCUUGCCUUUUCUUCCUUCUGAGCUGAAGAAGGCGCCGACUGCCUCCUCCCCUGCCGCGUAGUUAGCUACUACGUCCAUCAGCUCGUCGACGGUCUGAGGUCGAUUGCGGCCUAAUUCCCGCACCAAGUCUCGACUGGUGGUGCCCGAGACAAACGCCAAGAUGACGUCGUGGUCGGGGAUGUGUGGCAACUCAGUGCGCUGCUUCGAGAAGCGUCGAGCGUACUCCCGUAGAGUCUCCCCUGACUUCUGUUUGCAUUUGCUGAGGUCCCACGAGUUCCCUGGCCGUAUAUAGGUCCCUUUGAAAUUACCCUCGAAGACUCUGACCAGGUCGACCCAGUUGUGAAUCUGAUUGGCCGGGAGUUCCUCGAGCCAUCGACGGGCGGUGUCGGAGAGGAAAAGGGGUAGCUGUCUGAUGAUGGCUCGAUCAUCCCCCCGAGCGCCUCCUAGCUGACAAGCCAGCCGGAAAUCAGCCAACCAUAGCUCUGGCUUGGUUUCUCCAUUGUACUUCGCGAUGCUGGUUGGGGGUCGGAAUGGACUAGGCAGGGGCGUGCUGCGAAUCGCUCUGCUGAACACCCGCGGGCCCGGUGGUUCGGGGGCCACCCGGUCCUCGUCGCUGUCGUACCUCCCGCCGCGAUGUGCGCUAUAACCACGUUCUUCCGCGUCUCCGUGCCGGCGGCGUCUAUUUUCUUUGACGUCGUGUCGCGCGUCGUGUCGACGUUGAUUGUUGGCAGGGAGGAUGAGAGCGGUCUUUCUACCUCGAGGGGGGGGUUGUUGCUGGACAGACACCUCCUCUUCGAUUAGAGGCUGUUCGUCGCGCUUCUCUGUGGCAGCUCCUCGUCGUCGAGAUGCCGAACUUUCGGCUUGUUGAACUGCUGCCACCUGGAGCAAUGUCUGAACUUCAUCUCGAAUUCGUCGGGCCUGGGAAUUUGACGGUUCUGGCAUGUUUCGUAGCAGCAUGGUUGCUGCCACUACAUUCUGGCCUGCUCGAGGGAAACGGCUGACAGGUUGCUCCGCCUCUGUAUCGCCGACGAUCUGUCGAUGUACCUCUCGAGCGCGUCUGCGGACACUUCCGCCCGGCGGGUAGGGCAGGUCUUGUUCAAGGAUUUGCUCGAGUAGGACGAGGCGCUCGCGAUCUUCGUCGAGCUUCAUCUUGAGCUCCCGCAGCUGUGCGAGCUGCGCAGUUCUAUCUUCAUGAGGAAGAGGGUCGAGCCGUCCGUCGUUCCCAGGCGUCCUGGGGUCUUCUUGCGCCGCGGGGGCUCGACCGCCCGCAGCAGCAUCCCGUGUCUCGUCGGUGGUUUCUGCCGCCCCGUCGAGGUGAUAGCAUUCCCUCGUAGGGUCAUAGCUGUUUGUCUCGGAGUCGGAGUCCGGUUCGGCAGCGUGGAAACACCCACGUCCUUCCUCCAGCCAUCGCUGCCUGAGGGAGGUGAUCGAGUAUCGUCCGGGGCCUAGACGGCGGAGGCCUCGUACUCGGGAAAGGUCCGGCAGUUCAGACGUCGGCCGCCGCGCUUCAGAGCUACGUGGGAUGACCAUUGGUCUUUCCACGUACGUCUGAGCGUUUGGGCAUAUUGUCUUGGCGAGAGACGCCGCGGCGUUGUCCAACCCGAACGGCAGUGCCGCCCUUGGGGAGUACAACCCGUGUGGACGUUGCCUAGCUGCGGUGGGGGAGGGCGCGCGAGACGCGUCUUCCCCCGUCGUCGCGUGAUGCCGAGUCGUCGUGCUGGUUGCUUGGUCACACGGUGUCGCUGCCUUGUGGCCCACAUCCUGCCUUGCGCGAGUUGUUGGUCGCGCUGAAGCAGAGGGGCCACGGUGGUGCUGCCCGCGCCUCUUCUUAGGCGGGGAGGCGUGGUGGUGAGGGCGUCUUGGAGCCUUCGACCGUGCUGGCGUAACGCGGACUCCUCCUGGUCCUUUGACUGAGAGCAAGGUCAUGUCGUAGCCGGAGCCCGUAGACAUGAACUCGAGACUCCCAAACCAAAUCACCGUGGAGCGCGGAAGCGGCGAGGCAGGAGUAGCCAUCCGGAAAGUGGUGGGAAAUCGAUGAAAAACACGCAGGGCCCCUACCUGGCGCGCCAACUGUCGGUGUUUUAUCCCCCGGGGGGUCACACCAACGAGUAAAUUUGUAUGCGUGCUCCCCUUUCCGGAUGGUGAUGCAAGAAGACACUGAGAUUUAUCCUGGUUCGGGCAAGAGAAGGCCCUACGUCGGGGGGGGAGUGAGUUUGUAUUAUCUUGCACCUAAGUGCUUGUACAGGGGCGAAUACAAGCGUGGUAUGGAGUGCGCAGCUCUACUGCGUACGAGUGUGUGUGUUCUUGUGUUGUGAUCUGUCCCCCUUCUAUUCCUGAGUCCCUCCUUUUAUAGUUCCAAGGAGAGACACAGGGUACAUGUAUAGAUGUUGGAGUAGGGAUUGAUAGCCGCAUGGAGCGCUGACCUACUCGAGGCUUCCGUACGGCAUGGCCUCGAGCCGUCCCAUCUUGAUAGCUCGGUGAUGAUCACGCGUGCUCCUGUGUUCUGCCCUGCCAGCCGCCUUGUGCCGGUCCUGAGGUCGCACGCUUGUACGGUAUGGUGGCGGACCCGACGGCGUAGCUGUGAUGAUGUUAGUCGACGCCCAACUUGUUCCUGGAUAGGGGCCCUGUUUGGUCGAGGGUCGGACGCCGUGUAAUACGCUGGUAUCUGGAGCGCUGACCUUGGAUAUCUCGAGGGGGUCCCGAUUAGACGUUCCAUCCUUGUUUCUUGCGUCCUGACACGCCCUGGGUAAUUCGGUGGGAAGGCUGCAAAAAGAACGAUGGGACAGAAGCUUGCUCCCUAUCACGCCUCUCAUGACCUGUGUGUUAGGUGGGAAGCGUCAGGUGCAUUUAAUGCUCCGGCUCGCGUGCGCGUGUCAGGCGGCGGACAGUGUCCUCGCGCCCGACUCCUCUUGGUUCGCUCGAGCCCGCUUCCGUCAUCGACGGCAGCCGUCGCUCGAGUCCUGAACCGAUUCGCUCGAGGCUAUUCCCGUCUUCGAGGCUGCGACCGUCGAUGGCGGCGCAUACGUAAGAUUAGAGCGUCGAAUUAAGGGUUUCGACCUUCAUACGGGCAAUCUCAUAAUGCGUAUUGCUGAGGGUACCCCUUACCGAUACCCUCGACACCAGGAGAGAAUAGCCAAAAACAUUCUCCUAUUUCUGUUUUUCCCUGUGAAAUAAAUGCUCAAGUUAUCUUGGUUACUACCACUUGCUAUAUUAUUUCAGGAGAUGAGUACUCUAAAAAAAGAAAGAAAAAAAAGAGAUACGAGGAAAUAAAAAGGGGCAAGUGCCCGGAACCUCGAAAGAAAAGAAAAAGUGAGACGAGAGGUAAAAAUGGACAAGUGUCCGACAGUAGAAUUAGGGGUACAAAAUACCCACCUGAGAGAAAAGAAAAAGAAAAUAUAGAGCAUCUCAUUCUCCUCAAAAAAGUUUCAAAAGAGCAAGAAAGGUAUGUAUCCCCUCAAAAGAGCACAAAUAGAAUUAGACUUUCACCAUUGUUAUCACCAUCAUCACCAUACACCAUUCAUUCGCCACACAUGCACAUCUUGAUUUGACUUAUUGACUUGUUCUUCUGGAUCCAUGGUUUGACUAUGCAAUAAAUGUCUUGUAAGUGUGUAUUAGCUAUCUCCCACCUAUGAGCUCCAGAUAUCAAAACCUUAUUAGAGUAGGGUGAGAGAGAAGGCAUACACCAUUACUGCCUUGGUAAGGAUCCAGAAAUACCACAAAAGAGAGACUAGAGAGAGUCAUACAAGGAAUCUCUGAGUUUUAUUUGAAAAUCAGCAAAAACUCCAGAGCUAUAGUUAAUCGAAGAACAAGAGACAUGGCGCUUGACUUGACCGUUCUAUCUUUUAACUGCUCAAGACCAAAGUGACGGUUGCAAGCCCCAUGGUGAAAGGUAAUAUGAGUAAGUUUAAAUCUUAACAGUUACCCUAACCCAGAGAUGAGAUCUUGUUUGAAUGCAUGUAUAUCUUUAAGGCAUGAAACCACUGCAGAAACUCUUGAGUUCAUCUUUGCUCAGGGACGAGCAAAGGUUAAGCUUGGGGGAGCUUGUUGACGGUCCUUAAUGCUCACAAUUAACCAUCAAUUAAUCAUGGAAAAGGAUCCAAAUGCAACCAACACCUAGACAUAGGGUUUUAUCUGACAGAAUUCCACGAGUUUUGGUGUUUAUCUAUUUCUACAGGGGGUUAUCAGGAAUUAUGGAAGAAAGGCCCACACGUCAGGUUUACAUAGAGAUAUUAACGUGCCGCGCAAUUUUCUAUCAUCUAGAAGACUCCAGAAGCCACGGGAAUGAACGGGAAGGAAAUCGGGCUCGGAGGCAGGGCGCCCGCCCAGCUACAGUGCCCAAUCAGGACACGUUUCGCGGAUCAUGCUCCACCGACCUAAUACUUCAAGGAAAACCACACGAUCAAUGUCGGUUUGAUCCGAUGGCCCAGAUUCACUUGAAGGGACUAUAAAACCAGACCCCCUGGCCCCUGGAGAUCAUACCUCUUCUACAGAAUCAAAGCUAGGGUUUCAAUUCUUCAUCCAAGUAGAGAGGAUCCCUCUAGUUCAUCUAGUUCUAGUUCUAGUUCUUCUAGUUCUAGUUCUAGUUAGUUCUAGUUGUAAUCUAGAAAACAAGGAGAGAGAAGAGG